UGAACGAGCUGUGCAGUUUCGUGCAAUUCAGAGGCUUCUCCUAACACGAUUCAAAGAUAAGACACCUACUCCACUGCAAAAUCUGGACACUUUGCUGGAUGGCACUUACAGGCAGGUAAGAUUAGUUUUUUUUUUUUUUCUUCUUAUGUAGAUAUAUUAAUGCGGCUCUGCCACCCCAAAGUUACCUUUCUCAAUCCAGUUCCUCUUUCAUAAUCUUUUUUUUUUUUUAUUCCCUUUAUUUCUCACCUAUUUCUCUAUAAAUAGGUGAGACAACUUUGUCUCAUGUACCGUUAUUUUUCCUACUCUUGACAAUCUUGACAAAUGGUGCACCUUAAAGGUACUCUAUAGACACCUGAACAUUAUCAUGGAACGGGCACAGUUAUAAGUAGAGGAAUUACAAGGGAGGUGGGGGGGUGACGGGAAGGAAUAAGAGAAAAGAAAAAGUAUUUAUCCAUGACAGAGCCACUUUAACAAUCCUGACGACAGGAUUACAAGAGCAGCAGAGUCCCCCCUUCAUGACAAGCGAUUAGACAAAUCACAUUAAAUCAUAUUGGACCCAGCUAUACCAUGUGUCAUGAAGGUAUAUAUGUCCUUUGCAUGUUUAUCAGUUUAGAUGUUAUUUCCCAUUUGAAAGAGAUUUAAAGCCUUACAAGAAUAAGAAAUUGUAAGGAUAAAAAGGAAUACACCUCUACAAACAUUUACAGCACCAAUUCAACAACAUUUAAACAGCAAUAUAGUCAUUAACUGAUUAGGUGGUAGUUCAAAUAUCUCUAAUGUUAGAUCCACUUCACUAGACGUGUGCAGUACAUCAUCUCCUUGCAGAUACUGGAACAAAUGUUGUAACCAAAGAUAUAGUGUGUAACUGUAGCAAAUGUUAAAAUUGAAUUGAACACUAACUGCAGUGCUUGUUUUCUGUACUAUCAACCAAAGUCUGCUGUGGUACCAAUGAUAUGGGCACACCUUAAAAAGAAGGACUGAAAUUGCACAUAGUGUAUUACCAGAAAUGUAUGAAAAUUGAUGGAUAAAAAUAAUUAAAACCCUUACCCAUAAAUGUGUCUUCACUAAGACUCACACACUGGCUUGUGCAUAUCUAAUCAACGUAUACAGCUCUGCAGGUGAGACUUAUCAUUAAGACUCACAAACCAGAUGGUGCACAUCGAAUCCAUGUAUAAAGCUCUGCAAGUUACCUGCCCUGAAUAAUGGCAGACUGGUGCUGUCCAAGUUCUCCCACACAGGAAGUUUCACUUGGCGGUAGGACGUUAAGGAUAUUAUCUGCCAGAACCACCAGGGUAGAUGGUUUGAAGAGUAUUAUGGGAGAUGUAGUCCACAACUUCUGGAGUGUCUAAGGUAGCCUACCCCUGCUGUAUUAAAACACUUCUUUCCACAUUUAGUUAAUUCUGACAACCACACAAUCGGAUUGCUGCUUUGGGGGUUGUAUUUUUUUGUUGUUGUUGUUAUUGUCAAAGGAUUCUAUUGAAAUUGUCCAUUCGGAGAUAAUGAAAAGAGGGGGGGGGGGGAAUCAGAAUUUUGGAUAGAAGGGAUGAUAUUGGUCCCAUGUGAUUCACUACUCUUCUGUGCAUUGAAUAACAAUCUGUUUCACUGGUAUGUUAACCACCUGUUUAAUAAAUGAGGUACGAGUAAGAUUUAUAUGCACCUGUCUCAGUUCUUGUCAUCCUGAAUCCUACUGAACAAUCAGGCAGUAAAAGAAUACCCUUGUGUAUAUCUUUAUGUGAUCCUUUGAAAACUAUAUCCAAAAACAAUAGGCUUUCAUUACUGUGAGACAAGAGUUCAGUAGAGGGAAUGGUUUGAUUAUAAAAUCCCCUUUUAAUAUAGACUUGAUAUUCUAUUUGCAGGACUUUACUUGUAUUUGUGAGCAUUACAAGAGCAUUGUAGGAGUAUGUUAAGGUGAUUCUCUAGAUAUUCUGAAACAUUUAAUAUCAUGCAUAUUAGCUGCAAACCCAAUUUUAAAAUAAUUAAUGAAAUUGUUACUCUUUCAAAACCUUUUAUGUGUUCAGGUUCUACUCUAUUUCUGAUUUUGCUUUAAUCUUUAAAAAACGUAAAUUUUUUUAAUAUUAUGCAUGAGUGCAAUGUUUUUAUUUUUGUUUGUUUUUUACUAGAAACCAAAUCUGUUUAAUUAUUAAUUUUACCAAAAGCUCCUAUUUAUACAAACAGAUUUAUAAUCUUUAAACUAGUUGCUGUAGUUUAAAGACAAAUGAUUGUGAAUUUUAUUGCUGUGAAGCUCUGUUAUACAAAUAUGCAGACCACGUUUCUUAGAUCCAAGAAUAGAGGUUAAUUUGAUUUUACAAUAUUGAGAAAGGAAUUUGGACUCAAAAUAUAAACUGUGUUCCUGCAGAAGGAUACUUGGUUGGUUUGUUGAAAAAAAAAAAGACCCAGUUACAAAUCCCAAGGAGAGCCCAGCGAAUACAUGUUAUGGUAAUUUGCUAGUGUUAUUUAUCAAACCAAAUAUUUAAAAAUAAAUAAAUUAAUAAAAAUUGAGCUCAGUUCAAGAUGACAAUUAGCACUAUGGGCAGAACUAGGUUCAAUGUAAAGUGGAAUGACAUAUCAUCCUGAUUUACUUAGAUUUAGAUACCUCCCUUCUGACUUACUUCUGACGUCACUGAUGACCAGAUUUGUCAAGAAUGAUGCUUGGUAAAUAAAGAGUUUACUGAGAGCACUAAAGUGCACAUUUAAGGUACAUCUGACUCUCCAGUGGUUCUCACACUUAUUUGAGACAGAAACAUUUGACUUAACCUAUGGCAACAUUUCUACUGAAGAGUUUCACUCAAAAGUUUUUGAGAGCAGCAUCCUUUAGACACCGACAGUUUCGUGAUUCCACAGCAAUGUAAUAUUUAUUUUUCUCAAAUUUGUCAGUUUGCAACUACAGAACAUUUACAGUAAAAGGUUGGCUAGAGCCCUGUCUCUACAUUAUUUUCAUUAAAUUAUAUAUUAUCACAUAAAUCCCCAGAACAAAUGGAUAACAUUUACCACAUUGCAAACAACAUGCUGGUUCUAAAAGUAGCAUAGUUGUUUUCUGUUUACACCAAUAUUAUCCUUCAUCUGCACCACAUGUUUCCUGUUUGUGUCCUUCACAAAAGUUUUGUUCUGUGCCCUUUUUUUCGUCAUUUUAAAUUUUGGCACUGUUCGUGUUUAAAAGAGGUGCACCUUUACUGUUUUCCAACAGAAUAUUUGGUGGAAUUUUUUAAACAGGUCUUACCUUUUCUUUCAGGAGUAAAAAACAUCUUUAAGUGCAGAGACACAAAUUAUUAUUCCCCCAUAUUUCAUUCUUUAAAGUGUGAAUUGUCAGGAAUCCAAGGAGAAUUUAAAAAUUUAGGACAAAAUACCUGAAUUGAAAAUAUAAAUGACUCCCACUGUUCAGUGGCUAAGAUCAACCAUUUGCAACUUCCAAACUAAACAAAAUACUAAUCUUUCUACAGAUUAACAAGUCUGUUACGAAACUACACAUUUUAAUGUGAAUACUAACAUUUGUUAUGUAUUUUAAUGUGAAUACUUUUUUUUUUUCUUUAUCAUUGCUUAACAUUCUUCCACACACUCCCAAGUUGAUCAAAUGGUACCUUCGCUAUUCUAUAUUUUUGUAAAUGUUUUAUGCUUUGCAGUUCUUUUUUUUUUUUUUUAUGUAUACUCAACGUCGGUUAAACAUAUGUAUUUCCCAGAAUAAAGGUGAGAGGACAUAUGUUUACUGUAUAAACUUGUAUUUUAUCUAAAGGAAGUAUACAACAAAAAAUAUAAAGAAGAAAAAAAACUUCUAAUUUUUUUUUUUGUUUUUCCUCUCUGCAUUCUUGUAGAUGAAUCAUAUCCAGUGUAAUUAUUUCUUUUGUACAAUCCAUUAUGCCCACAGUUGUGAAUAUGCUAGAUCUACCAGUGCUCAUUGUUAGGGUUAUACUUGACACUGACUCUUUUAUUCAAGGAGAAACAGAAGACAGAUUCCUGGACUGCCAUACAAUUUACUUAUAGUAGAAAAUAAAAAGAGAGGGGAAAAUAAAUGUAGCCCUCUCAUGAUUUAAAGCAAACAAAUGUGGGCAAUUAUUUCAGUUAAAAUGACCAGAAUUAAUUGUCUGCCUAUUGCCAUAUAUUCAGGAUGUUUCUCUUUUGAACACUAUGCAUGUGUAUUCAUUGUGUUUGUUUUUUUUUUUAACUAUUUCCAGCAAUGAUUUCUUUAUACAAAGCAAAGAGAUUAUAGACCCUUUUUGUGCAUAUGCUUUAAACACAAAAUUUUAGGCUAUAAAAGCUGUGGCUAUUGCUCAGUGCUGAAUUUUUACACACCAGCUGUUUUUGUCCUAAAUGUUGCUAUUCUGUUUAUUAUUUGUUACACUUUGCUCUUCGUGAAUACAUUCUUGGACGUUUUUACAUGUAAUUCUUCAGAGGAUUCUUAAAGGAACACUAUAGCGUUAGGAAUAUAAAUAUGUUUUCCUAACGCUAUAGAGCACUAGUCACCUAAACAGUGACUAGGCCCCCAUUUUGCAGCAAAUAAAUGGUGACCUCUCCUCCUCCAUCGACGUCAGCUCUCCGAGUGGAGCCGAAUGCACAUGCGCGGCCAGAAUAUUAAUGCGAGUAUGAGAGGAAAUUAAUUGCGUUAGCUGCAAAGUCUUAAACAGCGAACAUGAUUUAUUAUUUUUAUGAUUCAGUCAAUCAAUAUUAAAAUCUCCAAAAACCAACAGUUCACUUUUUUGGUUUUGAGCUAAAGUUUCACUUAGUAGUUUGGAAAGGGAGUGCACCGGAGAGCUGGGUGGGCGGUAGAUUCCAGCAACAAUGAGGAAAUCAAAGGCUGAAGGGGAGUUAUAGUUUUUUAACACCGUUACGGCGUUCUAUGUCAUCCUGCUUUAACUGGGCUUUAAAGCCGUUGCGGCGGCAUAGAACGUCGUAACGGCUUUCAGCCCCAGGAGCCAGGAUUUACUCACCUCCGCCGUGCUCCUCUUCUGGAGGGCUGCCUAACAGUCCAGGCAGCCCUCCCCUGGCAAAUGAGGCCCCCGGGGGCCAUGUGAUCACUCUCAAAGAGCGAUCACAUGGCCCCCUAUAGCUGGCUGUGGAUCUGCCAGCAGGGGGACUGUCUAAAAUAUCAGACAGUCCCCCUGCUGGUGGAAAAUGAAAAAUAAAUUAAACAUUAAAAAUAAAAUAUAUAUAUAUAUAUAUAUAUAUAUAUAUAUAUAUAUGUAACGUCAUACAUAGUGUAUUUUAAUAUUAAUAUAAGUACAUAUAUUUAGAAUGGCGUUACAUAUAUAUAAUAUAUAUAUAUUAUAUAUAUGUAAUAGAUAUAUACACAUAUAUUUUAUAUAUAUAUAUAUAUAUAUAUAUAUAUAUACGUAUAAUUACAAUAAAUAAAAUAAUAAAAUAAAUAAAUAAAAUAUUGAAACAAAAUUUAAUAUAAAUUAUAUAUUCAUAUGUAAUUUUAUUCUAAAUGUAUUUUGUUAUUAAUAUAUAUAUUUUUAUAUAUAUAUAUAUAUAUAUAUAUGUAACAAAAUACACUUAGAAUGACAUUCUAUAUAUCUAUCUAUCUAUAUAUAAAUUACAAAUAACCGCAAAAAUAUAUAUAUAUAUAUAUAUAUAUAUAUAUAUAGAUAGAUAAAUACAUAUAAUUAAAUAAAAGAUUACAUUAGUAUACACGUAGAAUUUAAGUACCUAUAAAUGCAUAUAUAUUAAAAUUCUACAUGUAUAUUUAAGUAAUCUUUUAACAUAAUUAUGGGAUUUGAUUAAUUAAAAUUUGAUUGACAUGCCUGACAACACAGGGAGAAAGUGCAGAGAAUUUAAUUCACACGCACUAUAUUUAACUCUGUAACUCUCCAAGACACAAUAAAACCUGUACAUAGGGGGUACUGUUUUACUCAGGAGACUUCGCUGAACUCAAAUAUUAGUGGUAAAUUGUAUUACAACAUUUUUUACAAACGAACUGCACUUUUAUGGAAUAUAUUAUUGUCGUAAUAUGUUUUACUGUUUUAAAACUCUAAUAUUUGUGUUAAGUGAAGUCUCCCGAGAAUAACAGUACCCCCCCAUGUACAGGUUUUGGAAAGUUAGAGAGUCACAUAUAAGGCUUGCAUUUAAAAAAUUUUGACAUUGAAAUUUGCCAGAUUGGUUAUGUUGCCUUUGAGAGCAUAUGGUAGCCCAGGAAUGAGAAUUACCCCCAUGAUGGCAUACCAUUUGCAAAAUUAGACAACCCAAGGUAUUGCAAGUGGGGUAUGUCCAGUCUUUCUUAGUAGCCACUUAGUCACAAACACUGGCCAACGCUAACUUUGGCCAGUGACUAAGUGGCUACUAAAAAAGACUAAACAUACCCCACUUUCAAUACCUUGGGUUGUCUACUUUUUCAAAUGGUAUGCCAUUAUGGGGGUAAUUCUCAUUCCUGGGCUACCACACCGUCUCAAAGGUAACAUUACUAAUCUGGCAAAUUUCAAUUUGAAAAUGGAACGUUCCAUAUUUGACACUGUAACUUUCCAAAACACCAUAAAACCUGUUAAUGGGGGGUACUGUUGUACUCGUGAGACAUCACUGAUUACAAAUAUGUGCAUUGUUGCAGUAAAACCUAACAGUAUUAUGACAUUCACAGCUAAAAUGUCAGACAGAAAUACAGAUUUAAAAAAAAAAUCUUAUUUUCUCACAUUUUAUUAAAUUUUAUUCAUAAUAAAUUAUGUUCCAUAUAUGAAUAGUUAAUGAUAAAUUAAAGCCCUGUUUCUCCUGAACAAAAUGAUAUAUAAUAAGUGUGGGUGCACUUAAUGUGACAGCGGUGAAUUAUGGUUGAACAGACAAAUAGUGCAAAUUCCAGUUUUUGUUUUGUUUUGAUCAGAACGUGCACUAUUGUCCUGAAGGAGUUAAAGGAGUAUAUUUUAUGGAGUGUCAACAUAAAUAGCAAUGCCUCCUCCUCUCUUUUCUCUGUAUUUUCAAAAACAUAAAUAACCCUGUAUUGCAAUAGCGGAGUCUGGUAUUUUAGUUGCUAACCAUGAUUCUGAGAGAAAUGUAGACAUACACAAGAAAAACAAGUACAAAGGCGCUAGAUCAAAAUCAAAAAAUUAUAGUGAAUAAAUCUUAUUUUAAAAAAUUCUUAUUUUAAAAAAAAGCAGCUCCUUUUAAAGUGCAAUAGCUCAAACCACACUAAAAUACAAUACAAAAAAAGAAAAAAGGUGUGCUGUGUCUUUAAAUAUAGACUAAAAUAUUUAAGUGCCAAUGAAUUAUUACAUGGGUGUGGAAUAUAAUUCCAAUUGACCAAUUUUGUGCAAAAUAGCAAUUAUGUGCAAUCCAACAAGAAAAAGUGCAAAUACAAAAAUUUCUAUGGUGUUUUGGUGUUAUAGUGAUACAAAACCACUUACAUAGGUUCAGUUUUCAAUGCAUAUAGCUGUAUCUCUUCCACAGAAAUGUAUAAGGAAAGAGAGCACAAUGAUUUUUGGUUUGUAAUGAGAACACCAGUUUAGGGAGUAAGCUACGGAUGUUGCAGUGCACAUAAGAGAGAUCUUUUUUAAUGGGGAGAUUAGGAUUAGAAUUAGCUGGGAGACCAGGGUUAGACUCCACAUCAUUUGCAAGGGCAAGUAACAUGAGGAAUAGGAAUUUGGACAUCAUUUUUGUUUGGCCAUAUAGUGAAUGGGAUACUUUAUAAUUUUGUGAGGUGGGGGUAAGGGGGUUAUUUUUUUAUAACUCUCCACCAGCACUCUGCAGAUAAGUUACAUGUGUGUGUGUGUGUGUGUGUGUAUAUGUAUAUAUAUAUAUAUAUGUGUAUAUGUAUAUAUAUAUAUAUAUGUAUAUAUGUGUAUAUGUAUAUAUAUAUAUAUAUGUAUAUAUAUAUAUAUAUAGUAAUAUAUAAGAUAUGUGACCAAAACAUAAAUUUCCUCCAAAUGACUCUAGAAAUUGGAAAUUGGUGGCUACACAUCACGUCUAAAUGGUGCAAAGGCCAUACUAUUUUAUGUGUAAUAUUUUAUAAAACAUACCACAUCCAGCACACUAAUUUACUAAACGUCAAUUUCAAAGUUUACAUAAUUAAAUAGUCUUCUUUAAAAAUACCUAACCACAAAUAAUAAGAGCGGUUUAGCCUGAACAUAUGAUUAUACAUUGCAUAGGCCUGCCACAAAUCCAAUGUACCCCAUUUUUGGGUAGCAACCAAAUGCCUGCUCUUAUGUGACCAUGCAGACACACACUCACUCACACACACACACAAUGAUCCAUGCAGACACACGCCCACUGACCUUGGUGGGCAUCGACGGCUGGCCACUGGGCUGGGUAAGGUAGGCUGUUGCUGGUCUGGCUGGGCAGGCUGGUGGCUGGGGCUGGCCUCUAGCUGGAAUGAAGGGUGAAAAGGGCAGUGCAGAGUACAGGAGAACAAUGUGCUUGGCUGCUCCCUUCUGUGCAGACUAACCUCUCUUGGUCCCAUCUGCCUCCCUCUCAUGUGAGGUGGAGGAGAUCUGGUGAAGGUUAUGAGAAUGUUGUCACAGCCCCACUCAUUUUCCUCCGAUUGGUGAAGUGGCUCAGCAGCCAGCUGGGAAGGAGAAGAUGCAGGUCUGUAAUCUCUUUCUCGCGCGGGCUCGCCGCUGCACACACUGCCAGUGAGGGAGAUGUUUGAUCUCCCCACCGGCGGCGCCCCUCUUAUGCCUGUUGUCCCGAGACCAUAACUUUGGUGGCAUUAUAGGAAAUCUGGCCCUGGCUCUAAUCAGUGAUUCUAUAUGAACAAUGGCUUUCAUAAUCAACAUUUAUGAAGAAAUGUUUAUUCAUCUAAAAAAAAUCCAUAUAUAAAUAUACCUUCAACCCUUCCUGUCUUCUGAUUCAGACUCAAAUCUAUUUUAAGGGGAAUUAUUUCAAACCUUUACUUACUGAGGUAAAAGAUGUAAAACCCACAGUUCUACUAUUAUAUUAAGGAAACGUGUUCAUAGGUUAAAUACAAAUUGGAUGAAAGCUUACAAUAUGUGUGGGCCAUAAGGUAUGCCAACUGGCAAAAACAAGCCAUGGGGUAUACUUACUAAGUAUCUGCUGACAGCCUAAUUUAGAUUUUAUCUUCUGCCACAAAAACCUUACAUUUCUAUUUGUGUAAAUAUGUCUAAUUUAAGACACUGACCACCCAUUUGACAAUCUUGCUUUGGAAAGUUAGUGGUUUUAACAGGUGUUCAUCUCUAAAAGCAGUCCAGUAAAUAAUCCACUGGCAGGAUACAUGUUUGCCACAUAUCUAAAGUUAUUUUACACUGCUGAUUUUAUUUUCAUAGUUAGAAUAGUUCACAUUUUUAUAAAUCAAAUUGCAUACAACAGACAGAUUAAACUUUUUGCAUUAUUGCAUUGGUGUUGUAACUUUAACGGUCAGGGGUAGAAAUAACACAAAUAUUUAAUUGUAGAAUGAAAGGCAAAAGUUGCUGGACUUGUUUUCUCUAUGUGGAAAGCUGUUUAGCAGACAUGCUUCUUUACAAUACCAACUAUGUAGUUGUGUUAUCUCAAUAUUAAUAUCCGAAAAAAAAGAUAUCUGCAGUAGGUUUCAGAAUGUUGUAACUCUGGUGCAGUUUGCAAGGUACAAGAGCAUGCAGAUUUAACACUAAAUAAAGCAUGCAAAAUCCUAGUAUAUUUGACUCCAUUUGCACAUCUUCAUUGUUAGUUCAAUUUUCAGCAUGCUCAUCUUAGCCUUUUGUCAUUGCAGUGUCAAUAAAAUAAGCACAAUUAUGCAGAUUAUUACAUCCAGACAUAAGGACCAAAUAACCUAAAUUGUGCUUAGUGAGCAUUGAGUUAGAUAACUGACAGCCUGAAUUUACCAGUAUGUUAUUGGCACAGCUGGUAUUUGAGGCAAUACAAAUGCCAGUAUUUUUUUUUUCUAAGACUGAGAUCAGACUGUAAUACCUAUGCUGGCCUAUAGGGUGAGCUGUGUAUGGAGAAACACUACUAUGUCUCUCCUCCCUAGAGUGGGGACCAUACCUGUGGAGCCACUCUAUAAUCUCCAGUACAUGUGAGUGCACAUCUUUUAUAGCUAUAUAUUUUAAUAUUGAGUCUGGAAUAUUGCACUAUAUAUUUCUGAUUUCUCCUACAUAUCUACAAGAGAAGCUGCAUCCACAAGAACCUCCUAUAGAGUCUGUACUCCACCAUAUCGUCAGGCAAGGAUUAUUUUGCCCAAGCGUCUAAGUUGGAGUUUCACCUUAGAGUGCAUAGAAUUUUAUUUACCCUCACCUUAAUGUAUUUUCUACAUACUUCACUAUCAGUUUCCUAUUUUUCCUCCUUUUUAUGGUUAUAUACACACACUCCAAGGACAUUCCAGGGGCUGCACCACCCUCUCAAUUUUGAAACAUGGAAUGUCCUUUUAAAUUUUUUAUUUGCUGCCCUGUUCUACCCCUCUUGUUAUUUUCUGUGUCUGUUUUAUUCUGGAAAGGGCAAUACCGAAUUUAUUUAUUUUACAAAAAACAAACAGGUAUUGUCAUAACAAUAUGUAAAAUAAAUUAUUUAUCUCCUUAUAAAUUUAGUAUGUAGUGAUAAUUCCACUAGUGGAUAGUUCCACUAGUGCAUUUUGGCAUAUAUCUGUAUCUUGACUAAAUAUGUUUUUCCUCUGUGGACUUUAGGAUGCCUUGUCAGAACUUCCAAUUUAUAUCCGUUCUACUUACACCCUUAACUGCUACUUAACACAUAAUCGUAUGCCAGUUGGGUGGAAUUACUGAAAGGCAUUUUGCCAUGUGCUUCUAAGGAUGAGGAUUAAGAAGAAGCUGAGUUACAACUUUGUUUAUUUCAUCUCAGCACCAUAUUAUAUAUAUUUUUAGCCGCCUUUAGUCCAGAAAUGUGUGUGUAUUUGUGUGUCAUAACAGAUAUUUUUUUACAAUCAGCUUGGAUCUUGGAAGUUCAUGCAUGAAAUGUUUGGGAUUGGAAUAAAAGAAUUGUAGUUAUUUAAUUUCAUUUAUAAAACCAUACAUAUUAACAAAGCUAUGUUAGCUCAUAUUGAAUUUUAAAUAUCAUGAAUCACAUGAUACCAUUGCACGUUUUCAAUUAAAAUCUGUCAAUUAGUUGACAACAUAUUUUGGAGAUAGGAUAUAAUAUUACGAGAUAAAGAUCUUAACCAAGAUGAACUUUUAAAAUUCCCUAAAUACUACUAAUAAUUACAUUAGAAGAUAAAAAAUGUCAAAUGAUCUCAUCACAGACUCUUUUUUAGUAUGGCAAAAGCUAUAAGCUGCUAAGGGAAAAGGUGGCCUGCAAGCAGGCUUUAAAUUUGUAUUUUUAGAAGAGAACCAUUUCUUUUGAUUGACAGUAUAUAUAUGUUUCAUUUGGCAUGUUUAUUCUAUGUGAAAUGAGUUAUUAUGAUCUGGAGGUGAGUGAUUACUUUAUUUAAUUUUAUAACAUAAAUAUUUUCAGGAAUCAUUCUAAAGACGCUUGAAAUAAAGACUCGAGGAAGUGACCAGUAACGGUUCAAUGACCAUUAAGUCCUGGGAAUGAAUUUGGAAAACGAAUGAGAUGUAAAAAUAUAGUGCAUAAUACUAGAAUUAUACAAGUGAAAGGUUAUUCCACUACUCCAUUACUUAGAGCAUUAUACAAAACACAAACAUGCACAUUAAACACUACAUGAAGCAUGAGUAAUCCUAUUUAGGCCAGUAAGAUUGCUUGGUGGAUAAAACUCAAACUGCAUCUUCAUUUUCUGGCAUGGUCAGUUUAGCUGUUUGUUCUGCCAAGAUUAAUGAAAUGUGUACAAAUAAGUUGAUUGCAUCUAGACCCAGUGACAUAUUUGGAAAUUAAUAGCAAGCUAAAUGUAUCUUUCUUGGGUAAAUACAUUGUUAUUUUCCAAAAUACAUAAAGAUUUAUUCACUAAAGUGUAAUUUUAGAGUAAGUUAAAAUAAACUUCAAAAUGUACAAUAUUGUGCCAUAACAUUUGAAAUUAAGUUUGAAUUCCUCAAAAUUCUCACUUUAGUGAAUAGUGCUGUUAGUCUAUUAUAACUUUGUUAUACAGUUCAUUUGUUCCCUACCAUGCAGCGAGAUAAGGGGACUCUAAUUUUAAAUUCAACAUUAAAAGUAAAAAUCACCCUUCUUAGGACACCAUCCAAGCAUUAUGGGUGAUGAUAUGUUUGACCUGGACUUCCAAUUCUUAAUUAGCUUUUAAUGCAGCAUCAAAAAAACAGUUUACAGUAUGAGUUUAAAGGGACACUAUAGUCACCUGAACAACUUCAGCUUAAUGAGGUUGUUCAGGUGAGAACUAUAGCUCCCUGCAGCCUUUCUCAUGUAAACACUGUAUUUUCUGAGAAAAUACAGUGUUUACAUUGAAAGCUAGGAACACCUCUAGCUGCAGUCACUCAGAGUGAACCAGGGGGACUUCAGUGUUGAUGGAGGCAUAAUAUGCCUCCAUCCACUCAGUUCUGCUGUCAGCAGAGCACAUGGCAGCACUGUGCACAGCAUCCUGUGAUUCAGUAUCUCCUCCCUCUACAUGCAGACACUGAACUUUCCUCAUAGAGAUUCAUUGAUUCAAUUCAUCUCUAUGAGGAGAUGCUGAUUGACCAGGGCUGUGUUUGAAACAUGCUGGCUCUGCCCGUGAUCUGCCUCUUUGUCAGUCUCAGCCAAUCCAAUGGGGAAGCACUGUGAUUGGAUCAGGCUACCACAUGUCAGCAGACUGCUUGUUUUUCUGAGUCUAACAGCAUGAGGAUUUACAGCUUCAGGCUUGAAUACAGUAAGAUUUUUACUAUAUUUAUGGAGGCAUGAGAGGCCCAGGGGGGCUAGAUGGUGGUGUUAACACUAUAGGGUCAGGAAUACGUUUGUGUUCCUGACCCUAUAGUGAUCCUUUAAAGAUAUUGAAAGGAACACCUUAAAUUCUUCUAUGCAGAUGCAAGUUUAUGUUAUUUAAAUUGUGUGACUUAUAAUUUAAAGACUAUGACUAUCCAGUUGUGUGAUAUCACUAUUAAUAACACUAAGUAGUUCACUAACUCUUUCAGUGCCCUGGCAUAUUUAUUUUCUUUGAUAGCUCUCAUACUCUGUUAUGAACUUUUUUUUUUUGUUCUCCUCUUCUACCUUUGUCUUAGUGCAUAGUAUCCCUUUCAAAUGGAGUUCACAUAGAACUUUGUAUAAAAGUGCUACAAAUGUUAAAUUAACCCCUCAAGGACAACUUCAGAAGUGAAACAAAAUAUCUGGAAGGUUUGCCGUUUGUUCCAUUGUAAUCUAAGGGUUUGUCUAUUAUACUGUAUAUUGUAUAAUGGCUUUCUUUUAAUAUCCUAUAUGUUUACCAGUGGCAUACAUAAAGGGGUCGCAGGGGUCCCCUUGCAAAACCCUGCGACCGGGUACCAGCCACCAUGUUUUGCGGCCCACCGCCAGAGUGGCAAACCACCGGGGCCGCCGUUCAACGGGUCCAUCGGGUGGCCCAGCAGCCAUGGAGAUUGAUUUUCAGGGGGCCAGAUCAGCGCUUCGGCGCUUUAAAAGCGCAACCGGGCCCCCUCUCACGCUGGGAGGAAGUGACUUCCCUGGUCACUCUUCCCAGCAUACACAGCGUCCGCGCGGGAGGAAGCAGAGGAGGGAGUCAGAGUGGGAACUCUGACUCCCAUCAACCUGAGCCACCACUGGACCCCAGGGAAAGUCACCCUCCUGCACCUAAAAGGUAGGAAACAGGAGGGUGACUUAAACAUUUUGUAUAUGUAUAUGUGUGUGUAUGUGUGCCUGUCUGUCUGUCUGUAUGUAUGUAUGUGUGUCUGUGUGCCUGUCUGUUUGUAUGUAUGUGUCUUUGUAUGUGUGUGUGUCUAUCUGUAUGUAUGUGUCUGUGUGCCUACGUGUGUGUCUGUCUGCAUGUAUGUGCCUGUAUGUUUGUAUGUAUGUGUGUCUUGUGUGUGUCUUGUGUGUGUCUAUCUGUAUGUAUGUGUCUGUGUGCCUAUAUGUGUGUCUGUCUGUAUGUGAGCUUGUCUUUGUAUGUAUGCAUGUCGUGUGUGUGUGUGUGUAUGUAUGUGACUGUAUGUCUGUCUGUCUGUGUGUCUGUAUGUAUGUAUUUUUGCCUGUCUGUAUGUAUGUGUCUUUGUAUGUGUGUGUGUGUGUCGGUCUGUCUGUAUGUGUGUGUGUCUGUAUGUAUAUGUCUGUCUGUGUGUCUGUCUGUAUGUAUGUAUUUAUUUUUGCCUGUAUGUAUGUGUGUGUGUCAGUCUGUGUCUGUGUGUGUGUGUGUGUGUGUCUGUAUGUAUGUGUCUUUUUAUGUAUGUGUGUCUUGUGUGUGUGUCUGUGUUUGUGUCGGUCUGUAUGUAUGUGUCUGUGUGUGUGUGUCGGUCUGUAUGUAUGUGUCUGUGUGUGUGUGUCUUUUUAUGUAUGUGUGCCUGUCUGUUUGUAUGUAUGUGUGCCUGUAUGUAUCUAUAUGUAUGUGUGUGUCUGUAUGUGUGUGUGUGUCUGUCGGAGGGGAGGGGGCCCAUGGAUUGUGUAAGCCACUGAUGUAUAUCUAACACAACAUUGAUAAGGUUACAUAGUUACAUUGGGUGAAAAGAGACAUGCACCCAUCAUCUCACAACUGUUUUGGCUGUUGAUCUAAAAGAAGGCAAAAACUUAGUUUGAAGAGUUUUCCAAUUUUACAACACACAAGGAAAAAAAUCCCUUCAUGACCCCAGAAUGGUGGUCAGCUCUCUCCUUGGAUCAAGAAGCAGUUACUUCUCAUAUUAAAAAAAUACUAAAUCCCUGAAUAUUAUGUUAUUCAUUAAACACUGAAUUUUACACAAAUGGACAAAAUCCUGUGAAAAUGGCCUAAUUCCAACCAAAUUGGCUAUUUACUGAUUUACUUAAGCCAGUUGUGGUCAGGAUUUGGUCAGUCUGACCGAUUCUGUAAAAUUUGAUUAUACGAGUUAUCACUUACAUCUGCAUCCCAACCAAACUCUACUUUUACAUAUCUCAAACCUCACCUGCCCCAGCUCUGCAAUCUCCUUCUACAAUUCCACCCUCACCUCUCAACUAGACAGCAUGGCACCUCCUACACUUAAACGGAGCAAGCGCCCCCAACUACAACUUUUCAUAUUCCCUUGUAUCUCAUCCGUACUCUUUCUCCUUCUCUUGUUUUGCCUCUCACUAAAAUGAUCUACUCGCUGCAAAAUCUCAUGGUCACUACUCUAUCCUAAGUCUCCUUGACCUUUCCACUGCUUUUGAUACUUUUGAUCAUCAACAGCUUCUUCUCAUCCUCGGUCUACGAGAUAUUGCGCUCUCUUGGUGCUCCUCCUACAUCACCCAGUGCUCUUUUAGUGUUUCUUUCUCUGGCUCUGCCUUUUCCUCCCAACCUCUCUGUUUGUGUCCCCCAAGUUCAGUCCUUGGUCCCCUAUAAAAGUGUGAAACAAUAACAUACAUCACAUAUUUGGGUAAGUCCACUGGGAAACAUAAUUGGAAAAUUUUCAGUUCGGCAUUCCGAAAUUCGGGGGGGUUCGGAACUUCGGCAUUUCAGAAUUUCGGGACUUCUCUUGCAGCCGCUUAGUAGAUAACUCCCUAAUUCCCACGGUAUUAGGGAGUUAUCUACAAAAAGGUUGAAAGACCUAAAUUGGUCUUUUAGCCACAUUUACUAAUACUAAGUAAAAAUUACUUAGUGUUAGUAAAUAAUAUGCCCCUACUCGCUAUACCUAGAAAAAACAUCCCCACCCCACCCCUGAGCGGCGGGUGGGGGCCCUAAAUAUUAAUAAGGGGGGACACACCUAUUGUCCUCACCCCUGAGCGGUGAUUGGGGCCCUUAAUUAGAAUAAGGGGGAGAACCUAUUGUCCUCCCCCUUGGCCCCCACCCCUGAGCGGCGGGUGGGGGCCCUAAAUACCAAUAAGGGGGGCCUAUUGUCCUUCCCCCCAGCCCCCACUCCUGGUCCCCAAACCCCUAGUCACCCCCGCCCCCCAAAAAAUAACCCCUACCUACCCCCCACCCUAAAAAUAAUAAGGGGGGACCAUAAACUAGAACCUGUAAAAAAAAAAAAUACCAUUUGAUGUCUUCUUUCUUCUAAAAUCUUAUUUUUUCAGCUCCAAAAAAGGCCAAAUAAAAAUCCAUAUUAACCGAUGCACUUUAAAUAAACAAAACCCGAGGGCAAAAAAAAAUAAUCCUUCUUCACCCAUGGAGGGCUCCACGCAGAAUGAGCUCUGCAGGGCGGGGGAAGGCUUAUAAAGCAAUUAGGCUCAGAGCACCCUGAUUGGUUGGUUUAAAGCCAUCCAAUCAGAGUGCUCUGACAGGUAAGUCUCUAGAUUUACCUGUCACACCACUCUGAUUAGUUAGCUUGGAAUCCAGCCAAUCAGAGUGCUCUGUGUCAUUUUACACAGCAUGGGACUUUCAAUGUCCCCCCCCUUUUGUAUACUUUUUAUUUAAACUCAUAUACAGUGUAACAUUCUUCAUUCUUCCACUGGGUAUAUUACCACUUGGGCAAUACUGUGCUUCGGAACUUCGACACUUCGGAAAUUUGGCAAUUUUGGAACUUCAGGAAUUCGGCAAUUCAGCUAUUCGGACAUUCGGAUGUAUCCGAAUUGCCAUUUGGAACAAAACAAAUUGCACAUGUCUAAAACAUAAGCAAUCACACACUCUGAAACAUUUGGUACUACCAACUCUGAUGCUCACCUUAAAGAUUUCUCUAGGGCUGCACCGUUAAAAAAAAUCAUUAAAACUCACUUUUUCACAAACGGAUAUCAAUUAAACUGUUAAUGGCUCAAAAAAAAAAAAAAAACCCACACUGUCUUCUUUGAAUACUAUUCUACCAAUCUACUUCCCUAAUACUUCCCUUUACUUUUGUGUCACUUUACCCCACUCCCUCUAGCAUGUUAGCUCAUUGAACAGGGCCCUCAACCCCUCUGUUUCUUUGCGUCAAACUUGUCUGGUUACAAUUACAUGUUUGUUAGUCCACCCAUUGUAAAGUGCUACAGAAUUUGUGUGUGCUAUAUAAAUAUAAUAAGGAUUUACAGCACUGUAAACAGAGAUUUAUCAAUGACAGCAUGGCUGUUGAUGAUAAACCGAUGCAUCUAGGAGAAUGGACAUUCACAAAUUAUCAUACAGUUAAAUUUUGCAAGUCAAUCGACAGUUUGAAGUACUAUUUGUCCACUGGCCCCUUUCUUACUUGAAAUGUCACUUCUCUCAAGACCUGGCUACCAGAGUGCUCUGAUUGGUUGGUGCACCAAACAAACAAUCAGAGAGCUCUUGUUCAUAUUGCAAAGCAUUGAAAAAAAAAAAAAAAAGGUCUUUGAAAGCUAUCAGAGCUAAUUCUGUGCUUUUAUUUUGUGUGUGCUUUCCUUUUUUUUUGGUUGGGAUUUUUUUUUUAAUUUUAAUUAAUGGCAUUGGUUAUUCUGGAUUUUUAUUGGUCUUUUUUGGGGCUGAAGAAUAAGAAGAAAUAAGACUUCGGGUGGUAAAUAUAAUUUUUACUUAAUAGGUUUUCAAUCAAUUAACCCCCUCCUCACUAUUAUAUGGCUGAGGGAGGAGAGGUUAGGACAUUAGGACAAUUUUAUAAGAUGGCUAAGGGAAAUGGGACCCCUAGCCACUCGGGUAGGGACAACUUAAGUUGGGUGAGGGAUAAUGGCAUGUCCUAUUCUAUAAUUAAUUAGGGCCUCUAACCACGCUUAUGGGUGUGAGCAGUAUUAGGGAACAAUUGGUCCCGCUUUUAGUAUUAAUACUAUGGCCCACACCUGCCAGGUGAGAGCCAGGAGAGAGAACAUAGGUUCAGCCUUCAUUAUUACUAAUACCAGAGCCCCCACUCACCGCUCAUGGUGGCCAGGUUAGGGGACAAUAGGUCCUUCCCUUUAUUAAUAAUAUUCGGGGCCCCCACCUGCCACCCAUCGGUGGAGCCAUGGGAGGAGACAAUAGGUCCUCCCACUUUAUUACUGAUAUUUAAAAAAACAAAAAACUUCAAAAUAGAUUAACAUAUAAGUAAGUCCUGAUUGUUAAAUGUCUCAUAUGUCAGGGUCUAAAUAUUUAUUUUUCACACAAUUAACUUUUAUUUAUUUUGUAAUAGUACAAAUAGUAUACAAAGAUGUUAGAGAUGUACAUCUGAUGCAAUACAUCUGUAUUAAACGAACAACGCAGCAAAUAUGGAGAUAAUCAAACAGGUGUUGUGUAUGUAAUCAGACUUUUCUCUUAUCAAUGUAGAAAGGGUAAUUUUAGAGAGAAAAAUGAAUGGGGGGGAUGGUUUGUAGCACUACCUUUGUAAGGGGCACCUUUAACAUUUGUUAUUAUAGUUAGAGAGUUUGCACCUAGUGAUUACUGUGAAACGACCAGCCACGCAUUUCUCGAAGACCAGAGACCACAGCUAUUAGAUGAGGUUAAGAAAAUGGGAUGGAUGAUUUGAUGCCAGUUUAACUUGAACUAAGGACCAUAUGUCCCUAGCCUUUCUCCAAAAUAUUCCUUUACAGGAAUAUUUCCUAACGGAAGUUUUGUAGGCACCUGUUAAAGAACCUUGGUUAAUUAGUUCUAGCUUGAAUGUUUGGAUUACAGGAGACUUCCAGUGUUUGGCUAAUAAUGUUAGCGCCGCUAUCAAAGUGUGGAACAAUAACAUACAUCACAUAUUUAGGAAAGUCUACUGGGAAACAUAAGCAAUCACACACUCUGAAACAUUUGGUAAGGAAUGAGUAAGGAAUAAUUGACGACAGGCCGUUGAAUUAGUAGAAAAAUAAUGCACACCCUAAGGUGGUAAUGCGGUCACAACGCGAAGUGGAGUGGCUGUUACAUCUUGGGUGUGCAUUAAUUUUUCUAAUAAUUCAACGGCCUGGAGUCAAUUAUUCCACUUAUACUACAGUUACCACACCUCGAAACAUUGUUCAGAUGAUUUAUUUCAAGACGUUUGUCAAGUUUUUGUCAUCAAAACGCUCUUGUAUGUAGGACUAAUUUCUUACGCAUCAAUUCCCAUCUCUUCGUUGCUAAUUCCUAAAUGUCAUUUAAGAGUUAGUAACGGAGAUUUGAGCCACUGAUAGCAGACUAAUGCAGUUGUUAGUGCAGUUAUUAGAGAGACAGAGAGAGGUUGCAAUAAUGAGACAGAAAAUUUAUUUAUUUAUUCAUUAGUUUUAAUUAAUUUGUUAAUUUUAUUUUUCUAUUAUUGGCAGUAGGCUGUAACGAAAACCCGUGCAGCUGGACUAUCUAUUUAUAUAUAUUCAUUUUAAUUUUCUAUUGAUUUAUAGAUAGGACUAUAUACUUUAUUUAUUCCAAUUAAACUGCACAUUUCCAUUGAUUGUGAAGUUAGACAUCGAAAAUGGCAGAUCAAGCGCAUGGGGUUGCAUGUUAGCAAAGGGUUGUUUUUCCUGGUGAUCCUUGGCUUGAUUUUCGUUUGUACUUUUGUUUCCUGAGAGGAUAAAGCUCCAUUUCUUUCUUUCUGUAGCAGAAGGUGCCCAGUAGCUUCUUAAUAAUUUCCGUUAUUACAGUUGACUACGCAAAAUGAUAUGGAACUGUAAUGCGGUCAAGACCUGUCUGGAACUACUUUAGCCAUGCGUCUCCCUGAAAAUAAUGCACACCUUAGAACGUUCGUCAACCAAUCAGAUUCAAGCAUUCACCGGCCCUGUAGUAUAAUGGUUGCAUAAUGUAACCACUCCCUAUACCAACAAUGUCAGCAUUCAGGCCAAUUCCACCACAGAUGCAACAUCGGCACCGUCCCCAAAGCAUCUUUAGCACAAGGCCGAAUACGUUUUGCUCAUCAGAGUGGAGACUAAGUACCAAUGGUAAACUCCUAUGGAGCUCAAUAUGAGCUACGCAGUGGGCAUGGGCGUCUGCAGGGUGGGAGGGGGGGGGGAGAAAUAAUUGUAAUGACAGACAUGCUUGGUCCCUUUUUGACAAUGUCAUGAAUGGGAGGAGCAUAGUCAUUAUCACAUAAAGCCAGGGUGAAUAGCGUUUUCACAACUAUGGUGUCAGGAAUACAUGUUUGUUUUCCUGACACUACAGUGUUCUUUUAAUCAAAUUAAAGGAACAUUCUGGUCAUCAUAACAACUUAAUCUAAAUGAAAAUGCUAUGAUGCAAGGAGGCCCCUGGCUGCUGUUUUUCCUUUAAAGGGUGAAACCGCUCUCAAAUUGUUUAACCCCAAAGGUUUCAUCCAGCUCCAGGUCGCUCAGUGGUAUUUGGCUUCUGAAACGGAGUGUCAGGAAGUGCAGAUUGACGUCAGGCAUGGGUGCUACAGAUUGGCUAGAGUGGUCAGCUGAUGCUCUAAGCCAAUCGCUAGUUCUCGAUUCAUACAUUUUUUUAUGUUUUAUGAAUGGGGAGCUACUGAUUGGCUUAGAGUGCCAGCUGAAUGGUCUAGUCAAUCAGUGACACCCCUAUCCAGCGACACUCUGUGUUUCCUGACACUCCGUAAAUAAAAGUGAACACAUUAAAACUAAUAUGUUUUUUACCUGGGGAGUCGAGAAGGUCCAAAGUUUCCUGCCAGGCCCAGUUACCAAAGCCUUAUGAUGUGGUGUCCAGAAUGAAGUGGAGGGAUCACUUCGCUUGUCCUUCCUGCUCCAAUCUCAUUUUCUUCUACAUUUGACAGUCUUUUUUUCUUCUGACACUGUCUUCUCUCCUCCUUGGCACCUUCAGCUCCUUUACCUUUCUGCUACUUCCUGCUUAUUUUGCACCCUUCUGCUCCUUUCUCUUUCUGAUCCCUUUCUGCUCCUUGCAGACCCUUCCUUCUCCUUGCAGACCCUUCCUGCUCCUUGCUGCCCCUUUCUGCACCCUCCUGCUUCUUGCAGACCCUUCAUGCUUCUUGCUGCCCCUUCCUUCUCCUUGCUGCUCCUUGUUGCCCCUUUCUGCACCCUCCUGCUCCUUGCAGACCCUUCAUUCUCCUUGCAAACCCUUCCUUCUCCUUGCUGCCCCUUUCUGCGCUCUCCUGCUUCUUGCAGACCCUUCCUGCUUCUUGCUGCUCAUUUCUGUUCCUUCUCCUACUUUACCUUUGUGCUCCUACUGCCCCUUGCAGAUAAUUGUUAACCUUUUCUGCUCCUUGAUUUCCCUUCCUGCUCAUUGCAGAACCUUCCUCCUUCUUGCUGCCCCUUCCUGCUCAUUGCAGACCCUUCCUGCUUCUUGCUGCCCCUUCCAGCUCCUUGCUGACCCUUUCUGUUCCAUGUAGAUCCUUCCUACUCCUGGCGGACCCCUCCUGCUUCUUGCUGACCCUUCCUGCUCCUUGCUGACCCCUUCCUGCUCCUUGCUGCCCCUUCCUACAACUUACUGACCCCUCCUGCCCCUUGGAGACCCUUCCUACUCCUGGCUGACCUUUCCUGCUUCUUGCUGACCCUUCCUGCUCCUUGCUGAACCCUCCUGCUCCUUGCUGACCCCUCCUGCUCCUUGCUGCCCCUUCCUACUCCUUACUGAAACCUUCUGCUCCUUGCAGACCCUUCCUACUCCUUUCUGACCCCUCCUCCCCCUUGCUGACCCUUCCUACUCCUUGCUGGCCCCUCCUACUCCUUGCUGACCCCUCCUGCCCCUUGCUGCCCCUUCCUACUCCUUACUGAAACCUCCUGCCCCUUGCAGACCCUUCCUACUCCUUGCUGACCCCUCCUCCUCCUUGCUGCCCUUCCUGCUCCUUCUGCUUCACCCUCCUGCCCCUUGCAAACCUUUCCUACCCCUUCCUGCUUCUUGCUGCCCCUUCUGCUCCUCCUAUUCCUUGCUGACCCCUCCUGCCCCUUGCAGAACCUUCCUGCUCCUUCUACUUUACCUUCCUGUAGGCUGUCUCCCCCCCUCCCCCCAUGCCUCACUUACCUGAUCUGUAGGUCCCCGCCAAUGUAUCACUUACCUGACCUGUAGACUGCCCCCCCAUGUCUCACUUACCUGACCUUUAGUUUGCCCCCCCAUCCCUCACUUACCUGAUCUGUAGGCUGUCUCUGCAGUUGCUGGCUGCUGCUCCCCUGCGGUUUCAGUCAUGAGAGAGAAGCAGGGAUAAGCUGUAGCUUCCUAUCCCUGCCUUUCUCUAUUCACAGCGCCACCUACUGGCCGGCGCCAGUUUAGUAUCACACAAACGAAAAAGAGCAGCACAAGCUGAAAAAUCCAGCAAGUGCCCCCCCUUACAUCCCACCUGUGGACGCCCAUGGCAGUGGGUUAAUACUUUAAAAAUGCUAAAAGCGCUUUGACAGCUAUUAUCGGGGAGUGUACAUCUCAGCUCUUUUUCACAUGUCUGAAUAGAAGUGAGGGGGACCGUAUCGUUUAAUAAUUUGUAUAUAACGGAAAUACCAACAUUUUCUCACACACAGUGUUUAAAGGAAUUCAUUGUUUGUGAACUAGCCCUCAGGGAUAUAGGAAAAGGGAACGUGGUCUCUGCAUAAGGUAAAUGUUGUGUGGUAUCCAGGUAUGUUGUUAGUCGAGUAUUUAGGAGAGCCAUAGAAAUAUUAGAAACAUAAACUUUUAGGCAACCAAAUUAAAUAAGAAAUUUUACUUUUAUUUGCCCAAAAGGCUUCUGUAUGAACCCAUUGAGGUGUCUCAGGGUGAAAAUGGGAAUUUAUGAUACUGCUGUCUGUAGUAUAAAUGGAUGUUUGGUAACAGAAGCCCUCCGCACCAGUAAAUAUAAAGUUCUGACUGAUACCAUCAGUAGUCCACCUGCGCACAUAAAUUUACUCAAAACAUUCUGCACAGUCUUUAACCCCUUAAGGACGAGUGACGGACGAGGUCCGUCACUCAGGGGAAACCCUUAACGACGAGUGACGGACCUCGUCCGUCAUGCGGUAAAAUUAACCCUGGAUCGCCGCUAUUGCGGCGAUUGCGGGGUUAAUGGUGCUCCGGUAUGCCUCUGCAUUAGAGGCAUACCGGGAGCACCCGGUCAGGCUGCCCCAGCAUAUGUGCUCGCUCUGACUUGUGGUCAGAGCGAGCACAUGUGCUCUGUAUACUCACCUACCGGCUCCCUGCACUUCCGGGUUCUGUGUGAAGUGCAGGGAGCCGGAUCAGUGCUGAUCCUGCCCCCUACUGGAAAAAAAAAUAAAGUUUAUUUAAAGUCCCCCCCCCCCUUACCCAUUUUAAUAAAAAAUUAACCCCUUCCCUGCCAAUUGAUCACUGACUACAAUGAUCAAUUGGCAGGGAUUACAUUUUACUAUGAUCUGAUUUUUUUUUUUUUUAACCCCUGAGGGUUAAUUCAUUUUUUUUUAACCCUCAGGGGUUAAAUUUAUUUAAUUAAUUAAUUAAAAUAUUUUAAAAUUAUAUAUUUAGCUAGCUGGGGUGGGUGGAAGUUAGUGGGGAAUUGGGGGAUUUGGCGUUAGGCUAACUAGGGGUUAACGUUAAAAAAAGUUUUAAAAUAACCUUUAAAAAGUAAAAAAUUAAGCUUAAAAAAUGUUUUAAUAACGUUUAAGUAAAAAAAAAAAAAAAAACCCUUUACCUAGUCCAAAUAAAAAUUAACCCCUUCCCUGCCAGUCGAUCACUGCCUACAGCGAUCAAAUAGAGAUCACAGUAUUAUACUGUGAUCUAAUUUUUUUUAACCCCUGAGGAUUAACUUUUUAUUUAUUUUUUAACCCUCAGGGGUUCAAUUUAUUUAAUUAAUUAAUUAAAAUAUUUUAUAACUAUGUAUUUUGCUAGCUGGGGUGGGUGGGAGUUAUGGGAAAAUGGGGAAUUUACUGUUAGUGCUGCGUACUGCUAGUUAGGGGUUAACGGUAAAAAAAAAAAGCUUAGAAAAAUGUUAAAUCUGUAAAAAAGUUUUAAGAAAGUUUAGGAAAGUUUAAAAAAAAUUAAUACGCAAAACAAAAGUUUAAAAACUAGUUUUUAAAAGUAAAAAAGUUAUAAAAAGUUAAAAAAUACAUUUUAAAAACGCUCAUUACCACUACACCUGGAACAAACUAGAGAAAAAAUUAUCCCACGCCAAGGUUCAAAAUAUGCCUUUUGAAUUACCCCAGGGUGUAUUCUUUAAUAAAUAGUAUGUGUUUGUGGGGAAGUUUCAAUAACCAACUGUCUAAACUACUCCAAAUUGGAACAUGGACACAGCGUAAAACUUCAAAGUUAGAAAAAAACUGAAUGGCUGCGUCUCAAAUGCGCCCCUUCAACAUCCACAUAUACCUGGCAAAGGUACAUACAGGGGUAUUGCUGUACUCAGCCGACAUAGCUGAGCAACAUAUGAAGUAUUAUACAGUCAUAGCACACAUAAGGUUUGCAAAAUAUGUUGCACAAACUCACUUUGUAUGUCAAAAAGGCAGAAAAAAUGCUUAUUACCACUACACUUGGUACAAGCUAGCGGAAAAAUGAUCCCACGCUAAGGUUCAAAAUAUGAAUUUUGAAAUACCCUGGGAUGUCUUCUUUAAGAAAUGGUAUGGCUUUAUGGGGUAUUUGGAUUAUAUAGCCUGGUAAAAUACUCUAAAAUGGGACAUAGGCACAGCAUAAAAAUUCAAAGUUUGAAAAAAACUGGAAUGGCUGUGUCCCAAAUGUGCCCCUCCGAUGUCCACACAUACCUGGCAAAGGUACAUACGGGGGUAUUGCUGUACUCAGCCGACAUAGCUGAGCAACAUAUGAAGUAUUAUACAGUCGUAGCACACAUAAGGUUUGCAAAAUAUACUGUGCAAACUCACUUUGUAUGUCAAAAAGGCAGAAAAAACGCUUAUUACCACUACAUCUGGUACAAGCUAGCGGAAAAAUGAUCCCACGCUAAGGUUCAAAAUAUACCUUUUGAAACACCCUGGGGUGUCUACUUUAAGAAAUGGUAGGCCUUUGUGGGGUAGUUUGAAUUUAAAACCUGCGAAGAUGCUUGGAAAUUGCACAUAGGCCCAGCGUCAAAAUUCAAAGUUUGGUAAAAAUGGAUAUGGCUUGGUCUCCUAUAUGGCACUGUAGCUUCACGAAAUAGUGCCAAAGACAUUCAUUGGGGGUGUCUUUUUACUCAGAAGACUUAGCUGAGCAUAAUUUGGGAGGUUUGAACUUAGUGGCACAUAUGAAAUAUACAAAACGCCCAGCAAAAAUGCAAUCCGUAUGUAAAAAAUGCACAAAAUAAUUUUUUUACCACAUACUUUGGCAUAUAUUGGUGAAAAAAUGGGGGUAUGUUAAGGCACAAUAUGCACCUUAUGAGAUACCCUGGAGUGUCUACUUUUACAAAUGGUAGGCCUUUGUGGGGGUUUUUGAACAGUCAAACUGUUAUAAUACCCCAAAUGGAAGCUAAGGCUCAUUAAAUCCAUCUCUCAAAAUUCUACUGUGAAUACUGUAAAGGACAGGUCUCCUAUAUGGCACUGUAGCUUCACGAAAUAGUGCCAAAGACAUUCAUAUGGGGUGUCAUUUUACUCAGAAGACUUAGCUGAGCAUAAUUUGGGGGGUUUGAACUUAGUGGCACAUAUGAAAUAUACAAAACGCCCAGCAAAAAUGCAAUCUGUAUGUAAAAAAUGCACAAAAUUAUUUUUUACCACAUACUUUGGCAUAUAUUGGUGAAAAAAUGGGGGCAUGUUAAGGCACAAUAUGCACCUUAUGAGAUACCCUGGAGUGUCAACUUUUACAAAUGGUAGGCCUUUGUGGGGGUUUUUUGAACAGUCAAACUGUUAUAAUACCCCAAAUGGAAGCUAAGGCUCAUUAAAUCCAUCUCUCAAAAUUCUACUGUGAAUACUGAAAAGGACAGGUAUCCUGUGUGGCACUGUAACUUCACAAAAUAGUGCCAAAGACAUACAAUGGGGGUGUCAUUUUACUCAGCAGAUGUAACUGAACACAAAAUAAAACUUUGUACAGGAAUAGCACACACCAACUUUACAAAAUAUACACGAGAAUUUCUUUGUUAUAAGUUUGUGUGCCAAAAACCAAAAAAAACACAAUUUUACUCCAAUAUUUAGCAGAGAUUGGCGGUGAAAUGGCUACGUAGAAAGUGUCAAAACAACCUUAGGUAAAUAGCCUGUGAUGUCUACUUUAUAUAAAUAUAUACUUUUGUGUGGCAAUUUUGUUUUCUUUUAUGGCUAUUAAGCUUACAAGACAAACAUACCAAAUUCUAAAAUCGCUCCACAUUAAAAGUCUAUUUUACUCCUUGUGCUUUGUGACCUGUAACUACCAAAAAAAACUUAAAAUCCCAGACACAUUGUAUAUUCUGUAAAUCAGAACAACUAAAUUAAUUUAUUUUUAAUUACUUUUCUUAACCUGCACUAAUUAUGCACACAUUAUUAUUGCAAAAACUGUAAAAAAAAAAAAAACACAAAAUUUCCAUUUUUUUUAAAUUUUUCUGUAUUUUUUUAUAAUAAAUAAGCAUUUAUAUAUAUGUGUGUUACAUCAAAUUAAAGCCCUUUCUGUCCUUUAAAAAUCGAUGUAUAAUAUGUGUUGGUGCAACAAAUAAGUAAAAUGCAAAUUGCAGUUGAACGCAAACAGCAAAAAAUGAAAAAAAUGCCGUUGUCAUUAAGUGAAAGACAAGCUUUUGAAGCUCUGUCCUUAAGGGGUUACAAAAAAAAAAAAUGGACAUAGUGCAAAAUAGGUAUUGUAGCUGAGGGAGAAUUAAUAUUUUCACAGAUGCUAUUCGUCUUAUCCAGGAAAUAUGUUUCCCUUUCCGAUUAUAAACCAUAGUUGUCAUUUCAUUAUCAAGUAUAUGAUAGUUAUUAUGGUAAAUGGCAGUGAAAUCUCUAGGAAAGUAGACACCUAAGAAAGAAGUCUGACCGCCAAUCAUAAUUAAAAUAAUUUUUCAGCGUUAUAUAAAUGUAUAGCUUCUAUGUUAGGUUUAGUUUGCAGUAGAAGAAAUUGCUUUAUUCGUGAAGGAUUUUGUGAAAAUUGGGCAAAGACAGUGGGUGAACUACCACGGUAACAGGGGCUGCAGCUGCGACCAGGCACAUCACUUUAGGAGGCUGGAUACCCUGUCUACCCCUGCUGAUUCCUGCAUACAUACAGUGGUGGAGCUAAAAGGGUGGCUGAGAUCGCAAAUCCAGGAGUUGGCCGGCUGGCCACCUUAGGGUCCCUCAGUAGGAGGUUGAUUGUUUGCUAAGGCAGAGUAGUCAACUGCUUAUCUGAUCGACAGGUGCCUACUCUGCCUAAAUACAGUGUGCCUGGGGGGAGGCUGUAUCGCAUGCCCGAUAGUGAUUCCAGGAGAAAUGUGUAUGUGUGAGUGUUUCAAAGCAAUAAGUGUGUUUAUGUCAGUGAGUUUGCAAUUGAGAGUGUGUGUCUGUGAGCAGUGUGUGUCAAAAGAGUGAAUGUGUGUCAUUGAGCAUGUGUGUCAAAUCAAUGAGUGCAUGUAUGCCAGUGUGUAUGUCAAAUCACUGAAAGUGUGAGUCAAAUUAGUGAGUGUAUGUCUUCAGUGUGCCAAAUCAGUGAGAGUGUGUCAAAUCAUUGAGUGUGAGUUUGUCAGCGAGAUUGUGUCUGUUAGUGUAUAUGAAUUUGAGAAUGUGUGUCUGUCAGAAGGAAUAUUAAUGUUGGUCAUUGAAAAUGUGUGGUAAAACAGUGUGUAUGUCAGUACAUGUGUAUCCGUGAGAGUACAAGGGGGUUACCUUUUUGAUUCUUGCACCGGGGCUCUGUGAGUCCUAGUUAUGCCCUUGGCAAUGAUAUUAAUGGCUUAUAAUUUGUAAGGGGUUGUAAGUGUUUUCACUAUGACCCACUAUGAUUCCACGGAUGUCAAUGCAUUCCCUAAUUAAAGCUACCAGGGGGUCCAGAUCCAUGAAACAGAAUAAUAGCGACAGGAGACAUCUCUGCAUCAUUCCAUUUGAGAUAAAUUAAUUGUAUUUGAAUCCUGAUUGGGAGUAUUUGUGCUGUAGGCCUAUACUUCAAGACACAAGUGACCAUCAGAAACGGGAUUGGAAAGCCAAGCCAUUAGAAGGUUGCCUCAAAAAAGACUCAGGUUGAUGAUUUUGAACACCUUUACAGCUCUACAUUGGAAUUUAAGGGAUUUACAUCUGGGCAAAGAUAAACUCAUGGAUAUAUCUAGGGAGGGUCCUAAAAUGUGGUUAACGUUUCAGCACAGAAUAGUUAUGCUUUGUUGCACAACAGACAUUGUAGAAAGAAUUUGUUUAACGUUCAUGCUAAUAUUUUCCUGGAAAUUGAGGAAUUGCUGUUCAUCAGUGUUUAAUAUACAGUCAACGGUUGUGGUUUUGGAAACAUCACUUAAUAUGACUUUAGCCUAUUAUUCUCCAAUGCUUAGAGCCAAAGACAUGCUAAAACCAAGCCCUUAACGAUUUUUUAUUUAUUUAUUUUAUUUGCAUUAUGUUUCUUUUCUCAUUUGAGUGCCUAUCUGAUAUUUUUUUUAUUUGUGUGUGUGUGUAUUUUGUAGUGGUUUUUUUUGGUGCGUUCUUUUUUUUAAAUCUUACAGGCUUAAUUGAUUGUAUGAACUUAAUAUAUAGUAGAAUAAUCUAAUUAUAGCAAAACAAAAGAAGUUUGUGUUAAUUGUCAUUUUAGCAAUUGGAUGAAUAAGUAGCAUGAAGAUUCUGAUGAAGUGGUGAGGCAGCAUUAAAGUGUGCUUUUUAUGAUAAACAUUAGGUUAUAUUAAAUGGCAUUGCAUAAUAUUUCAUCUUUAUAUUGUAUCAUCAAACAUAUAUAUUUUAUAAUAAAGAUAUUUCUCUCCCUCCCCUCCCCCCCCACCUGUCAGUCAAUUUUCAGUAUAGAUGAAUAUGCAUGUGGCACAAACCCGCUGUUAUGGAAAUUAAAAAGAAAGGGGAGAGCAUUUGAACCAUAAAAGAAACGCUAAGGGAGGAAAAAAAUGCAUUCAAACAUAGAAUGUGACGGCAGAUAACCAUUCGGCCCACCUAGUUAGGCCAAUUUUCUAAAUACUUAGUCCCUGGCCUUAUCCUUUAUCUAGGAUAGCCUAUCCCACAAAUGCUUAAAGGACCACUAUAGUGCCAGGAAAACAUACUCGUUUUCCUGGCACUAUAGUGCCCUAAGGGUGCCCCCACCCUCAGGGACCCCCUCCCGCCCGGCUCUGGAAAGAGGAAAAUGGGUAAAACGUUCCUUUUUCCAGCGCUGGGCGGGGAGCUCUCCUCCUCCGAUCCUCCUCUUCUCCUCCCCGUUGGCUGAAUGCACAUGCACAGCAAGAGCUGCGCGCACAUUUAGCCGGUCACAUAGGAAAGCAUUAUCAAUGUUUUCCUAUGGACGCUUGCGUGCUCUCACUGUGAUUUUCAAGCGCCUUACCGGCGAAACGCGCGUCGGGGGUUUUGGGAGAUUGCUCCCUCUUUUCAAACCACCUUAAUCUGAAUCUACCAUUGAUCUUUAUAUAUUCGAAGUGGGGUUAAUUGGAACCGCUUAGUAUAAAAAUUAUUUUGACUAAAGUUUUUUGGGGUUUGGGUACGCUUAUCAGGGCUUAUCUACCGACUAAUAGCUAGCUUAGUGUUUUCAGUAGCAGCAUGUGCCCAUGAAGGCACAGUUAGAUGUUUUUUGCCUGCAUAGACAGUAAUUAUCAUGAUCUAUAUAUAAGCAACUGCUUUUUGUUUAUUUUACUUUUAGUAAUCAAGUAAUAACAAGUGAUCUUUUUGAUUAGAACACGAAGGAACUGUGCACAGUAUAUGCUUAUUAAGACGUUUAGUAGAUUCACUUCUUUAUUCAUCUUUUUGGAUAGUUAGCUAAUUUAGUGGGGUUUUCUUGAGGUAGGUGCCCAUGAAGGCACAGUUAGAUUUUUGGAAUACUUUUUAUAAGUUUACAUUGGGAAUUUAAUUAAUCUUUGUUCCUGUCUACCUCUUACAGAUAGUACAAAUAUUGCAACAAUUUUAGAUACUAUCUAUCUGCUGAUUAUGUGUCAAGUGACUAAUUUAUAACAAUCUGGAUAUUAUAAUCAUUUAUUUGUUGUGUAUCUCUCUAUAUUCCCUUUUGGCAUAUUGAGAGUUUUAUCAAAUUAAUUUGUUUCUCAAUUUUAUUUUAACUAUAUUAUUAAAAGUUAAUUUUUAACCUUAUUUAUUUCUAUGGCAGUAGUCUUCUUUUCCUUUAUAGUGUUCCUUUAGGUUUCUUGUAAAUAAAAAAAGACAUAGUGCUCCUGUGUACCUUAUCAAUCACUGUACCUUAAUUUUACCAGCUUCCCCUUCCUCCUCUGCUUUACUAUACCCACAAAACAGCCUCCUACUUUAUUGCAGGUAUCAUAUGCAUUACUUGAUUGCAAUUCUGUCGCUACCUGGUUGUAGCAUACAUACUUUAAAUUAUACAUUUUAGACCUUGGUUUAUAGCACGUUGCCCUAUGGAGCCCAUCAACACGUUGUACACAAUGUAUAGUUUAACAAGACCUGCAAUUGUGUAAUGUAUUUUCUGUUCUAGAAGUUUGUAACAUUUUAUAUUUAUAGCUUUUGUAUACUUGGCUGAGCUUACAGUUCUCCAAAAGCCUUUAUGCAGGCUGGUUUGAGCAGGGCCUUCUUCAUCUCAUGUCUCUUUUAAUUUUCUGUAUGUCAAAAGGCAGUUAUCUUUUUAAUGUUGUGAGACUGCAUUUACGAGUCUUAGACCUGGAAUUAAUAUUAUAUAUGCGAACUCCGCUAAAUGUAUUGAUAAUGGCAUGUUUAUGAAGUGCUUAGAUCAUAGUCAGGUUCGCUGUCUUUAAUUUAUGCUCUUGGAUUUAAACAAAUCAGGGCCCUGAAAACGAAUGUUAAUAUUGCUGCAACUCAUAUUGAUCUUGGAAAGGAGAAAAACUGGUUGAGCCUUGCCAUGAAUAACCUUGAGAUACAGGUUCUGCUGCUGGAGCUCUAAACAGCAAUCCUGUCUCACUAGGUUGAUGAUGAAAACAAACUUCACAAUAAGCACAAAGAAAAUGAAUGCACAAUUUAAUCAGUUUGUUGGAGCAAUUGAACAACUGGACAGUUUGGAAGGUUCCAGAAAUUUAACACCAAAUACUGCUAAACCAGUUAAGACAACAACCAAAAAACAAACAAGAGCCCUGCGCACCCAGUAUAUGUGUGCACACCCAGGUGCUACCACAAUUUAUUUGAGGACAAAGUUUAAGCAGCAAACGUUUCGGGCAGCAGCCCUUUCUCAAUGCUAAUGUCCUACAGUAAAUGCAAGAUAACAACAAUACAUACAAAAAAUAGUGCUUACAUAACCCAAAAGUGCCACCCCCAGGUAAUCAGAUCUAGAAGCAGGAUCAGAUGUGCAGUACAUUUCCAUCACUCUGGCAUGUUUGAUGAUUCCAGUCACUUCCGGGAUCGGCCAAAAUAUGCAUGAUGACGUCAUCUUAUAAAUUGGGGUAGCACCUGGGUGUGCAUACCUAUACUGGAUGCGCAGGGCUCUUGUUUGUUUUUUGGCUGUUGUAUAUACACCUUUGGGACUUCAGUGUGGAGUUUCUGCAGCACGGGUCUAAUUUUCUUUGUUUAUACUUUGAAUUCUGUAGGCAUUUUUUUGCCUCUACCUCACCCUAUAUAUAAUAAACCAGUUAAGAAUUAGAUCUAAAAUUCCUAAGAAAAGGAGGAAGAUAGUUCUGUCUGUUGGUAGACCCAUGCAUAGCAAAUACAACUGAUAUUUUCUUUAAUACCACUAUGAAAACAGAAAGGCAAUGUAAUAAUCAAUUAAAAUAAUUAAUUUAUUUGUAACAUACUGUAAGCAAAACUUGGAAGUGCUGCAAUUAUUAUUUUUUCCCUUUUGAGCGCUGUAUAUAGUUUAUCUGUCAGUCUGGAACCACUAAUUAUUGCCCUCGCUGACAAAAGGAGCCUCAGGCAUGGAAUGAUACUUGGGGCUCCUUGGUGCGAGCUGUGGUCUAGCUGUACUGGUACCUUUAAAGCCAUGCCAGUUAAAGGCCUGCACUGUUUUUCAGCACAGACCUUAAGGGUAUAAGGUAAGUUGGUGCUUAGUGUCCCUUUCAGAUAAAUGUUCUAUUGAAAGUUAUGAAACAUAUAUUAUUUUGAACUAUAACAAGAACUAAUGUUUAACAUUUGCAGAAAAAAUGCUCUCUAAAAAGUUCAACUGUAUUAAAUAUUUAGUUUGCAAUUGAUGUUUUAAGAAAAAAUAGCUCUAAAAUAAAACAUUUUUGAAACUUCAUUUAAAGUGCAAUAACUUCCACCUCAAUAUAUUAUAAUGUAUUAUAAUAUUCCUGAGAACUUGCAAUACAGUUUAAGUAACAAAUUAAUAAGAGCAAGUACACUUGAUCACACAGGACACAAGCACACAAAAUAAAGCUCAAUAAUAUGAAUUUGCUUUUACAAGGGCCAACUUAAAGGGACACUAUAGUCACCAGAUCAACUACAGCUUAUUGUAUUUGUUCUAGUGAGUAUAAUCAUUCCCUUCAGGCUUUUUGCAGUAAACAAUGUAUUUUCAGACAAAAUGCAGUGUUUACAGCCUAGUGAAAACUCCACUGGCCACUCCUCAGAUGGCUACUAGAGGUGCUUCCUGUGGCAGUGCUGCACAGUAUACAGCACUGACAUUUAGUGUCUGCUCCCUCUGCAUGCAGACACUGAAAUUUCUUCAGAGAAAUGCAUGAUUCAAUUCAUCUCUAUGAGGAGAUGCUGAUUUGCCAGAGCUGUGUUUGACUUGUGCUGGCUCUGCCCCUAAUCUGCCUCUUUGACAGUCUCCCCCAAUCCUAUAGGAAAGCAUUGUGAUUGGCUCAGACCACCACUUUUGAUGUCAGAGAGCAGGCAGGUCAGAGGCAGACAGGGGCAGAGGCCGCAUCUGCAGACCUGAAUAAAAGUAAGAUUUUACUAUGUUUAGGGACGCAUGGGGAACCAGGGGGGGGCUAGAUGGUGAUUUUAACACUAUAGGGUCAGGAAUAUAUGUGUGUGUUACUGACCCUAUAGUGUUCCUUUAAAUGUAGCUCUUCUAAAUCUACUCUGCAGGCUGAUUAACAAAAAUCUAAACAAAUCACAUAUACUAAAUAGUCUAAAAGACAUCAUACUCCUUAUGGCCAUAAGGGUGCUAUUGUGAGUUGAACUGUUUACAUGAGCCACUUAGGUUUUUCUUAUAUACCAUUUCCCUUUUAGGGUAGUUUCUCAUAAUCUGUCAAUGAACAUGGGGCGGGGGCGGGAGAGGGUCACACACCUGGUCAUCCUUUAUCAUGAACCAGCCACUCCUCGAUCCUCCUGAUAAUUGGCAGAGUGAGCCAGGUUUCAAUGUCUUGCAUAUAAUAAGAAUAAAGAGCUUAUGCUUUAUGUUAGUGAAAUAAAUGUUUAGGGGCACAAUAUCAGUGUAAAAUAAUUUGUUUAAUUUAGUGUAUUGCUAUUACAUUGAGAUCCAUGUCAGCUGUGUUACAUGUUACUAUUGAACAGGGGUGACCAAUAGGUAAAUCUCCCCAGAAGUUGUAAAACUACAACCCCUCUUGAUGCCUGCCUUUAGAAUGACAAAACAUCAUGGAAGUUGUAGUUUUUAAACAUUUGGGGAUCUUCCUCCUGGGCGCCCUUGCUUUAGGACAGGGGUAGGCAACCUUUUAGCAGCACUGUGCCGAUAUAGGAUUGUGUCCCGUAGCGUGCCGGUCCUAUUUUUUUAAAUUGAAGUAUGUAUGCUGCCGUAUUCUGCUUGUGUUAUUUUUACUGGAGUUGCUUUGCAUCAUUGUAUUUGUGCGUAUAUAAGCUAUUAUAUUGUAUAUGUUCAUUAGUAUUUUAUGGUAUUGUGUAUGAUACAUAUGAAUGUGGGCUGUGUAUGAGGGCUGCUUGUGGAAUUGUGUGUGGAUGGAUAUGUCACAUUGUGUGUUUGGUGUUUGGGGUAUUGCAUGUGAGAGUCUGCAUGUGGGGUUGUGUGCAUGUAUGUGGAUUGUUAGCGGGUUACGUUUGUGCAGAUUGUAUGUAUGUUUGUGUAUGGGCUGUUCGUAUUAUUUGUAUAAGGGGAUGGUUAUUUUUCAUUUCUAUGUUAUGAAUGUAAAUUAGUGAUAGUAAAAUGUCUAUUUACUGUGUAUACCUGUAUUCAAUAUCUACUCAAAAUGGCUGCUAAAGCACCCCCUCCCACCAUGAUAUCACGCCUCGUAAGAUGUGCAUUAGAUAAGACACUUAACACCUAACCAAUUAAAGAUGUAUUCUCUCUGUUAUCUCCAUUUUUUGCAUAUGAUGCAUUUUUGCCUUUAUAAGGGGCUUGCCGCCCCAUGAGUAAACAUUCCAAAGUUUUUCAUUAACCUGAUAUCUGUGUCUCAGUGUAAUUUACUUCAGAGCAUGCACGCAUUUAUUUUAACAAUUUGGAAAGGAGCAGAUACUCAGAUAAACACUUGGUUUGAUCCACAAUAUCUGUGUUUAUCUAGCAGUAUGGUUGGCUUCCCUGGGUUCCAGUGGGGACCAGGCUGGCCUGGUACAGGCCAAAGACAGGAGCUGCAACAGCAGCUGCAGGCUGCUCUACUACAUUGUGGAUUUCCAUUCACAAGUGCUUGGAGUAAGUGAUCUGAGAUCAUUUCCUCUAUGUGCUGUAAUGCUUAAAUUGAGGAUUCACUAUCUUUUCGUAUUAGCAGAUAUUUGAAGUUUUACUGGUACUCCUGAUAGGCCAGAGCCUGUUUGGCUCUAGCAGCCUUGAGUGCCAUGCAAAGACACCUUGAGUGCCGUGCAUGGCACUAGUGCCGUAGGUUGCCUACCCCUGCUUUAGGAUAUGCUUAUAUACUACUGUGUACAGCUGUCCGCAGGCUUAUCAAAUACAUAUUAAAAUUAAGAGACAUGAAAGCAGAACAAGUUGCUGACAGGGGUGGAGGGAGUAUGCACUGGUAGAAAACACUUAGCAUCAGUUGUGAAAUAGCGGAGGAAACCUUUUUAUCCCAAUCAACUUUGCCCUUACACAAAACAUUAUUGAACGCUCCUUUAUGGGCUUUUAAUUUGUUUCAUGCAGUACAUCGGUGUCUAAAGAUGCUCUCACUUUGCUGAAAAAACAGGGAACAAACUCUGAAUGCUGAGCCCCCAACUUAGAACUGCCUUAUUUAAUCUGGGGCAGAUGGGGUUGUUUUCAGAAUGAGAAGAAAAAAAGCAGGGAGUGUAUAUAUUGUGUGGAAUCCACAAAUUUAUUUUCUGCUUUUGGUCCCAUGUAUUGAUGAUCAUGGACCACUCCCUCAGUGUCCUUAUUUGUGUUUGAAGAUCUGGCUUAGAAUUGUCACUGUAAUUCAGUCAUUGUUAUGGUUUGGAAAACAUAAUUCCUAGCAAUGUUAAAUAUGUGAAUAUCAGGAAACUUCAGCAAAGUAAAGAAAACUUGUGUUUGUCUUCCAGUCUAUAAAUCACUUGGUAUUUAGCAGGGCAGCCUGCAUACUACUAUGUGGUUAAAUGUUGUCUGUUUUAGAUAAAAAGGUACAAAACUGAAAGGAUUUGGCUUUGAUCACACAAGACUGUUGUAAAGUAUAGUUACGGUUUGCCACAUGAAUUUGGUCACGUGUGCAGUGGUUAGCAUCUUGUUAGGUAAUGAUAUGUUCUGACAGUUUUAUAAUUUUAGUUUAUUAUACAGUAUAAUGUUUAUUCACUAAACAGAGAGCUGUGGUGAAGUGAGAACUGAGAUGGAAAAUUAAGGUUAAAAUAGCUGAGUAGGAUAAAAUGUAACUUUGCUGAAUCUGAAAAGCAUUUUCCUAAUUAAAGGGACACUAUAGUCACCUGAACAACUUUAGCUUAGCCCCUUAAGGACGGAGGGCGUACUAUUACGCCCUGCAGGAGCCGGCUCUAAACGCCGGCGGGCGUAAUAGUACGCCCUCACUUUAAUGGCCGCCCACGUGGCUGGCGCUAUUCGCCCGCUGCAGAUCGCGGUCGGGGGGGAUGCCCGGCCCCCCAGGCAACCCCCCCUGUGGCCGGGGACCGCGAUCUGCAGUCACUGAUCGCAGUGACAGGCUGUCACUGCGAUCAGUAUUUAACGUGUGUCAGCCGAUUUCAAAUCGGCUGACACACGUGGCCGGCGGCUUUCUGCAAUGCAGAUCGCGGUCGGGGGACUUACCUGGCCCCCCAGGCAGUCCCCCUGGGGUCAGUGACCGCGAUCUGCUAACUCUGAGAUCGCAGUGACAGGCUGUCACUGCGAUCUCAGAGCGCUUGAUCGCAGUGACAGCCUGUCACUGCGAUCAGUGUUACAUGUGUCAGCCUAUUGGCUGACACAUGUAACUGGCACAAAGAUCCCCCUGCAGAUUGGAAGGGGGGAGUGCUUGUACCACCCAGGCACUCCCCCCUGUGGCCAAUUACCCAAUCUGCAGGAGGUGAUCACAGUGACAGGCAGUCACUGUGAUCACUGAUCCUGUGUGUCAGCCAGUGAUGUAAAAUCACUGGCUGACACUGUCUCUGCCCCCUGUCCUGUAAUAAAAAUAAAAUAUUAGUUAAAAAAAAUUACAGUUAAAUAUAAAAUAUACUUAGAUCAUAUAUAUUAUAUAUAUAUAUGAUCUAAGUAUAUAUAUAUAUAUAUAUAUAUAUAUACACACACACACACAUUUACACAUACACGAAGUGUAUUUAAAUAUUAAUAUAUAUAAUUAUUUAUAUAUAUUACUAUCAAAUUACACGUAGACUAAUACUGAUUAAAUAUAUAUAUAUAUAAUUAUUGUAUAUAUAUAUAUAUUUAUAUAUAAUAUAAAAAAUGUAAAUACGUAAAAAAAAUAAAAUUUAAAAAAUAAUUAAAAAUAAAUAAUAAAAAAAUAUAUAGAUGUUUGUUAUUUCGUUCUAACUGUAUUGUGAUAUUAAUAUAUAUAUAUUUAUAUCAAAAUACACGUAGAACGAAAUAAUAUAUAUAUCUAUAUACAUAAAUAUAUACAUAUAUAUCACUAAAUAUAUACACCUAUAUAUAAAUAAAAAUAUUUAAAAAAUUAUAUAUAUAUAUAUAUGUAUAUAUACACAUAUGUAUAUAUAUACAUAUAUUAAUUCUACACAUAUAUUUAUGUAAUAUUUUUACAUAAUUAGGUAUCCUAAUUAAUUACAAUUAGCGGGACCUGCCUGACAACCCAUGCCGAAAGUAUAGGGAAUUUAAUUUGCUAGCACUAUAUUUAACCCUAUAACUUUCCAAGACACCAUAAAACCUGUAAAUUGGGGGUACUGUUUUACUCGGGAGACUUCGCUGAACACAAAUAUUAGUGUUUCAAAACAGUAAAAUGUAUUACAACAAUGAUAUCGCCAGUAAAAGUGAAGUUUUUUUGCAUUUUUCACGCACAAACAGCACUUACACGGAUGAUAUUAUUGCUGCAAUACUUUUUACUGUUUUGAAACACAAAUAUUUGUGUUCAGCGAAGUCUCCCGAGUACAACAGUACCCCUCAUGUACAGGUUUUAUGGUGUUUUCAAAAGUUACAGCGUCAAAUAUAAGGCUUGUGUUUCAUUUUUUUCACAUUAAAAUUCGCCAGAUUGGUUACGUUGCCUUUGAGACCCUAUGGUAGCCCAAGAAUGAAAAUUAUCCCUAUGAUGGCAUACCAUUUGCAAUAGUAGACAACCCAAGGUAUUGCAAACAGGGUAUGUCCAGUCUUUUUUAGUAGCCACUUAGUCACAAACACUGGCCAAAAUUGGCAUUUUUUUGCAUUUUUCACACACAAACAAAUACUAACGCUAACUUUGGCCAGUGUUUGUGACCAAAUGGCUACUAAAAAAGACUGGACAUACCCCAUUUGCAAUACCUUGGGUUGUCUACUAUUGCAAAUGGUAUGCCAUUAUGGGUGUAAAUUUCAUUCCUGGACUACUAUACAGUCUCAAAGGCAACGUAACCAAUCUGGCGAAUUUCAAUUUCAAAUGUAACGUGCUAUAUUUGACCCUGUAACUUCCCAAAACGCCAUAAAACCUGUACAUAGGGGGUACUGUCUUACACGUGAGACUUUGCUGAAUACAAAUAUGUGUAUUUUAUUGCAGUAAAAGCAAACAGUAUUAUGACACUGACCGUUAAAAUGUCAUGUAGAACUAAAAAAAUCAAAAAAAUCUUAUUUUCUCCCAUUUUUUUCAUAUUAAAUUAUGUUUCAUAGCUAAAUAUUUGAUAUUAAAUGAAAGCCCUGUUUCCCCUGAAUAAAAUGAUAUAUAAUAAGGGUGGGUGCAUUUACUAUGAAAGAGGUGUAUUACGGUUGGACAGACAUGUAGCGCAAAUGCCAGGUUUUGUUUACAUUUUGUUUCGUUCACACUGUGUACAUUUGGCUCUGUCCUUAAGGGGUUAAUGAAGCAGUUUUGGUGUAUAGAACAUGCCCCUGCAGCCUCACUGCUCAAUCCUCUGCCAUUUAAGAGUUAAAUCCCUUUGUUUAUGAACCCUAGUCACACCUCCCUGCAUGUGACUUGCACAGCCUUCCAUAAACACUUCCUGUAAAAAGAGCCCUAUUUAGGCUUUCUUUAUUGCAAGUUCUGUUUAAUUAAGAUUUUCUUAUCCCCUGCUAUGCUAAUAGCUUGCUAGACCCUGCAAGAGCCUCCUGUAUGUGAUUAAAGUUCAAUUUAGAGAUUGAGAUACAAUUAUUUAAGUUAAAUUACAUCAGUUUUUUUUUUCAUGCAGGCUCUGUCAAUCAUAGCCAGGGGAGGUGUGGCUAGGGCUGCAUAAACAGAAACAAAGUGAUUUAACUCCUAAAUGACAGUGAAUUGAGCAGUGAAAUUGCAGGGGGAAUGAUCUAUACACUAAAACUGCUUUAUUUAGCUAAAGUAAUUUAGGUGACUAUAGUGUUCCUUUAAUAUUUUCUAAUAUGUCUACAUUUUCAAAUCAACAUGACUCACUAUUUAGUGUAUACAUCCUUGUAUAACAUAUCCAAUAGCUAAUGGCACAAUAGCUUCCCAAGCCUAUAAUGUUAGAGUACAUGAUUCAGAGUGGUUUAUGGGAUUACCCCGGGGUGGUAAAUUAAUUUAUUUUCUGUGACACCUUUACAUAAUCCCAUUACACAGUUGGAGAGCACUAUAAUCCUAAAAUGUUAAUUUGUUCUGCAUUCCAUGAGAACUGUAUUUUAGCUAUGUCAGUUGCCCUAUGACAUUAUCCAUAAAACCUAUCAUUUACUUUCCACAUCACAGUAACCUUCCUAGCAAAGUAACUUUUUUUUUUCUUGCUAACUAAAUAGUUGGUGUAAAUCCUUUGGAAACUGGUGAGAACCAGAUAAUGUGAUAAUUGGAGACAGUGAUCUAAAUCAAUGUUUUGGCUAAUCAUAUUUAGGUUAAACACAGCUUUAAGUAAUUUUCCUUUUAUAUAGCUGUCAGUUUACAUCAUAUUCCGUUUUCCACACAAGUGUUCUUGAAAUCAAGCUUCCUUACAUGUAAAUUGACUUGUAUCUAAAUAAUGAAUGUGAAUGUCUUAUGCAGAUAUUAAUUUCAGAAAAUAACCUUUGGUUUCAAGUGAGCCAGCAAUCUGCCAGAAUCAAAUUGGGAUAAUUUCAUGAUACAUAUCAAGUGCUUCUAGGCAUUUCGUCGUCACGAUCCUCAAUCAAUCCCAAUUUUAAUGUCUGCUUAAAAGGCUUUGUUCUACAGAAUAGACAAUUGCAGAUGGCAAAUUUGAAUGUAAAAAUAAAUCUACAAAAUGGACAGACUUAAAAGAAAAUAUGUUAAAACAGUAUUAACUACUGAUAGCAAUGCUGCUCUUAAGUAUGAGUUUCUCCAGUCUAAAUAAAAUAUCUCUCCGCAAAUGUGUGUUUUUAGAUGCAGAGAUUAGUGAAGAAAUAUCCCCAUGAAAAUGCUGAAAUCCCCUGUACAAAUUGCCCCAGAGUUUCAUAUCUUUUUAUUUUUUUUAUUUUUAUUUUUUAUGUAUAAUCUUUUAUUAUUUUAAUAACAUACAUUACAUAAUGUGCCUGUGUAGGUCAUCUCUUACACAUAUGCGAAAAUAAAUAAAAAUAAAGCACAACUUCAAAUGUGUCCCUGUGGUAUGGAUCAAGGGGCGAUAGAAGAGGCCUGGUUUAAUAUGCUGAUAGAAGAUAAAAGGAGUUAGAUGUCAGAUGGCUAAAUUUAUUUUAUGCAAAUGGUAACAACCAUUAUAUCAUAACUAUUCGUUUAAUCCACUGCUCAAGUUCCUCUUGAUUCAGUCUGCCUGUACCCAUCUCCAUUUUGAUCUUUCUGCUACCUAACUGUUAGCCAGCACGGGGCUAUAACGGUCUUCCAAUUUCUGGCUACCAGUAGUUUAGCGGCAGUCAGAAGAUGGAUAAUAAUAAACGAGUCUAAGCCAGAGAUUUUAUAUACGUUGAUAUGAAGUAGAAACAACUUGGAAUCAAAUUGAAAGAGUUUUUGAAUAGUUUUUGAAUUUAUAUAUAAAUCAUAUUCCAGAUUAUUUGGAGCGGUUGACACUCCCACCGGAUAUGGAUAAAUGAACCUUUUCGAGCUUGGCAUCUCCAACUUAUGUCUGGGUAAUUGGGAUAAAUCUUUGACAAUCUGCUGGGAACCAAGUACCACCUGUUUAAAAGUUUAAAGUGAGUUUCUGUUAGAUUUCAACAAUGAACUUUCUUAUUAACCCAUCUUAAGGAUUCAGUCCAAUCCCUUGUUUCAAUUCUAAUGUUUAGAUCAUGUUCCCAUUUUUUUUUAUCACUGAUCAAAGAUAUGGGUCUACUUUACUGGUUAACAGCUUUAUGGAGUCAGCCACUAUACCCUUCAAUCAUGAUUUUUCAAGGAUUUUCUCUAAAAGUAGCAUCUUUGAUGACUUCUCUGUACUCAGGUAGUCCUCAAGAUAACUCUUAAUUCUAAGGUAGUUAAAUAUUUCACACUUCUGGAGUUGAUAAAUUUUAACUAAGGAUGUGAAAUCUUGGAUUUUAUUGUACUUCAAUAAAUUAUCAAUUUUUAAUGCCCAAAAGAAAUCCAAUUCUUUAUAAUUAGGUCUUCUAUAUUGUGCGCUAGAUAGGUAAGAGGCAGUUCAGCAAUAAUUUUAUUCUUAAGAUGCCAAUCGACUUUAAAUUUAUCCCAGAUCUUAAAAAGAUUUUCAAUUAUUAUGCUAUCUGGAGACCCCCUUUCUAGGUAUUUUUUUACCUUUUGAUCCGUCAGCCAGAAGCUGGCCUCCAGCGAAUGUAGCCUUCUGGAUCUAGACAAAAACAUCUCGAUCCUAUACCAAGCUUAAUUUUUUACUCAGUCUAAUUAGGUGAUAAUGGCAUGGGAUAGGCUACAGGCUUACCAUAUGGUAUUAAGCUGACGUGCCCCUAAUCCUCCCUGAUUACUUUUCAGGGCCAGAUGUUUAGCGUUAAUACGAGGAUGCUUACCUAGCCAGAUGAAUUUAUAAAAUAAAGACUGGGCUAAUUUUAACCAGCUAUCUGGGCAAUAAACAGGAAUCAUGCGGAAAAGAUAAAUUCAUUUGGGUAAAUAUAAGAAUUAAUAACGUUAUUUUGCCCCCACCUGAAGAACUCUCUACCUUUCCAUUGUUUUAAUUUUUUACCAGUGUAUUUUUAGAGGUGCAUAAAGUUAACUUCCAUUAGGUUAGAGAAAUCAUUAGUUAUUUCUAACAGAGUUUCAUAUCUAUUAGUAUAAUGUAUCUAUUUAUUUAUUCUAUUUUAUUUAAUUUUUAAAUAUAUAUUCUAGCAAAAACAAACAAAUAAACCUAUUUGCCUAAGAAAGUUUGGAAAUCAUAAUACUACUAUUAGUAAAAUCUUGCAAGAAAUCCAGUGUCAAAUGUUUUAUUUAGCAUGAAAAUCAGUCAGUCCUUAUGAGGAUAGUUGAAUGAGAUGUAUUGUCCAACGAGGGACACUGAAAAUGGUGGUAUGUGAAAGAAUAAACACAUGGUGCCUGAAGGAGAAAAAUAUGAGUCUUUAGUAUAUGAAUGGGAAUACAAAUUAAAUUUAUGCUGCUUGGGAAAGUACUGAGCUUAAAAAACCCCAAAAAACUAAAGGCUGUAUGUACAAUAAAUGUACUGAUCACAAUAAACAAGUACAAUGUGCCGGAUAGAUGUGAUAUAAGCAAAGCAUUCAUGUAGUUGCUUAUUAAAACUCUCUUCUGAUGUAACUCAGUCUUUAUAUAGAGUCUGAACCAUAGGACACCUGCAGAACAUGUCGAGUAGUCAUGAUGUUUAAGAUCAAAUAUGUAUGGUUACUGCUGUAAUCUCCACUAUGUUGAAACUGUGUUUUACUUUAUUGGUGUUAGCCCAUACAAUGCAAGGUUUCGAUGCUUGUUCUUCUUCAGUAUCUAAAGGAAUUGCUAUUAUGAGUGUAAGUCAAAAACAUUACUUAGUAUUCUAUUCAAUUUGAAAUUCUUAAAUAAGGUUAUAAUCCAGUUUCUAUGUAAACCGAAAAAGAACAUUUUAUAUUAAUACACCUGUAAUGACUAAUGGACUUUUAUUUUUCCAAAUCUGCUAUAUUGGCUGAAAAUGGUUAUUUCGUUUUCAAUGAAUUACUGUACACUGUUUAGUGAAUAUACCUGGUCAUAUUUACAGUUUUUGGGAAUAAUUAUUACUUAUGCACUCCCAAUAAUUUCUCUUUAUUUCAUCAGCUGUGAUUAUUACUGUAGUUUGCUUUUAAAGAACCUACAUGUUCAAUAGCCUAUAAUUCUAUUCAAAAAUGAGUUUUAUAUAGUCCAUAAUACUUGCUUGUCUGAUAGAAAAGGACAACUUCAAUUGGGAAAACCUGUCAGGAGCCUUAGUGAUGUAAACCAGAGAAAUGUCUUUACUUCAAGAUGUUUAGUUAAUCAAUUACAGUACUUCUGGGGAUUGAGACUUUGCUGUUGUGAACGCUGCAAAGCAAAACAUGUACAUAAAGGAAACAAACAUAUGCUUGGGGACAUCCAUAUCCUGGGGAGUACUUUAAAUGCUUCUUUAAAAGUCACCCGAAAAAACCCAAAACUUAUUUCAUCAGUAUGAUGCCCUGGGGGAGGGGGGUCUUUUCCACACCAAUAAACCAGAGACCGUGAGAAAAGUGUAGUUUAUAAUAUAUGAUGUAAUUUGAGGGAUUUGUUAAAAAAAAUAUGUAAUAGAAUAAUGCCAUUUCACUUUUUUCAUUAAAAUUAAAUCUAUUGCUAUUUUCUGCCACCCCAGUUACCACCUUUAAAGGACCACUAUAGGCACCCAGACCACUUCAGCUUAAUGAAGUGGUCUGGGUGCCUGGCCCAGCUAGGGUUAACCCUUUUUUUUUAUUUUUUUUAUUUUUUUUUUAUAUAAACAUAGCAGUUUCAAGAUUUCUGUUUGGGUGGUAAUUCUGUAGUAAAAAUAAAGACGGGAAGAAGACCAGUACUGCUCAGUGUGAAAAUCUUGUGUUUUGUGUUGAUUUGUCCAUUUGGCUGAAAAUGGGGCAGUUUGAGUGCUCAUCACCAGUGAUUUACUUUUCUAAUUUAUUCAAAGUAUUUCUAAUUUUUGCAUUGUAGAAAAAUGUUCUUUUUUAGAUAUCCAUUCUAAAACUCAUUACUAAGUUAAUGAUUCAGAGGGCAAACUGCAUGCGACAAUAAAAGUAUAUAUGUGUCUUAUAUCCAUCAUGUUUUGAGGGUUAAUUGGAAUUUGUAAAAGAAAGAAAAAAGCAGCAACUGUAUUGCUACAAGUUAUAGUGGUUUUGUGAUUGUGUGUAUUGUUUACAAAUAAUCCCUUACUGUUGCCAUUUGCACAAUUUGUAGGAUAAAUAAUAAAUCAAUCUGCAAUCUCUGGAUUUUUAGUCUGCCUCUUAGCAGGGAAGUUCACCAAGCCUGCAGAAUGCCAUUUAUUGUUUAGGCAGAGACGUAUCAACGCAGAUGAGGUGACACUAAGUACUAUGAUCUUCUUAACACAUUUCUGAAGAUGCUGUGAAUGUUUCCUGCUCCUGGGAAAUGACAAUAGCAGAAACGGAAGGAUAGGGUCUGUGCAGUGAUUAGCUCCAGUGUUCUGUUCAAAAUAUACAUUAUGUAAAGCCUAAUUUCUACAAGGUUCCAAAAUGAGGCUUUAUGACUACAGCAUUAUUGUAUUUGUCACUUAAUUCAGUGUGUAAUAUUAAUCGUGGCAGCAUUCUCUGGUUUUGGUUUGAGACAUUACCGGUAUGCUAUGCCAAAGUUGACUGCUCUUGGUUGAACUGCUACAUAAAAUGAUUACUUUUUAUUUAGUUAUUUCAUUGCUACUGACAUUUGAUUUUUAACUAAAAAUCCAAUUUUUGUUUAGUGCUAACUAAAUUUUAUUUUAUUUUGAUGCAGUACUUCUAGACCAAGCAUGUCAAACUUAAAGUCUAGCACAGGCCACAUAAAAAGCUUAAGUUUAUGUGGGCCAAAAAAAAAAAAAAACUACUUAAAUUUUCAUAGAAAUGUAGGUUUAUUUUUAUACCGCACCCCGCUCUACUAAAUCCCAGUCCUCCCCCUAUACUAAAUCCCAGUCCUUCCCCCACCCCUCUACUAAAUCCCAGCAACCCCCUCUAGCCAACAAGCAGACUCCACUUACAUUACCGCUGCUAGUAUGCGACUCCGGAGUCCGGCCUCUGGUAUUCUCCAAAAGACACCGUCCGCACCCUGUGCCAAAGCGGAUCCUCCUGCUACUUCUUGAAACCCUGUGAAGAUGGAACACGUCAACUUCAUGUCGGAAUGUGACAUGGCGUGCCUCCAUGCACCUCCAGGUACUCCACUGUCAAGCCGCAGCCAUCAAAACACUGACACACAAACACACAGACAGACACUGACACACUCGCUGACAUACGCACACACUCGCUGACAGACACACACACUCACUGACAGACAGACACACACACUACUCAGUGGGAUCUUCUAUCUGGAGCUUAGUGUUCCUGCUCCUCACUGCUCCCUCACGCGCAGUUUAGUGAUGCCAGAUGCCAGAAUAUGACGUCAUAUUCCGACGCCCGGCAUCACUACAGCCGGUGCGAGGGAGCAGUGAUGAGCAGGAACACUGAGCUUCCUUGCUGCCGCCCGUGUCCUGCUUCCUCUCCUCUGGCCGGGUAAAUGAUAGCAGAGUAGGCACCUGCAAUGUGGGUCUGUCUAUUUGGCUUUUACACUAGGCAUGUACUCACAGCUCGCCAGGCCACAAGGAGGUCCAUUGUGGGCCGCGAGUUUAACAUGCUUGUUCUAGACCAUAUUUCAAAAUGGAAUAGUGAAUGUGCAGUUAAAAUGUUAUAUGAUGUCAUGCCAUGGCAAAUGUGUAUACAUAAGUAUGCACUAAAUAAUUGACCAUUACUUUUUUUUUAAGGGUUAUUCUAAGCACCAUGGCCACUUUAGAGUUUUAAAGUUGAAGUCAUGGUGCAAGAACUCUGUAUGUGCAGUGUUUCAUUAAUCUAUCCCCAACAUUCAUUGGCAAUCCAAUAACAUGUUUUGACAUUGUUUGAGAGGACUCAGCUGACGCUCUCAGACAAUAAAUGAAUGACAGGAUUGACUCUUGCUGCUCUGCUGAAACCAGAUCACACUUACACGGCAUUACAGAAGGCUUAGCGCCCAACAGGAUAUCUACAGUUGAUCUGAAGAAGAAAAAAAAUCUCCAUGUGCAUGUAAACACCUGUAAACUGAAAAUGAUAAAUUUAGAAAUUAGAUAUCCCCACAGUGUUUAGAAUUGCACUUAAUUUCUUGUUCUGUUUUCAUUUAUUUUAGGCCUCUAACAUAACAUGUUUUUUGUUGCAUUAUGUAGUGCAGCAAAGUUAAACAGGGAGCAGCCAAGAUAUUUUUAAUCAGUUUUUAUAUUAAUUAUAAUUAUUAUUUUAGAAAUUGCAUUUUUGUUUUUAAAUUAAUUUUUUAACUCUGCCUGCUCGAUUAUUUAGGCUAUAUAUAUAUAUUUUAAUGUAAAACAACUGUGUUGAAUUCGGGAAUGUGAACUGGAUCAGCACAUAGGUUACAAAAAUUAUGUAUACAACUACAUAUAUGUUGGAAAAUAAAUACAUUUUAUGUAUUGCAAAAUUGUUCUCUACUAUUGUUUAAAGUUGUUUUUGCUUUAAUAUUGUGUAAGCAUUUAGCAGCCUUUUAAAGGACCACUAUAGGCACCCAGACCACUUCAGCUUAAUGAAGUGGUCUGGGUGCCAGGUCCAGAUAGGAUUAACCCUUUUUUCUGUAAACAUAGCAGUUUCAGAGAAACUGCUAUGUUUACCUAUGGGUUAAUCCAGCCUCUAGUGGCUGUCUCAUUGACAGCCGCUAGAGGGCUUCCGCGCUUCUCACUGUGCUUUUCACAGUGAGAAGAUGCUUGCGUCCAUAGGAAAGCAUUGUGCAAGCUUUCCUAUGGACUGACUGAAUGCGCGCGCAGCUCUUGCCGCACAUGCGCAUUCAGCCGAAGCGGAGGAGAGGAGGAGGAGAGCUCCCCGCCCGGCGCUGGAGAAAGAGGUAAGUUUAACCCCUUCCUCCCCCUAGAGCCCGGCGGGAGGGGGACCCUGAGGGUGGGGAAACCCUCAAGGCACUAUAGUGGUCCUUUAAGCGACUCUGUUACUGCCUGGGGUCUUUGCAUAAAUAAGUUUUACUUUCAUUAACCUGUGGCUCAUGGCUGCUGCCAGAAGCUCACAUCAUUAUUGUACUCUCACACAUAUGCAAGAGUGCAACACUAGGUCUGUAGAGGAUCCUGUGAGACAGUGGGAUCCUCCAUUAACAGAAACUUAUACCCUGCAGCCAUCACUAGUGAAAAUGUCAAAAAAAAUGGUAAGGGUAUCUCUGCCUUUUGUCAAGCUUAGGAAAAUUGCUAAAACAAAGUUGUCCCUCCCAGGGCCGUCUUUAAUACUGAUUGGACCCUGGACAGGCAUUUGCUUGGGCCCCCUGGACCUAGCAUGCAAUCACGGAUUCCACCCCCACACAAAAAAAAAAAAAACAACACAAAAAAACAAACAAACACAUACUUAGCCACACUCAUUUUUACAAAACACACACACUGACUCACAUUCAGAUGCAGACACUGACAUACAUAGAGAUACACACAUACACAGGUACAGACAUACAAAGACAGAUACACAUACACACAAGUGCAUACACAGACAUGCAUGCAGAUACACAUUUACACACAUCCAGAUGCACAGAUACACUCACUGACAAACAUGCAGAUAAACAGACACACUAGCACACAUACAGAUAAACAGACAAAUACACUGACAAACAUGCAGAUACACACAAUAACAUACAGAUUCAUACACAUACAUGCAUGCAGAUACACAGACACGCAAUGACACACAUAUGCACAGAUACACACACUAACACACAUACAGAUACACAGGCACACAUAAUGAUACACAUUUAGAUACACUGACACACAUACAGACAAACAUUUACACGCACAGAUACACAUACAAACACACAGAUACACAUACAGAAAAAUACACACGCACACACACAGAUAAACAUACACACAGUUACACACAUACAAACAGAUACAGAGACAUAAAUAGGCAUACAUACACACAUAUGCAUACAUCAAAAGAAAGAAUAAGGGAACUCCAAAGGUUCCAUUUCAGACAGUUGAUUGUCACCAGAAAACAACGUUUCGACCAGUGUGGUCUUUAUCAAACAUAAAUGCAUACAAACACACAGAUACACAUACAGACACACAGAUACACAUACAGACACAGAUACACAUACAGACACACAGAUAGGCAUACAGACACACAUACGGACACACAGAAAGACAUACAGAUACACAAAUACAGAAACAGAUACAGACACACAAAAACAGAUACACAUACAGACACACACACAUACAAACAUGCAAAAUGUAAAUUUAGUAGUCACCCUCCUGUGUCCUACCUUAUAGAUGCAGAAGGGUGACUCCCCUGGGGUCCAGUGGCUGCCUCAGGCUGAUGAGUGUGAGCUCUGACUCCCUCCUCCCUACGCUCCUUCUUCUCCUCCCGCGCGGUGCUCAGUGAAUGCUGGGAGGUAGUGACCUCCUCCCAGCAUUGUGACAUCUUCACAGGGGGCCUGGUCGCGUUCUUAAAGCGCUACAGCACAGACCGGGCUUCCAAAAGUAAAUUGCCAUCGGGUGGCCCUUAGAUCAUGGGUGGCCCGCAGUGGUCAGGGCCGGACUGGCCCACCGGGAUACCGGGAAAUUUCCCCGUGGGCCGUGGCACCUGGGGCUGCGCUGCGCAUGUAUGUGCCACCGGGUGGCCGUUCCGAUGGCACAUUUAGAGGGGGCCGGCCACGUUCCAGACUUGAGCCGCCGGGCGGGUGGCACCUUUGCCGGUCCGGCGGCACUUCUGUCACUGAUGCUGAGGGCUGAAGGAGGAGGAGCAUGUCUAUCUACCAUGCUCCCUCGCGGUUGCCGCAAUCUCCAGCACAGUAUGAUGUAUGGAUGUAUCAGUAUACUGUGCUGGGGAUUGUGGGAACCGCGAGGAAGCAUGGUAGAUAGACAUGCUCUUCCUCCUUCAGCCCUCAGCAUCAUCAGUGACAGAAGUGCCGCCGGACCGGCGAAGCUGCCACCCGGCCCGGCGGCUCCAGUCUGGAAUGCGGCCGGCCCCUGACUUCACUAGGUAAAUGGGGGGGGAUUGAAUAAAACAGAGAGGGGAAUAGACACAGGGGAAGGAGGGAGAAAGAGACAGAGGGGGAGAAAGAGGAGGAAUAGAGAGAUGGUGGAGGGAAGAGAAAGAGACAGGGGGAGGAAUAGAGAGAUGGUGGAGGGAGGAGAAAGAGACAGAGGGGGAGGAAUAGAGAGAUGUUGGAGGGAGGAGAAAGAGACAGAGGGGGAGGAAUAGAGAGAUGGUGGUGGGAGGAGAAAGAGACAGAGGAGAGAGAGAUGUGGAGGAGGGAGGAGAAAGAGACAGAGGGGGAGAGAGAUGUGGAGGAGGGAGGAGAAAGAGACAGAUGGGGACAGAGAUGUGAAGAAGGGAGAGACACAGGGAAAGGGGGGAGAAAGAGGCAGAGGGGAAGAGAGAUGUGGAGGAGGGAGAGACACUGGGAAAGGGGGGAGAGAUGUGGAGGAGGGAGAGACACAGGGAAAGGGGGAGAAAGAGACAGAGGGGAAGAGAGAGACAAAGAGGGAGAAAGGAGAGAGACACACAAGGGGGGAGACUGGGAAGGAGAGGGGAGACAUUGACACAGAGGAGCAGUGAAGGGGAGAAAGAAACAUACAGAGUGACUGGGGGAGACAAAAAGGCACACAGAGGGGCUGAAGAUAAAAAGAGGGGCUGUAUAUAUCACUGGUGGAUGGGGGGGGCAACGGGGCAAUUCCACCCCCCCAUGAGGCUUUCCCCUGCUGGCUGAUCUCUCUCCCCGUUCCGCAGGCACCGUGCGGGCAGCCGGCAGGAGAGGGAGGAAGAAAGACCCGGGAGCUCAACCUGCAGCUCCACUGGGUCCUUCUCGCGCGAGCACAGAGCGUUGCCGUGGUAACAAUUACCACGGUAACGCUCCGGCUCUCACGAGGGUGAACUCCUGGUGGUCGCGGUAGUGAGAGUGAACUCUAGCCCCAUACACACAUUGCCCCCCCACAUACACACCAUACACAUUCACACACUGUCCCCCCCUACACCCACACACUGAACCUUUCACACACAUUGCACCCCUCACACAUUGCAGCACUGCUCCUAUACCCUACUACAGCCCCAUAUCCCAACAGACUCCAGGUAAGUUGUCAAACUGUUCUUAAACGGUUUGACUACUUACUCUGGGAGGGGGUCCUGGCACCAUAACCACUACACAGAGGUGUAGUGAUUAUUGUGCAUGGAAUAUUUCUUUAAAUAAUCUACAAGUGCCCCUCCCGACAUCAGGCUCUGGAUUCGCCACUGAUAUAUGACAUGUAUAUUAAUGUGUGUAUUAGAUAUAUAUAUAUAUAUAUAUAUAUAGAUGUAGAAUAAUGCCUAUUAUAUUUACACAUAUUAAUGUACAUUUAUAUAUGCAUAAUACACAGAGGAAUGUCAUUAAUAUGUACCAUAUGUAAUGAGCAGAUAUUGGCCCAGUCUUUUUGCUAGGUGCAUACUCCAGCACAAUAACAUAUUUAAAGUGAAGAGCGCACCCACAGGACUUCAAAAUAAACAUUUUUACAGUUGUGCCCUACAUACAUUCACCAUUUCAGUCCCAUUACCAAGCUUUCCUUAAUAUGUCAAGGUAGUCGGACUGAAACAUUGAUUACAUGCAAAGGCACAUCUGCUUAAAAUAAAUCUGCACUUUUGUUUAUUUUGAAGCCUAUGAGUGCUCUUUUUACGUUGGAGUAAUAAUUUUUAAUUUUAAGUUAUCUGUUCUAACUCUGUAUCUACACACUAUGCUGGUGCGAUUAUUAUUUUUUUUUUUUUGAUCCGGCCCUGGUGGUGGUAGUUCCUCAUGGGCCGCAUGCAGCACGAUGGCCGGCAGGCUAAAGGGGCAGCUGCUUUGGGCCUCCUUGGAUGACAGGGCCUAGGGCAGCUGCCUCUUUUGUCCUGUGUUCAAGACGGCCCGGGACCCUCCUUUUGUCUUAAUAUAACAUUUGACCGCGUCCAGGAAUUUCAGUAGCUAUAGCUCAGCUUUUAAUCUCCUAAAUGUUGCCAUGCUCAAUUCAAUUCACUACAGUUCAGAGCUUAGUAAAUAUUCCCACAUGUUUAAUAUUGAAACCGGUAAGCUUUUAUCAUUUAAGAGGAUUUUUUUUUUUCUUAUAUUAAAACUUUGACUUUCAUUUAAUAUUUUUGGAUAAGCUUUUCAAAUUAUUUAAUACUUUUGCAUUAAACUUUUUCAUAUGAUUUUAUAUUUUGAAAAAAAUAUUUGAUAUAUUGAUAUAUUUUCUGUGUGAUAUAUUUUUUUGAAUAUGUUAAUAUUUUGAAAAAUACUAAAUCAUUUGAAAAGAGCUGCCCAAAAAGAUUAAAUCGAGGACAUUAUUUGAAGAUUGCAUUGGAAUUGCUUAUAUGUGGUGGGGUUUUAUGGGUGAAUUGUGGCUAAAAUGAAAUUAAAACAUUUGGACAAAAUAGCAGUACUAUACAUUUUCCCCAACUAAUGUAUUCUUCCCAACCUAAAUGUUUGCAGUUACUUUCCAAACAUGCAUUAACUGUUUUAUUAAUAAAUUACUUAAUUGUCAAAGAAAAAAAUUGUUUAUGUGAACUCUUUAAAACAUUUAGAAAGCUGUGCUGGAGGAAUUGAAAUUCAUGUAAGGUCUAAUGUAAAGUUCACAUAGGGAUAGUAAUGUAGUCUUUAGGUUUUUAUUUAUUUUAUAUUUAAAUUUAGACUUUCAUUUUUAUGAUUUUGGUUUUGAAAGAUUGCUACUAAUAAGCUUCCGGAAUGAUUCAAUACUGUUAGACAAAUGUCCAAAUUAUUUAUUUACAAAAUUUCCAUAGAGACUUUAAUAGAGACUUCUGUAGAUAAAUCACUUGGAAACCUUUCCAACAGUAUUGAAUCAUAUAGAAAACUUAUUAAAUCAAGGUCAAAGUUAUAGGUAGCCAAUAACAGAUCUCCAAUUGGAAAAUUGUAGUUCUACAACAAUUAUGGAUAUACAUUCAGCUACAACUUUGUGGAUACAAUAACCUUGUUUUUUAUUUUUGUUUGUUUUUUUUGUGUAUUAUUUUGUAAUAGUGUGUCCUUGUAGGCAUAUGAAUAUUAGAAAAAAUAUAAUUUUCAAACUGAUUUAAUCAUUUAAAUUUUUACAUAAUUACUAGAUGCCUAAAUUAUACCUACUAUAAGAAAAUUUUACUUAUUUUGGUACUGCAGCCUGUUCAAAAACAUAAUGGGUAAGAUACAAUUUUGACCACAAGGUGGAGCCUUAAGUUCAAGAACUACGUAUAAUUUGUGUUUAAAUGAGAAUAUUGAUUUCCUAAUGUUUGGGUUCAUUACGUUUAACGCAAAUUCAUCCUUUUUAAGAGUAUUCACAUUUCUCCAGUAAAGCUUGUUAAUUUAAUUUAGUUUGAAGUCUCUAAUUGAAAAUGCUUUGCUUAUUUGCGAACAAGCUGAGCUGAUUACACCCUUACAAUUAGGAAUGUAUUAUUUAAAUCAACUCAAACAUUCACAUAUGGUAAUUACAGCACCUACAAAUGUUAACCAUUCACAGAAGAACUGUGAAAUAAUGUUUAAAAAUAAGAUUGCCCUAUUUUCUUUUCUUUACGUUUCUACAUAAACAGAACAUUACAUCAGAUUUUCUGUACUUUUUCGUUACCAUUAAUUUCUAGCAGUCAGUACUAUGAUCAUGUAAGGAUAAAAAUACAAAAGGUUAAGUAAGGAUUAUAUUGCUGAAUGGUGAUUAAUGGUUUAAUAUGUUAAUAGUCAUUGGGAAUACGAAGUCAUUAUACCUAUACAUUCAGGUAUAUUUUAGAUGGCCAUUGGUUCUGUUAAAGUGAGUGUUUUAGAUUUUUUGAGACAUAGUUUACUUCUACCCUGUAUUUAAGAAACACAAUGCAGUGUAUUCCUCUGUCCUAUGGCUUUCUAUCAGCUGUUAUAAGGUCUGCUAUUUUCUGUCAGUGACAACAAGUGGAAGGGAAUCAACACAGUAAAGGAGGAGACUAUAUAAAAAGAAAAACUACCACAACAAGAGGACAUAGUCUUAAAUUAGAGGGGCAAAGGUUUAAAAAUAAUAUCCAGAAGUAUUACUUUACUGAGAGGGUAGUGGAUGCAUAGAAUAGCCUUCCCGCUGAAGUGGUAGAGGUUAACACAGUGAAGGCGUUUAAGCAUGCGUGGUAUAGGCAUAAGGCUAGACUUAAGAUAAGGCCAGGGACUAAUGAAAGUAUUUUUUAAAAAUUGGGCAGACUAGAUGGGCCAAAUGGUUCUUACCUGCCCUCACAUUCUAUGUUUAAAUGGAUCAAAGUGUGCCUGACAAUUCAAUGUGUAAUUUUCAGCAAAUAUUGGCAUACUUUCUUAAAUCCUAUUGUAUUUUUUUUUUGUUACUUUUUUGUGCCAUGUCAUUCUUUAAUAUGUAAAUUUUUGUCUGCUGAUAUAACUGAAUUAUCAAUUUUUUGCAACUUUUUCUCAGACAGAAAAUGGUUCUUUUUACUUUUCUAUUUUCCCACCAUUCUAAAUCUUGUGGUAAUCUGAAAUGGAUAUUUCCACGGAAAGUGAUGGAAUUUGUUGAUGGAAUUUAACCAUCCCCUUUCAAUUCGUAUUUUAUUUUAUUGAACAAAGUCUGGGGUAGGGUGGGGUACAGAAAGGAAGAGGGGAGGGGGGGGUGGAGGAUAAUCAAAUACAAAUUUCUUUCAGGUUGCUUGUUAGAUCUUCUUAAGUACACAUGUAUAUAUACACAGUUUAGCUUGGCACGCAUACAUAUUUGAUCUAAGGUAUCAUAUUACAUAGGUACGGAGAUACAAGGGUGCAGUUGGUUACAUUGUUGUGUGUUGUAUAGUACCGUAGCUUGGCACGCAUACAUAUUUGAUCUAAGGUAUCAUAUUACAUAGGUACAGAGAUACAAGGGUGCAGUUGGUUACAUUGUUGUGUGGUUGUAUAGUACCGUAGCUUGUUAUCGCUUGAGUACUUUUACGCUAAUUUAUGCUGUGUUGUUAUUCUGAGUGUAUGUUUUGUUGUGAGUGGUACAAUAUGUCCUAUUUUGUGCCCUCUCAUCGUGGUGUAAGUCUGUUUACGGGCCUCGAGAAAUUAGGGUGACAACAACUUAUGGACGUUGGCUUCAAUCUAUUGUGUCAAUCUCUAGUAGCAGUAGUAGUUAAUCUCUAUUAGCAGUAGUAGUUAUGGCCUCGUCUGCGUUCCCCUUAAGAGUUACCCAUUCUGUCCAUCUUCGCCAAUUAAGGAGUGUGGUGGAGGUCUGUUUGUGAGUGUGGGCUGUGAGCAGAUCAUAUCGGAGGUAUUGCCUAAUUUUGUGGUGUAGCAUUGUGGUGGUAGGACAUUCUGUUUGUUUCCAGUGACACGCUAUGAGAUUGCGGGUUGCUAGGAUCAUCAUCGUUGUCAGGUGUUUGUCCUUGUAGGGUAUUGAGUUGGGGUAUUGGAGGAAGAGAGUCAGCAGGGGUGUGAGUGAUAGUUGUGUGAUCCCCAGUUCUUGCCAUGUCUGAUGGACUUCCUUCCAUAGGGGCGUAAUGCUCGGACAGUUCCACCAGAUGUGGGUCAUUGUGCCUCGUUCCAUCCCACAUCUCCAGCACUUGGCCGAGGUGUGGGGGUAGAUCCUGUGGAGUUUGUCAGGUGUGUAGUACCACCUGUAGAGUAGUUUUUUAUGUGCUUCGACAUGUGAAUAACAGGCAGUGAUACCCUUUAGGGCUUGGAGCGACGCUGUCCAUUGCUUGUCUGUGAAUGACAGUGCGCAUUCUUGUUCCCAGUGCAAUCUGUAUUUGAACUCUGGAGGCGGAAUUUGAUUUCUUAAAGCUGUGUAGCUCAAUGAGAGCAUCUUCGGUUUAAUCGGUGAGUUGUGGCACCUAUGGUACAGUAAUAGUAGGUCGUGGUCUGUGGGGCUUACUUGCGAUGUUGGGGGUGCUACUUUAUUAGCAAGUAAGCUUUUAAGUUGGAGAUAUGGGAAGAUAUAGGAUGCUGGUAGGUUAUGCGUUUUUUGAAUUUCCGGGAAGGGUAGUAUAGCUCCUUGUUGGCAUAUGUCCAUAAUGCGGGUUAUUCCAAGUUCUCUCCAUUUAUCUAGGGAUAGCCAGGGUGACACAGUGGUGAGAGCUGUGAUGGGAGCCCAGGGUGAAAAUUUGCUCUCCGUUGUCCGUGUACGGUGUAAGUGGUCCCAGGUCUGUAUCAGGUAUUUGGUAAGUGGUAACAUGUCUUUGCGUUUGUCCCGAAUUUGUUUAGGCGUCCACAUAUAAUUUACCGCUGACCCCGCGGGGUCAUAAUUGUUUUCGAGAUCCACCCAUUGUAGUGUGUGGGGUGGUGCGUGUAAUUUUAUCGCGUUUUCGAGAAUCGCUGCUUUGUGGUAAGUUGCUAUGUUAGGGAAACCUAGUCCGCCUUCCUUAGUGGGUGUUUGUAGAAGAAUCGAUGGUAUUCUGGGUUUCUUGUUCUCCCAUAUAUAGUUUGUCAUUAUCGUUUGGAUUUGUUUGCUCAAUGUAGGGGAGAGAGGUAUUGGAAGCAUCCUAAAUACAUAGAGCAGUUUCGGGAGUACAAUCAUUUUUAUGGCAUUAAUCCUGCCUAGCCAUGAUAGCAUGACAUCUUUCCACUUGUGCAAGAUCUGUUUGCACAUGUGUGGCAUUGUGGAGUAGUUUAGUGUGUUAAUUCCUCUAUAUGUGGCGGCUAUUUUCACCCCUAGGUAUGUUACAUGGGUCUGUCUCCAGUCAAACAAGUAUCGUUUUUUUAGCGCUUGUAUGGUUGUGACAGGAAGACGUAUGGGAAGUGCUUGGGUUUUGGCCUGAUUCAAUUUAUAAUAGGAAAUUUUGCCGUAUUCUUCCAAUGUGCUCAGAAUGUGCGGUAGGGAAUGCUCUGGUCUCGUAAGGGAAAUAAGGAUAUCAUCAGCGAACAUGGACAAUUUGUAGUUUGCUUGUUUUACAGGGAUUCCCUCUAUGUCUAUGUGGGUUCUAAUCUUGUAGGCCAAAGGUUCAAGGGAGAGUAUAAAUAAUAGAGGUGAGAGUGGACAUCCUUGGCGAGUGCCAUUGGUGAUGUGGAAGGGGUUCGAGAUAAAGCCUGUGUUCGUGACUUUAGCGGAUGGCUUGGAGUAUAGUGCCAUUAUGCCCGUAGUAAACGAGCUUGGGAAGCCAAAUUUUAGAAGUACUUGUUCCAUGUAUUCCCAAUUGAGCCUAUCAAAGGCCUUUUCGGCGUCUAAUGCCAGCAGGAGGCCCUCUGUUUUGCGUGUUUCCAUGUGGGCUAGGAUAUUAAGAAUUUUCCUCGUAUUGUCUGACCCUUGUCUGUUUUUGGUGAAGCCUGAUUGAUCGUUAUGAACUAUGCGAUUUAGUAUGUUUGUAAGGCGGUUAGCUAAAAUUUUUGCGUAAAUUUUUGUAUCGCAAUUGAGUAGAGAUAUGGGUCGGAAAUUCUGGCAGAACGUCGCUGGUUUGCCUGGCUUCGGGAGUGUUGAUAUGUGUGCCUGUAGCAUUUCAGGAGGCAUUUCGCCUAUGGUGUAGUAGUGGUUUAAGAGCUUGGAGAGGUGCGGGGUGAGGGUUUCUGAGAAAGUUUGGUAGUACAAAUUGGUGAAACCAUCAGGGCCUGGGGACUUGUGAGGGGGUAAUUUCAAUAUUGUGUUUCUCAGUUCUUCCUCCGUGAUUGGUUUAGUAAUUGUAUCAAUUUCUGUCUGGGUUAAUGUAGGUAGUGUUACUGUAUCUAAGUACUCUCGAACUUGUGCUUUGGUCGGUGUGGUUGUUGUGGGAUCAUCUUUGAGAUUGUAUAAUGAGCUAUAGUAUUGCGCGAAUUCCUCUACUAUGUCCUGUGGGUUCAUGAUUUUCUUGUUCCCUUGUGUCUUAAUGUAAGCUAUUUUAGUGUUGGCCGUACGGGCCCUUAACUUGGACGCAAGAAGUUUGCCCGAUUUAUUCCCUUGUGCAAAGAAUUUAUGCUUAUACUUCUGGAGGAUGUAGUUGGUUUUGUCUAGUUCAAAUUCAUUCAGUUGUGCUUGUAAAGUUCUCAACUUGUUAUAAUGUUCUGGCGAUGGGUUCGUCUUGUUUGUGUGUGUGAGGAUUGUUAUUUGUUGGAUCAGGGUAUUAUAUGUGUGUAGUCUUUGCUUCUUGGCGUAACUAGCGUGUUUGAUGAACAAGCCCCUGAGCACGGCUUUGUGUGCACGCCACAGAGUAUCUACGGAAAUAUCUGCGGUAGUGUUUGUGUUGAAAUACGCUUCUAGUUCUGUUUUUAUUUGUCUGGUAAUUUGGGGAUCGCGCAGUAGAGAUUCAUUCAGGCGCCAUGAACCGCGCCCUUUGGUGGGGAAUCGAGUUGACAUGGUAAGGGUAAUCGGUGCAUGGUCCGACCACGUAAUGGUUGCUAUGUUGGUGGAUUGUAUUGUUGGGAUUGUUGUGUUGUGUAUGAGGAAUCUAUCUAUUCUUGAGUAAGAGUUAUGUACUUGGGAAUGGAAAGUGAAAUCCUUUUCGGAAGGGUGUAGGAUUCUCCAUAUAUCCACAUAUCCCGAGUUGGUCAACUGUGUUUUGGCAGUGGUCGAGGAUGUGGUACGUUUAGUCUUUGUUCUUUGCGUAACGUGGAGGGUAGAGGAGGUAUCCAAUUGUUCGUCUAAAAUAAAGUUUGUGUCUCCCCCUAUGAUUGUCGUCCCAAAUUGGUAUGUGUUUGCUAGUGUUAGGAUUUUGUCUAGAUAUGUUUUUUGGUUAUCAUGUGGGCCGUAUACAUUUAUAAAGGUGUAUGGAACGUUGUUUAGAAGGCAUUGAAGCAGAAGGAAGCGUCCCUCUUUGUCCCCAAUUUUCUUGUGCAAGGAAAAAGCCACAUCUUUGCUAAAGAGAAUGGAGACUCCUCUCUUCUUUUUUGAGUAACCAGUGUGAUAACCUAUCGGGUAGUCUUUUGAGGAGAAUUUGGGUAGUUUGGAGGUUAGGAAAUGGGUUUCUUGAAAGAAAGCCACAGCGGCCCUCAUCCUUUUAGCUUCUUCGAGAGCUAGCCUCCUUUUGUGAGGUGUAUUUAGGCCUUUUACAUUAAGUGAGAGAACUACUAACGCCAUGGAGAGGUAGCGGGGGCUCUCUUCUGCCCGCAGUGUGAUGUGGGAAAAGUAAGGUGUGCUCUUCGAGUCUGAGUCUUGUUCUGGAUAGCCUUGAGUAAGUCUUUAUGUAGUGCGAUCUCGCCUACGUUAACUAUAUCAUGGUAGCGAGUAUCUAAGGUUAGCAACCUGCAGUUAUUGGUAUUAAAUGGGGUAUGGGAGGGGGGUCGGGGGUGUAAAGGGAUAACUCCCCAUCGGGGAACUAUGUACAAAAGAUUGGUCAGAUACUGUAUAUCAGACCACGACGAGGUCUUUGUCGGCCCUAUGGAGCCACAAUGGGGGAGGGUGUCUUUGUGGGUAUUAACCGCCCAUAUUGGCGUAGAUAUUAGCUUGGAAUGCCAUAUAGCCCGCCUCUGAGGAAGUGGAAACUGGUAACCGUCUAUCCUCUACACAUUAGUUUGUGACUGAGGGCUAUGUGUCUGUUAUGCUAGGUAUUCUGUUAACCACAUACUAAGCAUAUAUAACAAAAAAAAACAAAAAAAAACAUUGCAAACAAUUAUACAGACAUGUAGCAUGCUCACGUAUCUAGUCGGUACGAAGAUGCAUUAGGCUGGACUGCGCAGCCUGAUAUGUUAGCCUUAGUCUCAUGUCAUUUAUGUUUUGUCCCAGCGGACCAGUCCUUAGAGAUUUUUGUGGGCGACUUGGUGGUUCUGCUUGCUGAAUCUUUCACGUCUGGAGGUUUGAUGUGUAAAUUCCAGUCGCCUAGUAGUCGGGUUCCUUCAUCUACUGAUUGUAUUUGAUGUUCCACUCCAUUUCGCCUCACGAUGAUGCGUGUUGGAUAGCCCCAUUUGUAUAGGAUAUCUGCAUCCCUGAGUGCUUGGGUGAUUGGUGACAGUGCUUUGCGCUUAGCCAGGGUUGCUGCAGAGAGGUCCACAAAUAGUUUCACUCCUCGGAAUUCAGCUGGGAUGCUGUCAGGGUUCCUUGCUGCUCUCAGUACUGCUUCUUUAGAGGUGAAAUAGUGGAUGCGUGUAAUUACAUCCCUGGGCGCAGUUGCUGCUAAGAAUUUAGGCCGCGGCAGGCGGUGGAUACGGUCAAGGCACAGGUCGGCGUCGCUGAGCUGUGGGCAGAGGGCCUUGAAUAGGCCUAUGGCAUAGUCCCUUAGUUCAGAGGGUUUGAUUUCUUCUGGAAUGCCGCGCAGACGAAUAUUGUUGCGUCUGUCGCGAUCUUCAUGGUCUGCUAUCUUGGCUUCCAGGAAGGUAAGUCGGCUUUCCAGGGUUUCCCAGGUUGCGGCUAGGUUAUUAUGCGCGUCAAUAAUUUCCUCUGUUUUAUCUUCUAAUAUGGCGGUGCGCGCACCUAUCUCUUUAAUGUCUGCGCGGACGUCCCGGGCCAAUUUAGCGAAUUCUGCUUGGAGAUUUUGCUGUAGCUCUUGGAGCAUGCGGUGCAGAGCCGUUUCUGAGGCAGGGGCUGCGUUAGUAUGGGAAAUGGAUGUGCUGUCACUCCCUUCAGAGCAUGCUGUGGGUGAGUCAGGGCCUCCCGCGCCAUCUUGUGCUCUGUUGCGCGGCGGUGUGAGAGCCGAUAUUUGGAGGGCUGUAGGGCGUAAUUUCGUUUUUUUUUUAGCUCUCUGGGACAUGAUGGCUUGGGCUUGUCAAAUAAGCCGUUUGUGAGUCGGUCUGGGUGGUUUGCGCUCGUCAAUUCGUUGCGGUUUGUUGCACCCUCGUCGGAGCUAACAGCUCACACGUCUGUGUCCAUGAGCUGCCAGAACCAUCCCCUUUCAAAGCACAUCAAUAAAUAUCCACCAUUGGUUUUUCCUCCCCUGAUGCAUUGUGUGCCCUUGUUGUACCCGGAGUUAAUUGACAUGUAAAGGGGAUUUAUAAAUCUUACAUAUUUAAUCUAUAAAGCACCGUGGAAUAUGUUAGCAAAACAAAACAUAAGAAAAAAUAAAUUCAAAUUAUAGGUGAUUUUCAGUGUUUUACUUAAUAGUGUAAUAUCGUUAGAAGUGACAGUUGCUCUUUAUAAUACUAUAGAUUUGUGCUUCUGCUACAUAUAGUUAUUUUGGUUAUGUCAGCAGCACUCCAGAUAUUGUUCUUCUUUGUUUUGAUUUUAUUGGUGUGAUUGACAAAACCUGGAUCUUGAUCUCUUGAUGGUCGUCAGUGUUCUGUAUUACAAUACAUUCUAGACAUUAUUUUUAGGAUUUGUAUGUGAACACUGGGCUUUUAGCCAUCACAUGCUUUGAGUUUUGCCGCAAAAUGGAAAAUAGUGAUGCACACAAUCAGUCCCUAUGGUUUAUAAAUUGGCCAUGUUUUAAGAGCAACGCUUACCUAAGCAAUUGUCCUCAUGGCGUCUGUAGGUGAGCUUAUUAAAGUCUAUUAAAUGCAUUUUAAUAACCUGAAUGAUUUUAAGCUCUUCAGGUCAUCUUAAAAUUUUGUUCCAACACUCAAAGUAAAUGAGAAUACAGUUUUACAUUCCUGACAACCAAUUUGCCUGUAAAUUUACUGACUAAAAAUAAUGAUACAUCACUCCCCCUCCCCUCCCCUCUUAUUUUCUGUAACCCUCCCCCCUUUUUGCCUUAUUAUAUUUUACAAAACAAUACAAAGUUUGAAUAAUAAAAAAAAAAUGAUUUCUCUCUAUAUAAAAAUGGUAACAUAUGACGUGUGUAGUGCUUAGCAUGUGUCCAAUAGAUGUUUUUAAAAGUAUGUCUGUGUAAAUAUAUAUAUAUAUAUAUAUAUAUAUAUAUAUAUAUAUAUAUAUAUAUAUAUAAAAAUGUGUGACACACCAAAACAUUUUUCUGCAACUCCUACAUAAAAUGGAGAAGUACAAACAGUAGCAAAUUAAAGCCAAUAGGGCUGCUACGAUUUACUUAAUGAGUGAUUGAGGGGUACAUGUCGACUAGUUUUCUUAUUCAAUAGACAACUCGUUUGUGAUAUUAUUAUUAUUAUUAUUAUGAUAUUUAUAUAGUGCCAUCAAAUUCUGCAGCGCUUUACAAUGGGUGGGCGAACAGACAUGUAAUUGUAACCAGACAAGUUGGACACACAGGAACAGAGUGGUUGAAAGCCCUGCUCAAUGAGCUUACAUGCUAGAGGGAGUGGGGUAAAUGACACAAAAGGUAAGGAUAGUAUUAGACUAGUGACAGUUGCAGAAGAGGAAUCAGUCAGGAGCUAUUACCAGUUUAAUUGAUACGCUUUUAUGAAGAAGUGGGUUUUUAACGAUUUUUUGAAGGAGUGGAGACUGGGUGAGCAUCUAACGGAGGAGGGAAGCAAGUUCCACAGGAACGGUGCAGCCCUCAAGAAAUCAGAGGUGGGAGUACAGACAGAAGAUAGACGUAAGUCUUCAGCAGAUCGUAAGGGCCUAAAUGGGACAUACUUGUUUAUAAGGGAGGAUAGAUAGGUGGGAGCAGCAUUAUGUAGCGAUUUGAAAGCAAGAACCAGAAUUUUAAAUUGAGCUCUAUAUUUUAUAGGAAGCCAAUGUAGGGACUGACAGACGGGUGAGGCAUGGGAGGUGCGGGCGGACAGGAAGAUGAGCCUCGCCGCCGCAUUCAUUAUGGACUGUAACGGCGCAAGUUGGGAGCAUGUAAGACCACUGAGAAGUGGAUUACAGUAGUCAAGGCGAGAAAGGACAGUGGAAUGGACCAACAUCUUAGUCGCAUCUGGCGUUAAGUAGGGGCAAAUGCGCACUAUGUUUUUGAGAUGGAAAUUACAGGAUUUGGCGAUAGACUGAACAUGAGGCUUGAAGGAGAGGUCGUAGUCAAAGAGAACACCUAGGCAGCGAGCCUGCGUGGUGGAGCUGAUGGUAGCACCGUAUCUAUUAGAGAAAAAGUGAAGUAUAUCAAAUAAUUACACUCAAGCACUGAUUUUCCUGUUCCUCUGAAUAUACCAAUGUGUCAGUUUAUUCUUACUUACAGUCUAUAUUUCAGUAAAUGUUAAUGGAAAAGCUAGUAAGAACUGUAAUCUAGAAAACCAACCAGCUUUUACAAAGUUGGAAAAUAUAGUUAAUUUAUACAUGGAUUACCGAGCCACUCAGUGGAGUGGUUAUCUUAAGUGGUCUUGGUGCUCAGAGUCAGUAUGUGCAGAAGAAAUGUGACACGCAAAGAGUCAAAAAUCUGUCGGUGGUGUAACUCAUUUGUGGCAGCACUCUGGGCUUACAAAAUGUUAAUUCUGUGCAUAUUGGCAUCUGCUUUAGGCAUGCAUAACUUGCAGGUGAUAGAUGAUCCCCUCCAUCUUCUGGGAUGUCCCUCCCCUGCAGUAAGGGAUUGUAAUGUCACCAGAGUAGGAUCAGGCUUCACGGAAAACAUCGCAAAUAAGUCUUUAUUUCUUUGUUUCGGGGAUGGACCCUGCCAGUAAGGCAUAUUCUAAAAUUGUAUUUUAAUAAAAUUAGUUGGAUUAAGCCAUCAAGGUGAAUUUGUUCCUCACCACCAACAGUGUGUUCUCCUAUAACAGAUGCCAGUAUUGGCAUGUGAGUAUUUUUAUUUCGACAAUUUUAAAAUAUUGAACGUUUGCUGAGUAUGAAAUUUUAAUAGGUGUCCAAGAAAUAUAGUUAUAUAAAAGUAGUGAACACAAGAAAGAGACCUCUAAUAUCAUGUGAGAUGUCAAUCUUAGUCAGGAGAAAUACUGGAACAAAUACAUUUGUCAUUCACAAAGGAAGGAAAAUAUUGGUUUUAAGCCAGGGUUGUUGACAAGGGAAUUGCAAAUUUUAUAGCAAAAUAGAAUUUAAAGAAAUUUAACAGUCAGCUAUUUUUCCAUCUUGACUAUUUUGGCUGAAAAUAAUCGCAAUUCCCAUGUAAAUUUUCCACAAUUCCAAGGUAACUUAAUAACCUUGGGAAUGUUUAUGCCUAAAUUAAGUAAAUGAAAAAACCACAGCAUCACCUUAAGAAUUGAUGUUAUACAAGCUAUAAUGCUCACAUGGACACUUUAGUGCAUGCAAAGUAUUUUGCAUGGAAUCAGAGUCUACUCCAGGGAUAGGCAACCUUCGGACCUCCAGAUGUUGUGGACUACAUCCCCCUUAAUGCCCUUACACCCAUAAUGCUAGCAACGCAUCAUGGCAUAUGUAGUCCAAAACAUCUGGAGUGCCGAAGGUUGCCUAUGCCUGGUCUUCUUAUUAAGACACUCUUUCUCUGCUCUCUGACACCAUUUUUAUUACACAUAAAUUACAUAUUGACUUCUAGGUCUAUGGAGGUUCUUCCACUGGGUGACACCAACCUUAGGAAUUGGUCUCUCUGGUUGAAUAUCAUCACACUUUUAAGACUUUUCUAGUGCUAACUUUUUUGAAGAUGUGAAGUUCCCUCUAAUCCCUGCAAUCUGACUAAUAAUAUAAACAAAAAUAUCCUGUGUAAUGUGUCCCAUGAUUCCCAGAACAGAAUCCUUAAACAUAUCUCAGGAACAUAUGUCAGAACAAUGGUUGUGUUGAUUACCCAAAAUUUGAGAUACAUUUGUUUCUGCUUAGUUCCAUCAGCAAAAAGAAGGCACUUAAUCCACCUUUGCGGUAAUGCAUAGCAUGCUAAUCUUAUCUGCAGAUUACAAACAAAUAUUUAGUGAAUCGGAUUAUUCCCAGAUAACUUUAGAUUUUUGCUUGUUAUAAUCAGAAACAAAUUCUGAAAAAUAUGUAAUGUGUACAUAGGAAAUGACAGACUUUUAGUCAAGCAGUCACUGAAAUAUCCCUUGCCACUAAUGCAAGUGUUCUUACUGGUAUAAAAUGGCCUGUUUCCUAAUCCCUGGUGUAAAGGAAUUGUGACUUGACUUUACAAAUGAAUCCAUCUAAAGCAAAGGAAACAGUACAGCAUUGAAAAAGGAAUAGCAGCUUUGCCCAGUACAGCCAUUCCGCACUUAAGUCUUUAUAAUUUAAAGGCUAUGUACAAAGAUCAUAUUUAUAUUGGAAGGCUUGAUGACAGCUUUUCUGGCAUAGCCUGUGUGACCAAUGGAGCAUGGCUCGAGAAAGAACAGAGUAUUUACUGGAGGCGAAAUGCUGAAGAAAGCUCUCACAUCUGGCCUGGCUAAUCAGGAUAAAAGCCCAUUUAUGCAAAUUGUCAACAGAAAUGUAAUAAUAUAGGCCUAUAUUUGAAUAUUAAUCUGUCUGUCUGUCUAUCUCUUUGUGAAAUUAGUAGUUCUAAUUUAUUAAAUGCUCUCUAAUAGAGUAAAUGUAAGCCUUGCAGUUCUGAUCUUAUUUCAUUUGGAAGGGUUAUUAUGGGACUCUGUAAGCACCAAAACAACUUUAGCUUAAUGAAGCCCUUUUAGUGUGUUUAUCAUGUCCCUGCAGUGUCACUGCUCGGUUAUCUGACUUUUAGGGGUUGAAUAACUUCUUCUUUGUAUGCAGCCCAAGCCAAGCCUCCCCUGACUGUGACUCACAUAGCACCCAUGAAGAAAUUAUUUCAGUUUAAAUCAGAUCAUACAGCGGUGUUUAUUUACUUUAGAAGUUUUAUCUCCUGCUCUUUUAAUUAAAAUGUAAUCACACACACCAAAGUCUCCUGCAGGCUCUAGUAGGCAACUCAUAUCAGGAGAUGAUAAAUUAAACUCAUUGUGCCAUAAUAAAAGCUACAUAAUUUGGACACAUUUCAGUAAGAAUGUACAUAGGCUGUGUGAGUUACGGCUAUGACUGCAUAAACAAAUUGAUUGAACUCUUAAAACAUAGAAUUGAACAGUGAGAUUGCAGCUGCAGUCUAUACACCAAAUUAAUUAAGCUAGUUGUUUUGGUGCAAGUUUGGUUUUCUGCUUAGUGUCCCUUUAAGGUCUGCUCCUACUGCAGGACUGUAUAGAAAGCAGAAGAGUUGUAUAUUUUUCAGUUCUAAUUUAAUAAACUGCUCUAUUCAAACAAAGCAUAAAUAACCAGUAAUGCAUGAGCUUUGACUAUAAAACCAAUUUAAAUGAAAUGUAAAGAGGUAUAGAAAACUGCAACAGAGGGUUAUAAUGCAAUAUGUCAUAGGUAGAAUGCAGAGGUUAAGACGGGAGAUGGUCAUAAAAUGUUUGGAAGCAAUUGAUUUCUGUUGAAAUUAAGCAUGGAUGAAAGGCCUAGAGAAUGGACCGAAAUGAGGCUGUGCGCUGUGUUCAUUCAUAAAAAUAUCUAGUGAGCUGGCUAAAGAACAUUAGUGACUGAACAGCACUGUGACUGAAGUGAAUAGCGAGCAAUUAAAACAGGAAACCAUCCAAUCGACUAAUAAGAACAGGAAAUUUCCAGCACAGUAUUGCUAUUCUACGUUUGCUACAGCAUUCAAUACAUUCUUUAUUUGGUGCUCUUCUAUUCUAACACACUUUGACACAUUUUCUUUGCAGAAUGUAAUUUUCUGUAUACAAUGUUAUUUUAUUUUCCCCUCGGGAUUCACAACCCCACAAUAUGUUUGCUUUGAUAAGUAUUCUGACAAACGACAAUCAACUCUUAAUCAGUGUUACAUUAUUAAGGGUACAUUAUGCUUUUAAUCUCUUUGUCAUCUGUUGUCAUGUCUUUCCACAUACACACAUAUAAACACUUGGUUGUGCUUAUUUAGCAACUUUAAAGGGUUACUACAAACACCAUGAAAACUUCAUUGAUUUAAAGUGGCCAUGGUGCCUGUUGUCUACACGGAUUGACCCCAUCAUUAGCCAUCCUUGAACAAAUGACUACUGCAGUGCACUAUACCUUACUGACCCAUCAUUCUAGUAAGAUGUAAAACAUUAUUAUACUUUAAAUAAAAACCAUCCUACUUUUAGAGUUUGGUUCCAUGUUCACCCCACAACCUGCUGCAAGAUGUUAGAGAAAAAUAGAGAAAGUGAAUAUUAAAACUGGACAUUGGUCUUUUGUGCAUGCCUGCUCAUUUGCCUGUGGCUGUCAUUACGAAGGGUUAUGCCCCAAGCAUUGUCUAUAUUUGGAGGUGUGCAACAUUGAAAUGUAGUACUAACCAAUUUAAUAACCUUUAAUUUAAUUAACUCCAUGCCUCUAUCUCUGCUCCAGAAUUAUCUGCCACAGUUUUCCUUUUAUUAACUCAUACAUGUGCUUGGAUGCUUAUUACACUUCUAGAAUAGAAUAUGAUAGUGUACCAUUAAGUCUUAUCAAGAAAUACCAUAACACGCGUUCAGCCUCUCCAAAUUAUAGUCACUUGCAGAAUGGAAAGGAAUAAACAUUUAAAGAAAAAUUGUCUAUAUUUUGCAUGCUAAUACAAGGUUUGUCUGGAAUUACCAUUUCAAGAUUACAGGAUUGCAGGAAAAUGUGUACUUUGAAAUCACUUUGUACUGGUAAAUUAACUAAGUUAUCCAAAAUAGGUUUUACAUUUUGAAUAUAAUUUCAUAUAUGCAGAAUACAUUUUCCUUACCAUUAUAUUGGGGUUAAUCUUUUAGCCUGUAAUUUUAUAGUACUAGUCCUUUAAACAUACCAAUAAUUUGUAUAACUUUAAUGCUUUUUUUUUUCAUUUUUUUCAUUUGUUUCAUAAUAAAGAAAAUGCUAGAAUGCUUUACAACUUUGUCACUGUUCUUUGCUUUGCCCUAUAUCCCUGUAUCAAUCAUGCCUUCUUGCUCCGGCUCCAUCCUCCUCUUGCAUACAUUCUUAAAAUAGCUGUUGAGAAAGCAAAGGUUGGAGUUAAUUGUCCAGAACAUGGGAUUAAAAUAACCCCCUGACCACUGAUAAAGCAGUUCUCAAUUUGGAAGGGAUCAUGAGACAAGAUGUAGUCACUUUUUUGUGCUGUCUUUGUAAACAGGUGGUUUUCCAAGGGGAACACUGAAAAGCAUCACUUGUAAACUUUAUGGAAGAGUGAUUAUUUAAGGUAUAUAGACUUUUCUCUGUAUCCAACUAAAGUGCUCUUGUAUAUAUUAUGUCAAUCCUUUUAGCACUUAUUGUUUCCACUGGCAUGUAGCUUGCCGUAAAAAGGAUUGAAUUCCAAAACGCCUGGAAGUCUUUUAGCCUGUCUAAUGAACCCGAGCGUUUUAAAUGUUGAGUGGCAGCCCGUUGUUCAAUUUUAAUUAAAUUGCUCCUUAAAUCAGUGGCUUCCUUUGUCCCUGAUGUCUUGCAUGUUAUUUCUUUUGUGUCUAGCUACAGAGUAUAGUGCUUACAGACAACAUUCUGCAACAAAGGUGUUGGCUUAAGAACAUACUUGUUAAACUACUUAUUAAAUGAGCCCUUUAUGGCAACGGCAAAGGCAAACAAAUAAAAAAAUGUCAAGCGACUGAUCUGUAUGUUUAACCCUUGUGUAUAUCUUCAUAUAGUCUAGAAGUAUAAAAAAAAAAAAGCACUUGUGGAUCAGCCUUUUCAUUAUUGUGCCCAAUUCUUCAACUCUUGCUAUUUAGCUGUAAAAUUUAAAACUUGUCUUAGACUGUCUAAAAUACAUCAAUGCAUUAUUCACUAAACUCCUAUGAUCAGGUUAGAGAGUUUUUCCAAAUCAGCUACUUUUGCCUUAGUUUUUCCAUUUGCAUGUAACUUGUGAAAAUUCGAUGUUAAAGGACCACUAAACUCAUCGAGACAACUUCAUCUCAAUGAAGUGGCAUGGGUGCAGUAGUUCUGAUAUUUUAACCCUGUAAUCUAAACAUUGCAGGGUUAAACAAAACUCUAGUGGCUAUCUUCCUGACAGCCAGCAAAGGCACUGACCAAGUAUUAGAAAAAGUUUGCGGGCUCACCUUGCAUGCAAACCAAUCGGCUCAAAACCCAGAUGAUAUGGCCUUCCGCAUCUAGGGGGUUUUGGCGGUGUAGUAAAUAUAAGUAAAAAAAAUUUUUUUUAGGAUUAGGAAUAGAAAUGGGCUGUAGGGGGAGGUAGAUACAUAAAACAAACCUGAUAAUAGGACAUUCUAGUAUUCUUAACACUAUAGUAUUCAUUUAAGUGAAUUAGCAGUUAUAGUCUUAUUUAUUUUGGCGACAAAUUUUGCAGUUUUCUCUAUUCUAGAUCUACUUGUUGUUGUGGCCUAAAACUAUGUUUCUCCAACAGACAUUUAUUGAUCAUGCUUUGGAGGCUGUACUGAAAAUGUGCAAUUUUAAUACAUUAACUUUAACAUUAAUCUAGAUCAGGUUUGAUCAAAAUAAACCGUCAUAAGAGUAAGAGGUCCUAUUGAAUUGAAGAAUAUUAAAAAACCCAAAGUGCAGAAUAGAGUACAAUAAUGCCAAUACUGCAUACAUGUGCUUUGACAAGAUUCUGUACUAUGGUUAUUUUGAGUGAAUCUAUACCAGAAUCAAUAUGGCCACUGCAAACAAAUGACUUCAGUUGUCAUUUAGUUAUAUACAUUUGCUGUUAGUGCACUACUGAGAAAUUAUAUAAUGAGUAAAACUCAUUACUUAUGUGAUACCUUGAGUACUAUAGACCAGGGGUCAAGUCCUGGGGAAUAAAGUGUGGGAACUCACCCAUCCCCUCCUCCCCCCCCCAAAAAAAACCCCCACGUGUAUGCAUAUAUAAACGCGUGAACACACGCACUGACAGGUGCACACACACACAGACAUACUCUCACACAUGCACUCACACACAUGCACUCACAGACACACACAGACACACUCACACACACACACACACACACACACAGAAACACACAAAUUAUUAUUAUUUUUUAAAAUUUAAAAAUGUCCACCCAGCCUCCCUACCUGGAGAGCUGGCGUGGACCUGUCCCUGGGGUCCAGUGGGUCUUCAGUGCGGCGGGCGCCUGUUCUCUCUGCUCCCUCUCGCUGCGCGGGUGGUAUACUGAUGCUGGGAGCUGGAAUAUGACAUCAUAUUCUGACUCCCUGCAUGAGCAAACGGCGUGCGAGGGAGCAGAGCAGAGAGGACACAGCUCCCUCGCCGCGUCUGACCGAGAGACACGUGCCUGCCAGGAGGGGGGGGUGGUGUCCAUCAGGUGGCUACCUCAUGACAGGGGGAACAUGGGGGGCAUUUGGGGGCGGCAUUUUUUUCUGCAGGACUCGAGCCCUGCUAUAGACAAUAUAGGAGGGAAUAUCAUAGUGUGUUGAUUAUUUUGGAAAUUAAGAAAAAAAUAAUAAUUUUGAACUUUGGCUUUUUCUAUUUACUCCUCUUCUUUAUUUUUCUAAAUCCAUACUACAAUACUGUGCCCACUAAUGUCUACUCUCUUUACAAUGAUCAAGUUAAACAUAAUCUCAUAUUCAUUCCUAUCUCUAGUAUUCACAGGUCCUUCAGUUUAUCAUUGCAGACAGUAAUUGUCCACUUUGAUUUCAAUAUUCUCAGUAUAGAGUUCAUCUUUAUUAUUUAAAAUUAAGUACAUUAGAGAAUAUGUACAGUAGUAGGAAAAAGAAUGUACACCCUCUUUGAAUUCUAUGGUUUUACAUAUCAGGACAUAAUAACAAUCAUCUGUUCCUGAUCUGAACAUUAUGUAAUACAAUCUCAGAUGAACAACAACACGACCCAUUACACCGCAUCAUGAUUAAUUUAAUAAAAAUAAAGCCAAAAUGGAGAAGCUGUGUGUGAAAAAUGAAGUGCACCUUGUGAUUCAAUAGCUCGUAGAACCACCUCUAGCAGCAAUUACUUGUUUUUUGUAUGACCUUAUCAGUCUCUCAUGUCGUCGUGGAGGAAUUUUGACCCACUCUCCUUUACACCCGUUGCUUCAAUUCAUUGAGAUUUGCUAGCAUUUGUUUAUGCAUAGCUCCCUAAAGGUUCCGCCACACCAUUUAAAUCGUGUUGAGGUGUGGACUUUGACUGGGCCAUUGCAACACCUUGAUUCUUUUCUUUUUUAGCCAUUCUGUUGUGGAUAUGCUGGUGUGCUUGAUAAAAUAUGUAUUUUAAAUUGUUCCUAAUACACAAAUAAAUUAGGUUCCAUCUGUAAAUCUACAGUCACAUAAUUCUCUAGAAUAUGAAUUGUCAAAACUGCAUCUGGCAGAUCAUAUUUUACUUAUCUGCUUCCAAGCUUUCAUUUUCAGCCUAUAUCUAUAUGAAAUGUAGACUGAGCAACUUAAACACAGCUGAUAUCAGUAAAACUCAAAAAUGUAUUGGUGUUUAAUCUACUCUUACUGCAUCUAGUCGGUGGAGGUUCUGCAAAAUUAGUCAUAGACCGUUAACCAGUUAAAAUUAGUAUAUGUAAUAUUUUGAGAGUAGCCAAUGGCUUGCAUACUCUUUUUGCACUGAACUUCUCAUUCAAAUGUGUUAAUUUUGUGGCCUUUACCAUGUGUUUGUAUAUGACCCUACCUUGAUAAAUUUCAUAUGUAUUAAUUUAUUUUAGAAUUCUUUUAGAGCCCUGUUAUCCAGAGCAUUUUAUAAACUAUGCAGAACAAUUGGACACUUUGAUACAACCCUGCCUGUGGACUUUAGUCUCUUGCCUGUAACGCCCACUAUAAAAUGAAGAUAUGAACACGUUAAUAGACUAUCAUGAAGAUUUUAUUAUGUGAUUUGUAUAUCAUGGUUCAAGAUUUCAAGCCAUUAGCCAGGCCUCAAAUGUAGUCAUUAAAGCUAUUAUGUAUAUAAAUCACUCCUUUCGUUCCCACCAUAUCUUUAUUGUAUUUGGGAGCCACCACCUACACGUAUUAUUCAGUUAUUAAAGAAUAGAGAAUGAGGGUAACUUAUCAUCGCAAAACGGGUGUUAUUUUCAGUGUAAAGUGCUAAAUUUUAAAAACAUUCAAUUGUUCCUUUAGCACUUUUACCCAGAAUAGCACCUUGUUUUGUCUUGAAAAAUCUCCCUCAAGCUCUCUCCCAUCAUAUGUCACCUGGACCUUGUGCCAAGUCCUUUUCCUCCCCAAAUCACUAGCAGCCCCCUAUUUCCCUACAGUCAUUACUGUUCUCCUAUUACACCCCGUGUCACAACUAGCAUGUUUGCUAAAAUGCUUGUAGUAAAAGUGUAAAAACCUUACAGAGGUUUAAUAAGAUGAAAAGGAAGACUGGUUAAUAAGACAAAAAGGCAUAUAGAGGCUUAAUGAGUUGUGAAAAUUUGAACAAUUGAUGAGAAAGUGAGAACUGUAUUAAGGGUCAUAGAAUAGAAAAUAGCCGAGUAUUUGGGAAAUAAGAGGCUUAAAUAGUUUUAGUGUAUAAGUAAAGUUUUAAUUACAGGGAAGUUAGGGUAUCAAUCAAUUAUUUAUAUUUCAGUGAGAUGGAUCACUGUUUUUUUCUCAGUUUAUAUGCUCAUCUAUGCUUAUUUAUGUAAUACUUUGUAUUUGCACAUAGGUUAAAUAAAUGUAUAGUGGAUAAGGAAAACAAUUUACAUGUCUCUCCUGUUUUAAAUCUGACAGUUCUGACCUGUACUCGCUGCUCCCGUAGCAACUUCUGAAGUGUAAGAUGUCAUGCCUCUUUUGUUGGAGGGGCUAGAGGGCUGACUGCCACUGUAACUUGUUUAAAUGUGCCAGGAGCUCCCACUUUGCUGAUUAAAACAUAAUACGGCUAUCAACCUCUGCAUACACCAAGGACAGAGAUUGAAACACUCUUGGUGGGGCAUUCAGAGUAAGAGAAGGGGUGGAAAUACAAAACGUCUCUGAAAGCCUACAUCACAUUCUUCACUCUCAGGAUCAUAAUUUCCACUCGCAAACUGCAACUAUAUGAGAGAACAUUUUAAACCCUAUUUGUUUUGUACUUAAGCGCACAAGCAAUUUUGUCAUUUUUGCUGUGUGUGUGUUCAACCACAAUUUCAGUUUAUUUUUGGUAUAAAGAUCACAAAAUACAAGGAGUGAAAUACCAUUUCAAAGUAGAACAAUUUUAGAAUUCAGUACAUUUGUCUUCUAAGUUUACUAGCCUUCACAGAAAGCAAAAUUGCCACAAAAGUAUACAAAGUAUAUAUUUACAUUUAGUAGACAUAACAAGCUAUUUACCAGAGGGUAUUACUUUUUACAUCGCCAUUUAACUGACAAUAUUUGCUAAAUAUGUGUAAAAAACAUUUAGCUUUUUGAUUUUUAACAUGCACGCGUAUAUUUCAUAAAUCUGAUGUGUGUUUCUACUCUACAAAACUUUACAUUGUGCCCAGCUACUUUCCUGUAAAAACCACAGUGCCAUAUAAGGCACCUGACCAUUUGAGUUUUUACAGUUAGAAUUUUGAUUGGGGGUCUAUGUCUCAUUUUGGGGGUAUUAUAGCAGUUUGUUUAAAUUUCCCCAGUAAGGGCUACCAUUUGUGAAAGUAGAUUUUUUUUCAAAAUAAAUACAUUUGGUGUAUUUUAGUAGUUCACAUAUCUAAAUUACUCCAGGAAUGCAUACAAUUUGCAAAUAUCGACAUCAUGGAUCUUUACUGAGGUGUAUAUUUUCAUCAAAUUUGUUUUUCAUCAAAUCCUAAUCUUAAUCCUAACCCUAGCUAUAGAGUUAGAACGAUUUCCUCCGCUAAUGUCAGUAGUGGAAUUCCCUUGAUGUAGAGGCUUUUCCUUGCUGUCCCUAAUCAUAAUCUGAAUCUAAUCCUAAACCUAAUGAACGACCAAAGCCUAAAUAUAAAUCUAAUCCUUAAUCUAAUCACUAGGGGUUCCUUCUGCUAAUAUCGAUACUGAGGGAUUUCUAAGCCAAACCAUUACAUAGUAUUUUUCUGCCAUCUCCUCGCUGUGUUCAGGUUCCUAUGUUAUCAGCAGGUAAACAGUUCCUGCGGAUAAAAUACUGCAUGACAGAAUUAUUAUAUCAUGUGUUCUUAAGUGAAGGACAUACAUGACUGAAUAAUUACAUAAUAGGACAUUAAGCUGUUAAACUAUGGUUUAGAGCAAUGGCCACUCCUCAGAUGGCUGUUAGAGAUCCUUCCUGGGUCAUGGCUGCCUAAAAUGCAUCCAAACAUUCAGUAUCUCCUCCUUCUGCAUGGAGACACUGAACUUUCCUCAUAGAGAUUCAUUUAUUCGAUUCAUCUCUAUGAGGAAAUGCUGAUUGGCCAGGGCUGUGUUUGAAUUGUGCUGGCUCUGCCCGUGAUCUGCCUCCUUGUCAGACUCAGCCAAUCCUAUGGGGAAGCAUUGUGAUUGGAUGAGGCCACCACUUCUGAUGAUGUCAGAGGAAGUUCACUGGCAGAGGCACCAGCUUCAGACUUGAAUACAAGUAAGAUUUUACUAUCGGAAGGGAGGCAAAGGGGGCUAGAUCGUGGUUUUAACACUAUAGGGUCAGGAAUACAUGUUUGUGUUCCUGACCCUAUAGUUCUCCUUUAAGGACUGAAUUCAACCAAUUACAGCCCUGAAGUUGUCUUUAUGGCACAUUUUGAAGCAGCCUUCUAUUGUGUUAUGGCACACUGUUUGAAAAGUACUAGUCUAGAGAAUUGUUCUAAUGGUGCUAAUUUGAAAUUUCAUCUUCAAUGUCCUUCAUCGGAAUUUUGUUUUUAAACAGUGAUUUCCUAGUGAUUUAUGGCAUGACCUUAAAAAAAGAACACCAGUCAGGAGUCUCAUGCAUCAUUAAAUUAAAGCAAAUUAUGAAAAGUCCCCUCCAGAGAGCAGAUCACAUUAAGACCGUGUGACCACUUCUUGUAUUACUAUUCGUAAAAGUUACAAUUUAUUUUCCAUAGGGAAUUCUUGCAGUAUCUGGUUUAAGUUUUUGGUACCAACGUGUUUUUCUUUAUUUCUGGCUUAUGUAUUUUGUUUUUUUUUUAAAUAACAUAAAAGUAAUUUAGACUAGGUAAAGAAAAUAUUAGGUACUUGUUUCAUUGCAUAUUGUACAACUUGUUACUAGGUUUGUGGCUGCAUCAACAUAGCAUUGUUCAAAAUUAAUUAAUAUUGGUAGGCCAUUAGGAGACAAAAGAUUUAGAUUUUAUAUAUACCAGUGUCUCCUAUAUUAAUCACCAUACUAAUUUGAAAAUUGCUUAUUUUCACACUUUUUGUGAAAGUAAGAUUAUUACAACAUAAUAUUUUAAAGAUGCUUUAUCUCUUUGGCAAUGAAAAGGUUAAGGACAUUAGGGUUUCCAUGGAGACACAAUUCUUUUUUUCUUUUACAUGGGAUGUACAAUUCACAAAAGGUUGAAAUAUGUCUCUUUAUAACCCUAUUCAAUCACUAAUAUCACUCACCACAAUGAAUGUUGCUAGGUUUUAGGAUGUUAAUUGCCUGUUAACAGAGUGGUGCUCUGAGGAUUGUCUGGCAUGAAGCAAUAAGCAUUUUAACAUGUUGUCUACUUUUGUUUCCAAUGGUGCAUUAUAGUCUGUCAAGUCAAAAUCUUAUAUACAUAUUUGAUUAAAAAAAAUAGAUCACAUCUUUGUAUUCUUUAGUACUGUUAGCUAAACAAUCCUGUUAAAAAUUGUAACAUUUUCAGCAAUAAACAUACAUAUAGCCAGUGUAAUAUUUUACAUGUAUUUAAUACAAUUUAUAUGUAUUUGACCAGAGAGGUAAACAUAUCUAACACCUCUUCUGAAGGGGCUGUCAGUCCAUGUCUGUCUGUCUAUUAGUGGGAAGGGUCUUUAAUCCUACAUGCAAAGAGAAUGUAAUAUGUAUACCAUACCAAUGGCAGAUCCAGGAUUAUGUGAGAUUAAAGGGACACUAUAGUCACCAGAACAACUACAGCUUAUUGAAUUGGUUCUGGUGAGUAGAAUAAUUACCUUCAGGCUUUUUACUGUAAGCACUGUCUUUUCAGAGAAAAUGCAGUGUUUACAUUACAGCCUAGUGAUAACUUCACUGGCCACUCCUCAGAUAGCUGUUAGAGAUCCUCCCUGGGUCAUGGCUGCCUGAAAUGCAUUCAAACAUUCAGUGUCUCCUCCCUCUGCUUGCAGACACUGAACUUUCCUCAUAGAGAUACAUUGAUUCAAUCAUCUCUAUGAGGAGAUGCUGAUUGGCCAGGGCUGUGUUUGAAUCAUGCUGGCACUACCCCUGAUCUGCCUCCUUGUCAGUCUCAGCCGAUCCUAUGGGGAAGCAUUGUGAUUGGAUCAGGCUACCACUUCUAAUGAUGUCAGCCGACUGCUUGUUUUUCUGUGGCAAAAAGCAUGCAGUGUUACAGCUUCAGGCUUGAAUACAGUAAAAUUUUGCUAUAUUUAUGGAGCCAUGAGGGGCCCAGGGGCGCUAGAUGGUGGUGUUAACACUAUCCCCUAUAGUGAUCCUUUAAGGAUAAAACCUUUGUGAACAAGGUCAUAUGCAUUUUUGGUGUUAUCCUAAAGGGACAAUGUAUAGGACAUAAUUGGAUAUCGAUCGUCUUUGGAUGUUCAGGAACUCCUCAGUACCCAUAGGGUGCGAAGGUGAGUCAAAGGGAACAGCUCAUGCUAUAGUAGACACUUCUAAACCUGUCCCAUGUGUUUCACAAGUCAGCUUGAUGACAAUGCAUGUGUAAUAGGAGAAGCCCAGUCCAACUCCACACUUGUGCCAAAGAAUUGCCUCUUUCACUGUUGUGGGUCUUCUAUUGCUCUAGAUAAAUUUCAUGAUUCGGUUUAGAGUCAUAGUCUAACUAGGAAUGGGAUGGCAUGGAAUAGAUAAAGUAAUUUGAGCAGUAAUGUAAUUUUUACUAUUGCCAAUUUCUACAGUCGUGAGAUUUGGAAUUUGGACCAGAUUGUAAAUGAGGGGGAGUAGAGUGAUAGUUUGCCACUAUAAGUGGACUUUAGUUUAUGAUUAUCUAAAUUUCUAACUUUCUGAUUAAAUAAAUGUUAAAGUUUGAAGGGUGUCUUUCAUUAGCGAAUUAUUCAGUGGUUCAGUUUUCUCUAAGUUCAGGCUGUAGCUUGAAAUCAUCUAAACAUAUCCCUGAACACUUCAAGCAAUACAUAGCACAUGGGAUCAGUCAGUAUAAGUUAUCUGUUGGUUUUAAAAGAGUAAAUUUUUUAUUUCUGCUUGACUAACCUGAUUCCUACUACAAUCCCCCCUCCCAUCCAUGGUAACAGCUGGUGUUUUAACCUUGCCUUAUGUUAUGCUGUAUCAGAAUUUAUGACUGACACUCUGAACCACCACAGAUUGAAAAUGCAGAAAUGUUAAUAUGGCCUGUAGGACGCGUCCCUGAAACCUAUAUUUCUUCCAUGAAGCCCUAGUUCACUCUGUCAAAAGCAUUUUCUGCAUAAAGAGAAAUGAGCAAUGCUUUGACUCCAUGGAUGGACGUAUGGUGUAUGAGAUCCAAAGGGAAAAUUGGUGAGAGGUUUGUUUUUUCUUUCCCAGGUUUGCAAAUUACCACAGUGGUUGCUUCUUGUAUGUCAUGUGGCAGGUGAUGUCCUUCAAGAAGGACAUUAAAUGCCUGACUAGAAGAAAGAUAUAUUUAAAGAUUUGUAAGUAUAUGUUAAAGCAUGUAAUUCUGGACAGAGCCUUAGAAAAUUUGGGGGAGGCUCUUGUUCCCAGAAUUGUACUCUGGUUCAUGGAGGAGUUUAGUGUUUGAAGUCUUCCUCGAAUAUUUUGGAAAUGCAAAUUUAAAGGAACACUGUAGUGUCAGGAACACAAAUAUAUAUUCCUGACCCUAUUGUGUUAACAACACCAUCGAUCCCUCUUGUCCCCCUAAUAUAGUAAAAUCUUACCUUCAUUCCAGUCAGCUGCUUCCGCUGGCUCUGCCACUGAUCUGCCUGCUUGGCUGACAUCAACAUAAGUAAUUCUCUGAGCCACAUAGGAAAGCAUUGUCAAGAAGGCAGAUAGGGGCAGAGCCAUCACAAGCCAAACACCUCAUAGAAAUGCAUUGAAUCAGUGCAUCUCUAUGAGGAGAGUUCAGUGUCUGCAUGCAGAGGGUGGAGACACAAUGUCAGUGCUGUACACUGUGCAGCACUGCCACAGGAAGCACCUUUAGUAGCCAUAUGAGGAGUGGCCAGUGGAGGUAUCUCUAGGCUGUAACAUAAACACUGCCUUUUCUCUGAAAAGACCGUGUUUACAACAAAAAGCCUGAAGGGAAUGAUUAUACUCACCAGAAUAAAUACAAUAACUGUUCUGGUGUCCAUAGUAUGCCUUAAACAAGUUAUUAUAAUCAUAUUGAAGAAACCCAUGUCUAUUUUUUUCCAAACCCUUUUUGUAUCUCUCCUCUGUUUUCCUUGAUUUUAUCCAAGCUAUUAAAUUUUUCCCUGCUACUUUGUUUAUUUUAGUUCAGUUUACCUUUCCUCUUAAUCAUCUUCUCUGCUAAAACAUGAUCCCUUCCCUAUCCCCUUCUUUUUUUCCCCUCUACAUUAAUGUGUGCCCCUUUCAUGUGUUUCCCAACUACCUCUCAAACUUUUUAUUUCAAUCUUUCAAUUCCCCAGCUAUGUUCUCUGUUUUCUUAUUCUUCCCAUUCUGGGCUUUUUUUGCCCUGCAUUCUUUUUGGUCUCUGUUUUUUUCUCUCUGGUACUUUUUUCAUCAAGUUAAAAUAAAUAUAAACGCUCAUCCCUUUCUAGUGACAUGUUUAGUAACUUUGGCCAUAGAUUGUCUUUCAGUGUAUUAAUUUACUAUAAGUUCUUUCUCAUGACUUUACAUUAAAUGCAUACAUUUCUUAUAAAAUAAACACUGCUAUAGGGCAGAAUUCAAUGUUACCUGUGUUUCAGCGUUCCUGUGGGACAAAUGUGACUGAAUAAUGUGCAAACCUGUGGACAACGAUCAGUCAUUUUCUUUAUUCAGAAUAACAUGCAGGCAUUUCUGUGGUUAGUGCUGAUAAUGUGGCUAAGCAACUGUAGCUCUGCUGGACAUUUCCAUCCCACAAAACACAGCUUAGCAUGGAAGAAAAGUAGCUGUUUUACUCUUGUUGGUAUCCUCUUGAGGGGAAGAUUCAAAAUAUAGUAAAUCCAUUCUACUUAUUCAUUACCAGUAAGCUUUGAUGUGCAUUUCAGUAAAUGUGGUACACAUAUAUUUAAGGUAGACAGUCUGGUUUCAGUAAAAAAAAAGAAAAACUCUUUCUCCCCAAUUGUUAGGGAAAUUUUUAAUUUGCUACAGACCAUAGUUGUUUAACUUUAGAACUCAAUGCACAUGAAUCCAAACCCAAAUAUACAACUUAAAAUGCCUCUAAGGGGAAUUAAAAACUCAUGUGGUUAUUUUGGUUUGGAUACAUUUCUUGGCUGAUGGAACCAUGUUAAACAAACUGUUCUUUACUUUGUAAGAGAGGACGCCAUAUGGAGUAGUGUACCUAAAUAUUAGAUAUUUAAAGAGCUUCCGUUUUAGCAUAUUAUCUGUGAACCGAGAGGCAUUAGCGUUUCUUUAAUACGGCUCAAUUACACAUUGUUCCCUGGGUUGCUUCCAAAAGUUGCAAUCAGCCUAACCAGUUACAACUUUGAUUGAAAAAUAUAUUUUUGCUCCUUCAAAGUGAAAUCUCUGUUCUCAAGCAACUAUUUAUUUCAUUUUUUGGCUCAAUUUUUAAAAGUUUUAUUAGUAUUUUCACUAAUCGUGGGCCAACAACAUUGCAUGGUACCAAAGAUAGAUACAAAUAUGAUGUAUCCUUGCACCACAACCAAUAUUAAUCAAGUCUAAAGAAUGUUUUGCUAACAUUAUAUAAAACCAUCCAGACUUGUCUAGAAAUACCCACCUGCCUUGAAAUGUAUACUAUAAUAAUGCCCCACUCAUUUGGUGAUGACAGAGCUCUACGGAAAUAUUGAUUUAAAUUGGAACUUUCAAAUAAUUUAACAAUAAAAUGUUCUUGCAAUUAUUGAGAUUGAUUGUUAAGAAGCAGAAAAUAAUGCUCAUAUGUUUAGCACAGCACUAUUGAUAAAGCCCAGUGGUCAGAGCGUAUGUGUACAUAUGAGACUGUUUAUAUGACUUGUAUUUUAGCAAAAUUAACUUGAGUCCCUGAUGCUGAGAUAUUUGUUGGAGUAGCAGGUAAGACAUACGUAAGUACAGCAGCAAUGCACACAUUUACAAGCAGUAUACAAACAUGCAUCACAACAUAAGUAUACAACCCACCCAUGAUGGACAAUCCAUUCACACAGGCAUAUGUUACUAGAGCACCAACAAAUGUAACAUGCAUUCUCUUGUUCUGUAAACGUAGGCAGGUUAGGGCAGUCUUUAUUAACAGUGUUAUUGAGCUUUUAUUGUUUAAUAAAUAUGGGUUUAAUUUACAUAAAUAUAUUUCGUAAAAAUAAACUAUUAGGACUAUGGCUCUAACAAGUGAAUUUACACUGGUGGUCUUGGAUAUAUAUUGUAAGAGGUAUUUCCACUAGUUUGAUGGAAAGGAAGUGACCAUUAUUGCAAACAUUAUAUUUUUUGUAACGUGCCAAUUAGCACCACUGUGCUAUUCAAUUGAACAGGAUUGUAGCAAAGAUGACUUUAUGGAAACAUUGCAUGAAAUAGAUGAAUAUAUACACACUUACACAAUCUAAUCAAAGGUUAGGAGUAUACAAAUCCUGAUGAUGCUUUUAUGUGAAAGCUGCAGGAUUGAACAAUAUAUAUGUUUUCGAUUGAAAAUCGAUUCUGCAGAAUUUUGGGCGAUGGGCAACUUGUCCAAAUCCCGCAACUCUGAAACUCCAUAUGGACGCAUUAUAAAACAUAUGAAACAAGCAAUGUACAACCUUUUUACAUUUGUUUCUUGAUUUGGAGAUCCGUCAAUGGUGCCAGAAAAAUAGGUGAGGCAAUAGAGAAGUAGCUUAUAUUUGGGGAGGGUAGAGAGGCAGAUAAGCAGCAUUAUAUUUCUAAAUUGUCUGGAACCUAACGUGUUGCAUGAUAUACUUCAUGUAAGGCUGCAACACGAGGGUUGACUUUGUCCCACAAGUUCACUGGGAAUGUGUUUGAUGAGUUCCUGGCAUAGAAUAAGUGUAAUGUAACAGUCAAAUAAAAGAGGUUUAUGGUAAUAUGUGAAUCAAAAUAAUAUAUCAUAGUAAAAGAUAUUUACAGAUAAUUAAAAUUGACAACUGCCAGGUUUAUUCUCUGGCAUAUAUGAAACCAGAAACGAGAUAUCACAUUUAUCAAGUGCAUAAGCCACAGAUUCAUUACACCUUCUCAUCAUAUAGAAUCCCUAUAUUUUGGUCCGUGUGUGACUCUCACGUUUCAUGGGUUGACUUUAAAAGGUCAGUCCUCUGCCAAAAUACAAGGGUAAAUUGUAAAAAAAAAUCAUUAUUUUGUAGACAUACCCCAUGAAAAACAUGCAUGCAUUUAAUUAUGCAUUUUAUAUAUUGGGAGUAUAUCUAAAACAAAGACUAGAGAUCUCUUGUCUGAAGCCAUUGCAAGCCACCAUUUUAUUUCCCUACCCAGACUUUCUGUGGCUGUCAAAUCACAUAUUUCCCAAUGCAGCUCAAUGAGAAGUCUUUGCAAGGCAGGUGCUCUGUGCAGUUGUCUGCCUCGUGAGUUUAGCUUCACUCAGCUAAACAACCAGGAAGUAACAUGACUGGCUGUCUGACUGACAGCCAAUGGAAUGUAACAAGUUCAAUUUAUGAAAGUGUCAAUUUUUGUUGUAAUUGCACUUUUUUAAAAUGGGGGGGUGGGGGAGGGGGUUGUUGGGAGGACUCUCUGUUCACACAUAAAGCACUCCAGCAGGCUAAAUUGCUUUAACUAAGCUAAUGAUGUCAGCCCAAUAAAUGAUAUCAAUGAAAGGAAGUUGCUGUAAAUUCCGGUCCUCAAGGGGCGAAAUAGUUCCAUAAAGUGUUGGUGUAUUGGCCAUUAAAACAACUUACAAUAAAGAUUUUAUUGUAAGAAACCACAUUAUGUUAAAUCAUGGAAAACUGUCUUUUUAAUUGUAUUCCCCUUGAAGUUCAUUUUAUUAUUCUGAUUUCAUAGGGAUAUGAAUACUAAGUUUAGAUUUCAAAAAUGAUGAACAUUUUACAAAGUUAUAUCUCCUGGCAUUUUCAAGAGAGAGUGGCAUGCUGUGGUGCCAGCUGUACAAACCAGGAUUUCUUAUCUGCAAAGAUUUACACUUUUACAUUUAAUUUUGAUACAUUGAUUCAGACUCACUGAUAAAAAUAGAGAGCAAUUUAGGGCAGAAUUUCAAAAAGUAGAGCAAUCAUUAGGGACAUUCUGAAUUUGGUGUAGUGUCUUUAUCUUUAUUUAUAAGAAAUCAGUGCUUCACUUAGCUGGUAGGUAUAAACUCAAAACAUAUAUGACAAUAGAUUCUCAGGUUUGACACAAAGGUAUUUAUCCACUGGACACUAAUUUGUGUGGACUAGAAUGGAAAACUGAAUUGCAGAAUGUAUGUAAAGAGUGCAAAACUGAAACAAACUCAAUUUCAUCUAUAGUCAAAGCUUAGCUACUUUACUCUGACAUUUUAGUUCAGCUUCAAUUAGCUAAAAGUCAUUGUUUAUUGAAUAACAUCUGUUGACGAUUAUUCCUUUGAAUAUCGACAUGCUGUUUUAAGAACUGACUCACAGAGUAACUGUCAUUACACUCUCAACUUAAUUUAGUGGUUCCGUUUUCUACUUCACUCUCAUUUUCCAAUUCUGCUACUUUUCCAUCCUGUGACUUGGUUGCUAUCCCCCACCCUGCCCUUUUGUGUUUUUUAGACACCAACCACUCUAAAUUGUAAGCUCAUUUAUGCAGGACCCUGAUUAACCUAUUGUUUCUGCCAAAAUUUAUAUUUGUCUCAUUUGUUAAAUUCCCCCUAAUAAUAAUGUAAAGAGCUGCUGAAUAAGUUAGUUCUAUAUAAAUGCCAAAAAUAUUAAUAAUAAUAAAAUUAACUAUCAUUAUAAAGCAGUAAUUCUGGAUAGAUAGAAAUACUGGCAUAAGCCUCUCCUGCCCUGAUUUAAUGCUCUAAUCAGUUCCACCAUGCAUGUUAGCUUUUCAAUAGCUCAUGUGUCUUUUUCAGGAAGGAUGCAUUGCAUGUGAAUAAUUGGAUUAAUGCCUACUAACAAUUAAAAAGCAGCCAUAUUUCAUUGUCAUCUGCCCAUGGGAUUUAUUGCUCUGUAUACGAUGGUAGGGGAUUAAGUUGAAGUUGGCAGCAUCAUACACUUGCAUUUAUUGUAUUUUGGCUAGGGCUUCUAUAUCAUACAUCAUAACAAAGCACAUUAAAUUAUACUAUAUUCAGAGAAUUUUACAAGAAAACACUGGUAAAAUGUUUUACAGCUAUAUUAUUAAUUUUCAACAGAUUAGGGAGUAAAUGGUUGAAGGAAAUUGAUAAAUGUCUUGCAAUGCUUGUAAAAUUCUUUAUAAUGCUUUGUUUGAUUACAAUACUGUUUCUGCCUCAUGACAUUUGUAAUCACAUACAAAAUAAUUAAAAAGCAUUGCAUAAUUUGAAUAGUUAAUCACACAAAUGGAAAAAUUAAUUGUUAUUUUUUUUCUGUGUUUUCAUGUGUGCUUUAGGGACAUUUGAACCAUAAAAGGAAAAGUAGGCAAUCAAAUCCCGAAUUCAUUACUAAGAAGUUUUAUAUGUUAUGUUAAAAUGUAUAAAGCUAUGUUCUUAAACAGGAUACUACAUUCCUCCUCAAGUGUGUGUUUGUGCAUGUGUAUGUGUGUGUACAUAUAUGUCUCUGUUUCAUUACAUUUAAAAAAAAAAAAAAACGUGUGGAUGAAUUUAUUAUAGACAAGGCUAGCAAAUUACAUAGAUUUAAUUUGUAAUCUAAGAUCCCUGACCUUUAGUGGCAGAAAUAAGGAAAUUAUAACCUUGGGUGGCUCCAGUAAGAUUUGAUCAUACUCACAUUAUCUCAAUUGUUAGAGCUUUUCAAGUAGAGUUCAGUCUGUGCAGAGAUGACCCAGCAUUAGCUUAAAUAAUGGAUGUCUAAGGUCUUGCUCACGUUGGGACCCUAACGAGAGGAAAACAGGUUGUAUUAGUGUGCAGAUAAGGACAGCUGUGAGGACAGCUCAUAGCUUGCACAGCUGUCUCGUGGUUGCAAAUGAAAACUGACCGUAUGUCUCGGUGUGUUUGAAAGGUGGUGUAGUGAGGACCUUUUUAGGUUCACCUCCGACAGCACACAGGGAUCUUUGGACCAAGUCUGUGGAGUUAGAGGAUGGCUGCAUAAUUAGACAACCAGAUAUGGGGGCAGUUUGAGAUUAAAAGUGUGGAUCGAGGAUUGAUGUGAUGGGUGUAUGAGGGUUGUAUCUGGCAGGUGUUAUGUAUUUAGGGUGUGGGGUAAGGGGAUUAUGAAGAUAGGCUAAUUUAUUUUAGACUGGAGGAUAUGAGAUUAUGGAAUACCUAUGAUUGGACUGAGGGUUAAUUGAGAAUGAUGAAGUGGUACAGGGACGUGAGGGAUAAGGCCCUAUCUAUCUGGGGUUAAUGUUAUUUGAAAAGGAAUCAGACAAUUAUUGAGGGGUUGGGUGGGUGUUGGGAUUGUGGGGCUAGGUGGCUGUUGGGAUUGUGGGGAUGAGUAAUGUAAUCAGAAAUGGGGUAAAUGGGAUUAUGGGAUGGCAUAAUGUGAUUAGGGCUGGGAGUGAUGAGGAGUAGAUUAUGGGAAUAGAUUAAGGUGGUUAUGGAACUCAUUGUGAUUCUUCGUUAAGGGGCUGAGGUGUGGUGCUUAUGGGGGUUGUAAUGCAGUGAUUAAGGAAAUUUGGUCAAUUGGAUUAUAGGGAUGAUAUCAUGGGUAUAAUAUAACAAGAAUGGAACUGGGUGAGAAGAUUAAGCGACGGGGUGAGAUUAUGGUAGUACGAGAUACAUAUCACAUGGGUGGGCAUGUGAUUGGCCUGAGAGUGAUAAACAGAUUAUAGACAUGUGGUAAUGUGACUCGUGGUUAUUAGGGGAUUAAGGUGACAGGUGAGGGGGAUUAAAAGGAAUUGAAUAACAUGGCAGCUGGUUCAAGGAUCUGUGGAAAAUAGAACGGUUGGAGUGAUGUGAUGGGUGAUUGAGGUGUAUAUGGGCUUUAUGGGGAAAUUAAGGGAUGUAUUUCCUGUUUUUUCAGGUUUUACCUGCAUUGAAACUAUAUGAGUCUAUUUUGUAUAAAUCAGUAUUGACUGAACUGAAUGAUUUCCUUUACAGCAACACCUGUAAAAAAAAGCACACACUUGGAAACUUGUGUAUUUCAUUUAGUGUUUCAGCAUUACUGCCCUGACUUCUUCGUGUCUCAGCAGCACAAAUGGCAUCUCCGGCUCAGCUCAUUUUCUAAUAUCCAUGUCGAUUCAUGUUAAUGUGGUCAUGCAGGAUCCUAUCUGAACAUGCACAGCUGUAUCUUUUGGCACAGUUAAAUUGAUAACGGUGUAUACUAUAUAAUCUGUAAAACACUUGGUUCGUAUUGCCCUGUAUUAGCUCGAGAAGCCAGUUAGCACAGUUAUUGGGUGUUUUUAUUAUUAGUUUGAUGUUAUUGACAUGGGUAGCAAUGACUAUUCUUAUAUCUUGUACCCUGACCCCUGAAAUUUUUAAACAUUCAGAAAUAUUUCUGGAUUGCUUGGCUAACAUUUAUGAUCUGUUUAAAUAUCCUUGCCUUAGUCACGCUUGGCCUUGCAUCUCUAUUUUGUCUUCUAUCACCUCCUUGGAAGUUGUUGUGUUAAGCCUAGUCACCCUAAGAGCCUGUAAUACUCAUUAUAUCAUUAGGCUUAUUUACAAAUUCUGAUUGUGGUUAAUGUGUGAGUUGGGUUACUUAAAUUCUUUUCUAGUACUCUGAAUUGUUCAGGCAUGUCAACAGAAAUAAAUAAGUGCUCUGCCAUUCUACAUACUUUUUUAAGUCAAAACAGGCAACAUUUCAAAGGUGUCCUUUGGGUACAAGGUUGCCUUGUCAUAUGUUUUUUUGUUUUUUUUUUUAAUCCUUUCCUUCUGUACUGAAAUGAUUAUACUGAUGAAUUGUUGGCAAGUUUGAUUGGCAAUUGAAAAAGAACCUUGCUUUAGGCUCUGCCCAUUGCCACAUUUUGUCAACCUGCAGUAGUCCUUACAUUUUCUUAUAUAUUUUCUGAAAACUCGAGAGCUUAGAAAAAAAAGCUAUCUAGCAGCAGAUUAGAAGUUUACUUUUGCUGACAGAGCCAUUUAAGUACAUGCCACUUUGUCUUAUGUUGGUUAAUGCUCUUCAUUGUAUUCAAAAUAAAACAAAACAUGGCAGCAGACAUUUAAUAAAUCAGUUCUGUUCCAUGAUAUACAAAGUUUACAUUUCUCAAGCAAGAAGUGAUUUUAGUGAUUUUGUAGGAGCAUGACCAGUAGACAUGUUAUAGUCACAAAACCUCUUUAUACUGUCCCCUUGUAUCACGCAUUUCAUGUUAUUAUGUUGUUGUAAGGAAAGUUGAUUUGUCACUUUUGGCCUCCAUCAUAUUUGUUGAAAUAUAUGUGAAAGAAUUCUGGCUGCGAUUACAGGUGGUGAAAGGAAAAUUAAAUUAAAAUGGUGCACCAAGUGAACAUUAGUAGAGUUCUUUACUUAAAUUUAAUCUUUCUUUAGCCUGACAGAUUACAGCAUUUCAUAAUUUGACCAUCUACAGGAUUGGCUUAUCAAAUUAAAUUUACAUUUUGUUGCCAAAGUGGCUUAUUCAUUCAUAAAGAGUUACUGAGCUAUUUGUAUUUCCUUGUUCAAUUAAAUUUAUUUUUUUAUUUUUCUUCAGAAAUAAUGAAAUAAAAGAACAUGAAAAUAACAUUAUAAGUUCUAUAAUGCUGUACUUAUAACAGUAUAAUAACCCGUAAAUAAAAGUAUUCUGUUAAAAUAUUAAUUUAAUCAUAAGUGUUCAGCUUUAUUUUAGGGAGACUGUGUGCAGGCUGAUGAAAGCAUGAAAGACACUCUAAAUUGCCAUUCUUAGAAGAGGAAAGUGUUAAAGCAACACAAUAUGGUCAGGAACACAAACAUGUAUUCCUGACCCUAUAGUGUUAAAACCACCGUUUAUGUGGCUUGCCCCACUUUCAUUCCCUUAUAAGGUAAUAAAACAUACCUUAUUUCCAGCGCCACGCGGGUACCCCAGCGCAGGAUCUGCCCCCGAUCUCCCUCCUUGCUGACAUAAUCAGAAUUUAUUUAUUUUUAGCCAAUCCAAUGCUUUCCCAUAGAGAAAGCAUUUGACAUGGCUGAAAUCCACAAGGAGGUAGGACAGCGGCGGAGCACAAGGCCGGCUUGGACAAUUAGCACCUCUUCAUAGAGAUGCAUUGAAUCAAUGCAUCUCUGUGAGGAAAAUUCAGCGUCUCAAUGCAGAGCGUUAAGAUGAUAAAUGGCACACUGUGCAGCGCUGUUCCAGGAAGCACCUCCAGUGGCCAUCUGAGGAGAGGCAACUGGAAGUGUCACUGCCUUGAAAAGGCAGUGAUUGCAUGAAAAUACCUACAGGGAGUGAUUAUACUCACCAGAACAACUACAUUAAGCUGUAGUUUGUCUGGUGACUAUAGUGUCCUUUUAAGUUAUUUCUGUGUUUAUGGUUAUAGUAGUUGCAGUUUCUCCAGCACUCAGGAGACAUUUCCAUAUUAAAAGCUUAACUGUGAAAUCACAUUGUAAUCAUUCAUGUUCUAAUUAUAUUAUAAUUGCCAUUGAUGACUAAGGUAUUGAAUUCCUUGGAAACAGAACCCUGUUUGUCAGCAUCUUGUUUUAAGGACAGGAGAUUCUUCCAUAUAGUUGUCUUGGAGAAUGUUUGGACCUCAAAACUACUUCCAAGUGUAGUUUAACUUGUUAUAUUAUUGUUUGAGAUCUGUACCCUUUUUCUUUUUAUUUCCUUGAACAGUUUCUAAAUGUAUGUUAUCUAUGUAACAUAUUUUGAACACUGUGCCUAAUGCACCUCUUUGAUUCGAACAUUGUGUGCAUAGAGCAUUGGAUAUUUUCCUAUAUUGUACAGUCACAUAAACAUCUCGUAAUUGCAAAGUAACUUAUCCAUACCAUCUUCCUACUACACUUUAAACGCAUGUGACCAGAGACUUGAUGCCUCUUGUUUCAAAUUAAUAGAUAUGUAGAGUGACCUCUUAUAUUAGUGCACCACAACAGGUUCGCUCUCUCAAUAAAGAAAAAUUAAUAGUUGCAUGCGUGUCUGCGUACAAACUGUGUAGAGUUUAGACCGGUUAAUCAACUUAAUAGUUAGGCUCAUAAUUAUGACCACAAACUACUUCUACCUGUGCUGGUUUCCUAAAAUUUUGACUAAUUAGAGACUAUAAUAUAAGGUUACGUUUCCUAUAAACGAUGUGCCUUGGCUUUCUGCUUUUAUGGCCCUCUUUGCAUUUUAUUGAUGCAGACCAAGUAUCUUUAUUUCUUUCCAUAAUUUAUCUAGAUAGUAAAUGUGCAUUCAUGUUCUAUGUCUGAAUUAAGGUAUCAUUCCAUUCCACUGAAUCACGGUUGAUGAUCAGGUUGAUGAUUAUAAGUGUCAUUUAUUUGAAGCAUUGCAUAUUCUGACAAUGAUUUCACAUUUAAUAUGUUUGUCAUCCCACUGGAUGUGGUUUUAUUUGCUCCAUUGAGAGAAAAUUUUUGGACACAGAUAUUAAAAUCACAUUAAAGAGCUCCCAGCCUGUGAUUCUUACAGCGUGGUUAUACAGCCGUGACACCGGAGACGCAGCCCCGGUCGGCAAAGACAAUUUGCCUAACGACAAUGUCGACAAAAUCCUGCAAAAAGCUAAAACAAAAAACGUUAAAUAUGCACAUUACGGCCUCGCCUUUGCUAUGACAUGCAGACCAAGAUGGCCCUGUCUCCUCGACCUCUUGCUCAGACAUCAGUGAGAGCGGCAAUAGAUCCGGGAGCCUGAUACGCCUGGCCACCAACGCAUCAGUAAACCUUAUGAUACAGGAGCUUAAAAGCUCUCUGCACUCCGAUCUUAUGAAGAUUGCCUUGGAUAUCAGAACCGACAUCCAAAUGCUGAAUGGUGAAACUGGAGGACAGAACGGAAGAGAUCGUAGACUCCCAUAAUUCUCUAGCUGAGGCCUUCUCCUCUAUGGAGAAAAAACUCAAGCACCUUGAAGAAAAAGUGGUGGACCACGAGGACAGGGAUAGGCAUAACAAUAUACGCAUAAGAAUCAGUCAAACUCCAAGAUCUCACACAGUAUGUACAAGAGUUAUUCAGAGCUUUAAUACCAACUCUUACUGACACAGACCUCCUAUUAGACCGCACACAUCGCCUCCCAUAACCCAAACACUUGGAACCGACCAUACCGAUAGAUAUUAUAACAAAAGUGCAUUAUUUCACGGUAAAGGAUAGCUUGUUGUUGACCUCCCUGAAUUACCAUCGCCAACCUGGCAUCUGACGCUAAGACCAGGUCGUCUAUAAAUCACACUCAUAGACUGAUUUAUGCAGGCAUUCAUAAUGUUAGGCUGUAUGUUAAUUGACAAAGUUAGUAUGUUCUGUUUUAAUGAACCUAGGGCUGGGAUAAGCUAUCCCAUGCAACACAGAGCUCAUCUUCCCUGCUCUUUAAAUAGUUACCGACAGAGUAAAGUGGCUACUCUUCUGCCCUAGUAGUGACUGUAUCUCCUGAGCCACUGUCAAGACCAUUUUUGAUACUAUCAUACCCCAUAGGCACAAUGAACGGAAUAUUGUAUAUAGUUACAUGUAUGUUAUUUUUUUUAGAUGUGUUAUUUUGCAAAUGCUCACAUUGCUCAUUACCUAUCCUAUUAGAAGUCACAGACAAAUGGUAAAAUUAACCCCCCACCAAGAGGUUCAUGAGGGUACAUCCAUUGUAUUUUUUACACCCCUGGGUGGCACACUAACUUGGCGCUCAGAGGGAGGUCAUAAGACCGGUGUCUCAUCUAGAAGACAAAUAUUUUGUUGUAUUGUGGCCAGUUAAGCAUGGCAGUCUACACGCCCUGUAGAUAAAUGACGCUUAAUAUAUAUUCGUUAAACAUGAGAAGGGGCUUAACUCGCCCAUUAAAUGCCGCCUAACCUUGAAGGACGCAGCCUCAAAAGGGGCACAUAUAGCUUUUUUUUUUUCUAGAGACGCAUUUUAAAUGGGCCCAUAGACCCAAAUUUAAUUCUCCCAAGUUCCAAUUGACUAUUAUAUUUGCUACUCUGCUAAGAAAAGGAGGGUAUCCAAUAUAAUCAGUAAAGAAGUUACUUUCUCACUAAUUCUGAAACUUUGGCACAAUAAAGGGAUGUAUCUUAUUCUGCAAUGUUACGUUAACAAUAAUCCGUACGUUUAUAAUUUAUAUACGUUUAUAAAUGUGUACGCAUACUAUACUGUUUUAGAAUGCUACCCAUAACUCUGUCCUUAUCAUAUUGCAAAUCCUUCCAAGCUAUUGGUAACUAUUUUAUCGGGGAUGGGAAAAAAGCCAUAUUACCCCUAAGCUUACUCCAAAAUCCUUCCAGCAGAGGAGGAAUUGGCCUCCCAAAACAUCAAGCUUUAUUACAAAGCUAUUAUUCUUGCAGCAGGAAUAAUGCUCCAUCCCCCUCAAGGUGAUACCCAAUGGGUGGACAUGGAACGCAGUCAACCGCGCACACAAUCCCUAACUGACUAUCUAUGGACACCUAGAACAUUAUGUACCCUAACACCUAAACUUCUCCCGACUACCACAGCAGUACUAAAGGUAUGGGACGAAUUUAUCGGUUCACUAGGUUGGAAAUCACAUAUCCACCCCAAAGCCCCACUGACAGUGCUCAAAACUCUCUCUCCGGAUCUUCCCAUGCAUACAUGGAGCCAUUUCAACGUCACCCAUAUUGCCCAAUUAUAUGCUAUAUAUACCUUUAGAACCUUCCGCAACUUGCAGAAUAUGUGGAACAUCCCUGCACACCAUCAAUUUACUUACCUCCAACCUUGAACAGCACCUAAGAAACCCAAAGCCCUGUCGCUAUGUUACAAAACUUGGCUAGAGCUGACACCCAAGUCUAACCCAGAAUGCAAAAAUCACUGUGACCGAGACAUAGAGACAACAUUGACGACUGAGAACUGGUUACAGGCCCUGAACAGCUUAAAGAAAUGGACAAACUGCUACUCCCACAUAGAAGCCCAUAGAAAAUUGCUUUACAGGUGGUAUCUAACCCCAGUGCGGUUGCAUAAAAUGUUUCUCACUUCCUUUGGCAUAAAAACACCUCUUACGGGGACCACGUCUUCUUUUAUUGUUCCCCAAAAGCCUAAGCCCAGGGCAAUGCCAACUAGAGGCAAUGACGAUGCUAGCAGCCAGAAACCUCAUUGCCAAUAAUUGGAAGACAACUAUUUGCCCUUCGCUCACACAACUCAAAGACAAAAUACAACAAUUUUAUGUAUAUGAACGUAUGUCUCUUGACUCGCCGACAAAAAAUAUGAGGAGGGAGGACUGGACCAAGGGUGAGGUCGCUACGGGAGGCAAGAUUGGUCUCAUCACAAUGCCCACCUGAGUUUACCCACCCUCACACACCCCCUCCCCAUUCCAAGUUCUCUCUCUAGUCCCUACAGUAAGCAUUUGAAGUGUCAGCGCUCUUAAAUGUGCCUCACGGCAAGAAUACACAACAUUAUUGAAAACUCUAAGAGACCAAACCAAUGCGCAGCUCAUUAAACCUACACUGGCAGGUCAACUCCAAUUAGACCAAACCAACAAAAAACUCCACAAAUACUUGUUUAACAAAACUACACUAAUGCUACAGAAAUUACAAAUGUGUAAUCAGGGAAAUAGAGCUGGGAAGGCCUUGGCCUCACAACUACGCCAUAAACAAAGUCAGUCCAAAUCCCAUAUUUGAGCUUAUCAGACGGUUCCAAAGUAUUCAAUCCACAGGCGAUAAAUGACACAAUGGCGAAAUUCUAUGAAUCACUAUAUAAUCUGCGCAAUGAUAAAGGCACACACCAGCCAAAGGAACAAGACAUACAAAACCUGUUCACGCGGGCUCAGCUUCCCUCACUUACCCUGAAACAAUGCAGAUCGCUACAGCCACCAAUUCCUCAGACGGAACUCACACAUAACAUCAAAAUCCUUCACCCGGGGAAAUCCCCUGGCCCCAAAGGCUUCACGAACCAAGACUAUAAUACCUUCUCGGUUCUUCUAGCCCCUCACCUUUUAAAAACACUCAAUCAAAUCAUGAACACUGGGUAAGUGCCAGCAGAGAUGCUUGCAGCCCACAUAGCCACACUCCCAAAACCAGGGAAACCACCGACAAUACCCCAAAACCUGCGGCAUAUAUCACUUCUAAACUCUGAUAAAAAAAUCCUUGCUAAAAUCUUCGCCAAUAGGCUAUCACCCAUACUACCAACCUUAGUCCAUGUAGAUCAGGUGGGGUUCGGGACAGGCAGACAGGGAGGGGAAGUUCUUUGACCUUUUGGGGGGAGCCUAGUGCAUUCCUGUUGCUGGACGCUGAGAGCCUUUGACCGGGUGCACUGGUGCUUCCUCACGACCAUCCUGGAGAGGUUCCACUUUCCCCCAAACUUUCUAUCUCUAGGGUCGGCACUAUAUUCUAAUCCGUCAGCCAAGGUCACUAAUAGUGGAUUUAUGUCCUCAGAAUUCCACAUCACAAAUGGAACAAGGCAGGGCUGCCCCCUGUCACCUCUGCUCUACAUCUUAACUUUAGAAGCCCUGGCAAGCCUCGUACGGGCAGACCCUCAGGUAGACGGGAUCAAGGUGGGUGACACUGAAUAUAAACUUACUUUGUUUGCUGACGACAUAAUGCUUUCCUUCACAGACCCUGCCUCAUCUGUACCACACUUUAACGCCAUCCUUCAGACAUACAGCGACUGCUCAUAUUACAAACUAAACGUAAUAAAGGCAAUGCACUUACAUGUGGACACCACAUCACUGAAUAGGUUAAAAGCAGAGUAUGCAUACCAAUGGGGAAACGACAGGCUCACGUUCCUAGGCAUAGAAUUCCCUGCCCAAACCCAUGUCCUAUUCCAAGCGAAUUAUGUUAAACUACUCAAGGAUAUCAAACACCAGCUUCUCAGCUGGAAGGGCAAAUAUAUGUCCUGGAUGGGACGCAUAGUGGCUGUAAAAAUGAUUCUCGUUCCUAAAUUACAAUAUUUAUUCCACACCUUACCUAUCAAAAUCGCACCACCCUAUUUGGUAAACAUGCAAAAACUUCUCAACAAUUACAUAUGGGACAGCAAAAGACCUAGAGUUGCUGCCUCCAUACUCUAUAGGCCUUAUGCGAGAGGCGGACCAAGUGCCCCAAACGUGACUAUUAUACAGCAUCUAACUCUGCCCACUGAUCAUGGCACACCAUCACCAAGCCCAACAGGCCUGGCUUCAAAUAGAAGCCACAUACACCGAAGGCCAGCGCCUCAUCACGUUGGCAUGGAUGCCAAGACAUCUUAGACAACGAUACCAGCACAUACUAUCUACGACCGCAUUGACCCUUUCCAUUUGGGACAAAUACAGACACAUUUUACACCCAUCACAAGCAGCUUCACAAGCGAUGCCACUAAAAGCACUAGCGAUACUCAUACCUAACUUUCCAGUAUCGUUAUGGUGGGAUCACACACCUCCAUGAAAUGACACAGACACAAGGAUUACACACGUUCACACAUCUACAAACCCUUUAUGGUCUACCAGAUUCAGCUAGAUUCGCAUACCUCCAAAUAAGAUCCUGGUUUCACAAACAUGUCACUUCCAACAGUGAUCCUGUGAAUGGGCAGCAGCUGUCAGACUUAGACAAUUUUUGCAUCCAACAGACAACCCCUACAAAACUCCUUUCCCUUCUCUACACUGCAGAAACCCAGAGACAGGGGAGUGGAAAACCCCCCUUUGCUAAAGCCUGGGAGACAGAUUUCAAGAAAACCAUAGACGAGGCAAACCAUAGACGAGGAAAACCAAAAUCUUCCGGGCUAACAAAGCGCUCACUCUUUGCACAGCACACCUCGAACUGACCAGGAAGAUACUUUACCGCUGGUACCUACCAAACUGAAACACAUGAAACCGGGAACUGCGGGCCUCUGUUGGAGGUGCCGGCUGGAGACUGGAAACAUGCACCAGAUAUGGUGGUCGUGCCAUAAGCUCACACCAUUUAGGGACAAAGUGACAAAACUUAUUUCAAAGAUAGCACACACAACCCUGCCAAACAACCCAGAGGUAUAUUUACUACAGCUUCUCCCAACAGAUAUCCCAAAGCAUAAACAAUACCUGAUUUACCACAUUAUCAUAGCAGCUCUGUCCACAACCAGCAAAGCCUGGCUGACCACAGGCACGCCUAGUAUUGAAAUAUGCACCCAAACUAUCAACAAGACCAGACACUAUGAAAUCAUGGCCAGGAAAACCAGCCCCCCAAAUGCUUCUGGAAGGAAGCUUGGGAGCUUUGGGAAACCCAGUACAUCUCCUAUGAGACACCCACGCCACCCCUAAUGUAAAAGGGCAGACAUGCCCGGCGUUUCCACAAAAUACAUGGUCUGGGUCCGGCAGCUGCACCAAUGCCUAUCUGGUCAUGUACCUAACAGUUUCCAUGUCAGUUUUGUGUAUGUUCUGUGCACGAAUCUAUGCCACAAGAGAAUCUGGAUGUCGGCGUGGAGUAACAGUGGAUAAAACUAGAAACGUGCAGGACUGCACACACCAAGAUGCCAUAGUAUUCUCAUGAUUGCAAUUAUUUUCAUAUUGCAUUUUCAUAUUGUAUUUUCCUAUAAGGUAUAACACUUCACCAUAAUGCACUGAUCAGGGACGCUUUCACCCCCCCUCCCUUUCUCCUCCCUCCAACCACUUGUUAACCCAGUUCCGUUAUCCCCUGUUUGGAAAAAAGAUGUAAAAGCACUAUGUCAAGACGCACCCACAAUGCUGUACUGAGUGAUGCAGCAACGUACUGUAAUACUAGUACAUGCUAGCUAAAAAUGUCAUAACCCUCAAUGUACUGGAGUUCACACUGACACCUAAUUAUCAUGUGCUGCAUAACUGCUUGUGUACUGAACAUCAGAAAAAUUGUCAAUAAUAAAAAAAAAAGGGAUUUAUUUCUAACAACGAAUAUUGCUUUUUUUUACAUUUUUGAUUAGUAUUAUUCGUUACAACAUAUUCUGCAGUGCAUUAAAAUUGUCAAAUGGGGAUAACUGACAAGUAAUUGACAGAUAAAAAAAAAAAAAACAUAGACAAGAAGUGAAGAAGGCCCUGUUCAAAUGAGCUUACAAUCUGUGAGGACGGUAUUUAAAUAAAUACACAAGAAUAACAGUUUGUGAGAGUGAAGGAGGGAUUGAUGAAUAAGAUGCAGUUGACGAAAUAAGCUAAUAAAAGCUAAAUAUGCUAUAGUGUCCAGCGAGUCUAUAUUAUAUUUGAUACACCGAGUUGUAGUGUAUAUGUUGCGUUGAGUUCCUCUUUAACUAUUUACUUCUAUCCGGCUUGUGUAAUUUAUUAGAAGAGCAUUAUAGAAAAGCAUCUUAAUUAUUUUGUAAAGCAUUAUAUAUAUAUUUUUUUUAACCUUGAUCAUGCUUUGUGUAAUGUCAAGUUUAAUCGAUGUACUGGGUUAAAGAGCAACCUGUGAAAGUUAAAUCCAUGUUUGUACAUUAAAAUAUUAUAAAUAAUUUGUGUGUUUGACAUAUAAAUGAAAUUGUCACCAGCAUUUAUGGCUGCACAGAGCGGGUAGUUACCAAUGUGCCUUAAAGGAUUAUAGGACAGAUGUGAUAAAAUUUUUACACUAAUCUAACUUGCCUGCAAGUUUGACCCAAUUUGGCUUCCAAUACAAGUAAAAGGUGAAAUUUUCUCAAAAAAUGUAAAUACCUAAUUUUUAAUAGUCAUUAACAGUCAUUGUGUAUAAUACAUUUUAAAAAAACGAAAAGUAAAGAUUUUAUGACAGAUGUCCUUUAAGUUCCAUUAGUUGGUACAAAAGAUGGCCUAAAAGCUUAGGUCACUGGUCAUUUCUUCCCAGUUGUAAUGACUACUAUAAUUUGUGGGAGAGUUUUUUCCUACAUACAGAGUUAUACUGUUUUAUUUGUCUUCAUGGAUAGAAUUUCUCUGCAGUUAGUAAAUACGCCUUUCUAUCUAUGUUUAGUUGUUAUUUAUUAUACAGUAUGUUCAAAUCCUUGGAAGCAUUAUGUUAUACAGCUCAUCCUGAGUUGGCUGCAAACUUUAUUUUUGUUACUCCUACAAAAAGGAUAAAGAAUAAUUAAGUUAAGUUAACUAGUUGAAGGGGCAAAACAUCUGGAAAUGUUCUCACUCUAUUAAAAGAAGUAGAUGAUCAGUGGGGAGACCUUGAUUCAAGCUGUAAAAGAAAAAAUAUACCUGUUUUUUUUUUACAGGUGCUUUUUAAACCUCUAUCUGCAAAAAAAAUAAAUUCUCACAGCCGUAGUAUGUCAAAAUUAUUUUAAACAAGUCACCAUCUUCUGAAAAUUGCUCACUAUAGUGCUGUAUAACAUCACACAUUUCUGUGUUUGAUAAUCUAACAUCAAUUUUGAUGUCCAUGGCAGGCAUCCAGCAGAGGAUAAUGGGAAGGUGCAAGUUACACUUUCCCAGUGUUCGUUUUCCACUAGACUUGCUUAUCUUGUGCUUGGCACAUCUUUCAGCUAAUAUAACAGUUUUCUGUUUGAAGCAUCUGCAAUGGAUUCAUUUUAAUUCCCUGGCAUGUUAGUUUCUGUAUAAUUUGUAACAGCUGUUACAUCAACCAGAUAAGAUAUAUAUGUAUAUAUACAUUUUACAUUAUGGGAUACAUUUUAGCACCUGCAUUGGAUUGUAUACUUAACAUUAAUUAUUAAUUUUUAUAUAUAUAUAUAUAUAUAUACACAAGUUGUCUUUGGCACCCUUCCUUAAACAUAUACCGCCUUGGUGCUACCAGCUUUCAAAAUAUAUACACAGGUCUUUUCAAGAAGUGUUGUUUAUUCACUCAGUGUAAUCAAAUUGUCCCAAUGUUUCGACCCCUCAGGGUCUUUUUCAAGGUCACAAAUACAGUGCAAAAAAACUGCUUAUAUACAAGAUAAGUGAUAUCACUUACCAAAUCAGGUGUGUGUAGUGCUGUCUCUCGAACCCGGAAGUGCAUACGACAGUAUCAAAUUUAUUAUUUUAUCUGCAGUUGUGUUCCAAGUGCAGUUUAUCUAAAAUUAUCACACAAAUGACCGAACAGGACAAUAGGUGACACGAUAAUACUGUUGUGUAGUCAAAAUGAAGAAAAAUAUUUCAGAAGAGAAAUUCAAGAAUAUAGGAGAAAAGUCUGACUGUACUAACUGACAUAGUUUAAUACACGAGUUAAGAGAGUUUAGGAGGAUAAGUAGCUGUAAAUACGCAAAGUCAUAGCUAAUAUAGAAGAGAGAUAUCAUGAAGAAACAUUAUGAAUCAUUAAUGGCUCUUGAAAUCUGCCAUUAAUGAUUCAUGUAGUCAUUCAAUGCCGAGUCUGCAGGCCGGAAGCUGGCUUAAAGCCUGGUAGUCCCAGUAUACGUGACGCCUCUAGCACAGGAAAACAUGCUGCAAUAUUGCUUCUGGGUGCCAUGGAGUUUCCCAAAGGCCAUAGCCACCAUCUUGAGCGGUGAAUGGGUAGUAGUAGGCAUCUUCACAACUCUGGGCCCAAGCCCGGUUCCACUAACCACCAGACCCAGUCCAGUACUUUUCAGCUCCUGUGGUACCUGCAUUAUUAAGAUCCGAUUGUGAUAACCAGGUGGAGUGGAACAAUGGGUUGCUGGCAGGCUUAGUGAUAGUCCCCUCUGCAGGAGCACUCAUGGUUGUAGGUGGCAUGGUUGUGGCUGCUCCUCCUGUUGGCUACUGUUUGAAGGGGGCUGCAUACUUUGUUGUCUUGCCGCUAAGUGAGAUAGGAACUCCUCAAAAAUAUAGUCCAGUUUGGACAGUGUAGUCGCAAUGUCCCUCUGAAGUCAACCAUUGCCAUCUUGGGUGUCAGGAAGCAUGGUCUGAGUCAUGUGUUUAUGGCAAAGUGGGAUGUUCUCCCAGGACUGGGAGAACCCCCACCAGUCCACCGGGGUGGGGGAACCUUUCGGUGUGAUCCAGGCACGCGGGUGAGGCACAGAGAGCUUGGCUUUAUCUCUCCCAGGCCAGCUAUUUCAGUUGCUUUUGUUUGAUUAAUUAAUUGAAAACAGCUGAAAGUCUGUAAAUUUUUAAAAUAAACUUUAUUUUCAAUGGGGGUUACAUCAGUUUGAUUACAACUGUAUACAUAGACACUCUUCCUCUCACUUUUUCCCUUUCUUGGUUACAUAUCUCUCUUUAAAAGAUCUGCUUCAUCAAAUUCCAAUUUAGUACCACAUUGGAAAGUAUGAAAAGCAAAGGCCAAGAUCAUCAAUGUAGCAAACAAGGCAACACAAAUGCUUGGUUGGGUAUAACUUGUCCGGUAUAACAACUUCUCUAAUUUUGUGAUUUUAUGGGGCUGGUGGCGUACAUAUGCACGGGUUAUGGGUCUUUUUACAUGUCGGGGUAGUGCCCAUUAAUUGACAGGUGUGGGCUAAGCCCUCUGGUCCUUAUACUUUCACUUAGACCCACAGCUUGCACCAUUUCUGUGGGCCCUGGCUUCUUUUUUUAACUUUGCCUUCAUGUGCCAUGCUGUGUGUUACUACUGCUAUUUUAUGUGUUCCCUUCCCACCCCCUGAUUGCAACAGGAGCAUAACGAAAAAAACAAUGAGCGCCCCUAAGUAAGCAUUAUCUAUUAAACACGUUCUUCAUUAGUUUUUUAUAACACUCAUCUCUCAUCUGAUCUGAGAUACACAUCUUGUAACCUACUUAUCUUUCCUCUAGCUAGCCAGUACUCUCAUAGUCUGCAGGCUUGUCACAUGAUCAGAUUAAACUUUUAGUCUGAAUAUGCCUAGUCGUUAUCAUGACUCUUAGCCAGACAUGCCUAACCUAGCUUAUGUUUUGAUGUUUGACUAACUAAUAUUGUUUAUGAAAAAAAAAAAAAAACCUGAGGCUGAUUUACUCUGGAGUCUAGUUAUAUAGAAUUAUUACUGCAUACACGAGGUAUGUCUAUUUGCUUUAACUCCUUAUUCUUUAUUCUGUACUGUUUUCAUGUUUGCUUUAAAUAAAAGAAAGAUUAACAAAAAAAUGGCAAACACUGUAUUUAAUAUAAAAUAUAAUUUCCAUGCUCUCUCUGAUGGUAAUGGUGCUAUAUAUAUAUUUAUUUAUUUUUAUAAAUACAAAUUCCUGUCUGAAACACUGUUAGCUUUAAAACAUUUACCUGCAUUGUUUAUUUUAAACUUUAUCAUUCCAUGCAUAAUUCAAUUACUACUCACAAUUAAUAUUGAUACAGUCACUUAUUUAAAUAAUAGCCAGUUGAUAUGUUAUGGAUUUUAAAUGCACUAAUUGUAUUUGUAAGUGGAUGUGAAAUAAUUAGUGUAGAAUGUUGUUUUUUUAAAAUUUAUUGUAAGUAAGACAAUUACUGUCAUUGGUUUUAAUAAAUACAAAUUCACCAGUUAAGCACACAUGAAAUUAUGGAGCUUCGGAGUCUUAUCAAAAUUCCUUGAAUCUUUUGGUGUUUUAUCAGAGAAUUAUCUGUGCCCAUUUGGCCUCCGGAAUUUCAGCUCAACAGAUCCUGUGCUAUCAGAAGAAAGAAAAACAUUGUAACAAAAAAAUGUGUUUAUACUAUGACAUAUUGUACUGCACUGUCAUACUGGCGCCAUUAUAUUACUUACAAAACGUGGACAUAUUAUGCAGGAGACAAUUUUCUCCUAACAAAGCAGGCCAUUCAGGCACAGCCAGGUAUAGAUCAGAUGAACCUAUUCUUGCCGGGAUCAAAAGUAUUUAGUUAGAAGCUACCUUGUGAAUACACUUUACAGGGACUAUUGUGCCACAAUGAUAUGUUAUCUCUGUUUUUGGAAUGUUGAAACUAAAUGUGAGAGUUUUUUUUUUUUUUUUGACUCAUGUAAGAACUGAUAAACUACACUGGAAAUCUCAAUUCUGCUCAUCCUCAGAAACACCUUCAACUUUUGGCUGUUGUACUGCAAUCCUUGUUAAUAGCAACUAAAAGUGCUAGCCUUUAGAAAAAAAAGUCUGAUGUUAAAACAUAAAUAUAUGAAGACACCACUAAAUGUGAAUGUAUAUGCACUUAUAUGUGACUCUGGGAAUAUAUGGUAAUUAUUAUGCUCUAUAAUAUCCUAUAUUGCUAACGAAUUAUUUAACCUUAAAAUUGACUGUCUACUUUCAUUCACUUAUUUGAAUGCUGAAAUUAAUGUGAAUAUUUUUUUUUAGGAUGUUUGUUUCUAAAAGCUCUAAAAUCUACUUGGUUGUAUUCAGGUGUAGGUGCUCUGGAUCUGGAUACUUUAUUUGAGAAGCAUUGAUUGAAGAACCAAGUCUUACUAGGUUAUUGCAGCAGAUGCACCUCUAGUGGUUUUCUGGAAGACAGCCACUAGAGGUGUCUUAAACCCUGCAAACAUGCCGUUUCUUCAAAUAGACAAUGUUUUACAUUGCAGGGUUAAAAUGACAGAGGCGCCAUUAAGAUGAAGUGGUCUGGGUGGCUUUAAUGUCCUUUUAAUGGAUUUUAGUAUUGUUUCCUAAUUAUAUAUGUUAAGUGUUUUUCCUGGAGUUAAUUGUAUCUCACUCAAUAAGUUGUAACGGUACCUUUUGCCUGAGAAAAUGGAUUAACCCAGUACGUUUUUAAUUUUCCUCAAAUAACAAAUAAUUUCCUUAGGUAAAGUGACUAAAUCCACAUAUGCAAUUGGGUCUAUACCCUAGCCUGUCCACCAAACACACGGUACAUGCAUUGUACUUCUGACAUUUCCUACGCCCAAAUGAUGCACAUGGCAUCUCUGAACAUGACUGUAUAGGUGAAAUUGUGGUCUCUUUUUAAUAAAACUAGGUUAUAGAUGGCAUGACAAGUGCACUUUAAUCCAAAGAGUGUGUACCUUUAUUCUGCACGACAAAAUCAAGCAUAAAGAAGAAGGUAUGUAUAUUUAAAAGAGGGGAAGGAAAAUUAUUUGAUAUAGUUUCAAAAAAGAGUGGACCUCUGUGCAUGUACUUGUGUGUUUUUAAGUCAUAGCAACAUUUUUAGUGAUAAUAUGUGGAACAUUCACCUGAUUUAUACUGCUCGGCAUAUCACUAACAUAUAACACACAGUAAAAUGGAACGACAUGGAAUGCAAUUCUGUCCCUCUCGGGUGUAGUGUAUUGUGUCACUAGCCUGCAAAAUGUUACUUCUUUCCUGUAACCCAUUUCCUUCCAUCUCAUAGCAGUCAUAAAUACAAUGGAUACAUUUCAUAUGAAUUUUAAUAAAGGAUUUACUCUACGCAGCUAACCUAUGCAUUUCUUUCUGUCAGAUGAUUUACAGCUCUAUAGAACCUGUCUUUGGAGGCUUACAACAGUGCACUAAUAAUGUUUCCUUUGUGUAAAAGGUGUAUAGGGACACAUUUACUAAACAGUAUCAUGCACUGACAUCCAGUUUUAUCCCAACAGUUAAUUUAUCCAGCAGCCUGUUUAAUAUGAUCACCAUAUGUUUUCUAUAUCCUAAACAUGAUACUAGAUUUAAAUUAUUGGGGGGAAAAUAUUCACCUAAGAAAAUUCGUUUAAAGGUGACAGUUUGUAAAUCACCAGACAUAUUGAGACCGUUGUAGACUAAUAGGGAUUAUUGCAGAGUGUGUAAGUCAUAAAAAAAAAUACAUUAUAUCUAGAAACAUGUCCUUGUAUUUUCAUUUUGCAGGUAAUUGGUAUAGCAGAUGCUGCAGAAGAAGGCCAGCGAAACUUGUCCCAAGGCUUCACAAGGCUCAAGAGUGCGACACACCUGGUUAUUAUGUUGAUUGGAUUGUGGCAGAAGCUAAGUAAAGAUCAAGUGGCCAUUUUAGAAGCAAC